GAGGUUUACCAAUUGGGGUUGGUGGCUUGUGUUCUGGGAGUGGUUUCUCUCCCUUGGGAGGUUUAGUGGGUGACUUGUGUUCUGGAGGUGGCUUCUCCACCGAAGGCUUGUGCUCCGGUGGUGGCUUUUUGGUUGGAGGGGGCUUGGGGUAAUCAGCAAGAGAUGGGGUGGUGAGAACCACCAGUCCAAGGAACAACACUAGCAAGUAUGUGGGAGACAUUUUUGAGUUUGGGCUGAUCAGAUGAUGCAAAACUAAAGCAUUACGUGACCUUUUAUAGCAAGUAGCUCCCAAUACCUACUUGACACGUGUUACUGUGACCCAUAAAUAUUAUGGGGUCUAUUUGUGCCCUACCGGGUUGAAAACUUGGACAAUUGGGCAAGGACCCGCCUGACUAUGGAGGACUACUGAGGUGUGAUCACAGCUUUAGGAUUUUUCUUCCUCUGCAGCCGUCUUGCCGUUGGCAUGAUUUUCUUAAUCUCAAAUAAAGGCAUAGUUAUAGAGUUGUUUAAUCUCUAAAUGGGAUUUUAUAUAUCUUCAGAUAGCCAUUAAUACAUUUGAUGAAGAAAGAAAGACAAGUGCAUACAACAUGUAUACGACUAGCUUUCAUGGAGUUCAUUUAUGAUCAGUUUUCCUGUACAUGUAAACCAAGAUCAUAUAUGUUUUUGUUCCACAACAAUUUUGGAAUCUUGUUUAUCCGUUUUUAUCAUUAUAAUGUCACAUAGGCUGCCAACUUGGGCGCUAAAUUAAAGAUCCAGUUGGGCAAGUUCGUUUCAGAAUUUCAAUGGUGGAUUCAGGAAUUGUUUUAUAAGAUAUGCAAAAUAGUAGAGGGAUGAAUAGUGUUUCAUUAAGAAAAGAGCCCUGUAAAAAUAUUGUUUAAAGGUGCCAUAGAAACUAUAAUCAAUAAAUAACUUUUUUUCCCCAUGGGUGGUGUUUCUUGUGGGGAUCAGUGACUGGUUUGAGUCAACGCCGUGUCUCUUUAGUCCAGAAAUCAACUAUUUUAUGCAUUGAAUACAUCAACAAAGAAAAUAUGAAAGCCAAAUGACACCUCCCCCGCAAAAACUAAACCCUGGUUGCUAACUUUCUAUGUUUCAGUUCCAUUCACACAAGAAUAUUAGUUCAAGUUUGAGAAAAAUGGCGACUUACCUAGUGAUAACUCGGUCUUGGUUUGCGAUUUGACUUUAACGUCAUGGGUUGAAGCCUCCUACAAUCAUCGUGUAUGCUAGUUCAAAGCUCGUGGAAGAAGUUAUACAGGGAGGGAGAAACCUCCACAGCAAGCUCCAAAAGAGAAUUAUCACAUUGAAAGCUCCAGUUGAACACUGGGUGAAAGCCAUAACAAGAUUGGUUUUCUAUCGCUCUUUUAAGUAAUGGAAGAUUAUUAUCUCUGCUUGUCACUACAACCGUGCAUGCUGCUAGAUCUUUCUAGACACUUCAAACAGUGAAACCAAGUAUGAUUCUUUUUCUCUUGAGUGGGUCCACUUGCAUGCCAAUGAACGAGUUGAAAAGUUGGACAAUUGGCCACAGCGCGCACUUACCUUCUGGAACCGAAGGUCAGUGAAGUGGGGUUCCUUUUGGCCCCUUGUGUUUCUGUUCCAACCUACUCCAGGAACCGAAGUUCAGUGAAGUGGGGCUACUUUUGGCCUCUUGUGUUUCUGUUCCAACCAAACAAAAAUGGGAGGGAAAAAUAGCAUUAUGCUUGUGCUAAAGAUCAACGCAUGAUAGCUGAAUAAGGGAGAAAAAGGCAUUGCUAUCUCAAUUUCAUAAACUUGAUAAGUAGUGACAUUAAUAGUCUUCCUCAUAGAUGGAUACAUGGUUUUAUUUUAUUUAUUUAUUUUUAUUUUUUUGUUUUAUGUCAAUGCUAAUGAAUGAAGUGCAUUAGCUUGUUUUGUGACUAGAACUACAAAUGUCCAAAUUGGAGCUUCUCCAAUAUAUUUCUCAGUGAGUUAUUGAUUAGAACUCUUGGAUUGAGUUCCAAGAUUUGAAUCAGACCCCUCUAGCAGCUUCAGGGGUACGUAGCAACCUAUAGCAUAUUAAUGAAGACUUAGGAUUUAGACUUAGGAAUACAAAUUAAUAUGUACCUCAUGCUCUGACUAGCUUCCCUGCGUAUGCACAAAAUGGAGAUGACUCCCAAAAAAAUAGCAGAAUCGCCUUAGUAUGUUUUUGUGGUUAAGAUGAUUCUCCACUUUAUAUAUCCACAUUGGUUCAUUAUGCAAAUUAAUCAACUAAGCUAUUUUUAUUUUUUCUUAAAUGUGAAAUAGGAGCUCCAAAUUAACCUAACCAUUGGCCUGAUUGAAUUGAUUUCACUUGCAUAAUGUUAUAGUAGAAGUCCGUAAUUUGAAUUUUAUUUUUGCAAAAGGUAACGUAAAUGAAGCAUUGUAAUUAAAUUUAUUUGUAAUUACAAACUAAUUUUAUUUUAUUAAGAAUUAAUUUAAUUACUCAUUUAAAAUAAAAAUCAGUUAUACUUUUACCAAGAUGAUAAUAUUCAUAUUUUUCUAGUUAACAUAUAUAAAAUAGUACACUUUUUCAUAUAAAAAAAUAAUUUAUGAUUUAUUAUAAUGUUACUAUUCACAUUUUACUAAAUUGAUGGUACAUGAUAGUGAGAGAAGGGGGUGUCACACUCAGCUAAAGUUCUUUUCAAAAUAUUGCAUGGUGUUUAAUUUUAUGUGUCGGCGCGCGUGUGAAUGGAACCUGCAAAAGUCCAAAUUGGCGUUUCUCCAUUUUCCACAUAGGAUGGUGACGUUAAUAGACAAAGAUACAAUAUCUGUAGACAUUGCUUAAAAAUCGAUGUGAAGUAUUAGAAAUUACAGGGCACUGUACUGGGGGAGCGGCUGCCCCGCCAAAGGAGGAAGAAUGUAGCAAUUUCUUCUGUUAGCCAGGCCUUAGGAUUUAUGCAUGGGAUGCCUAAUAACAAACAGAGAAAAUAUACUUUUGGGGAAGGUAUCCAACAACAGACACCAUCAUUCAGAUGGUGGGAAGGUAUCCAACAGAUGCCAUCAUUCAGAUGGUAACAUAUAUAUACAUUUAUUAGUGAGUUUUUUUAAUACCUAUAAAAAAAAAUAUACACUUUGAUAUUGUGGCUGAAUCCAUUACAUACUCAACUAACCUUGCUCAUUAGGGAUUUGACUUAACAAGGGCAACGUUGCAGUACAAGCUCAAAACUUUAUGCAGGUGACAUUACAUUUGGUAAAGAAGAGGAAAAUAACGAAAGCCAUCCAUAAAAGCAAAAUUCCACAUGGGAUGAAAUUCACAAGCUUCAUUUACGAUAGAGUCGCAUCCAGGCAAUUAAUUCCACAUUAGACCGCCUGUUGACAUGUGUACCAAUCUUUUUUCAAAAAAUAUUUAUAAAUAAUUGAUACUCACAAAAAUAAUUUAAUAUUUAUAAAGGAUAAAAAAAUAUUUUCAAAUCUAUAACAAUUUAUAAAAUAUUAAUAAAAAAUUAUCUCUUAAACUUAGUAUAGUUUUAUCAGAUUAAACUUUUAUUUUGAACAAAUAAUUUUAAUCUAAGUUUUAAAUUCUAAAAUUAUUUCCUUAAAAUAAAAUUUUAAAAUUCAACACUUCAAUUGAAAUUGUCUUUUUAAAAAAUAUCUUCUUAUUUUAAUCCUUAUAAACUAUAGUUGAUUGAAAAUACUAUUGAAGUUCUCUCUUAAAAAAAAGUCUUAUUUUAAUCUUCAUAAAUUGCCCUUGAUUUGAAAAUAAAUUUUCAGUUAUCAUAUUUUAAAUAAUAUCUAUAUUUAAAAUACUCUAUUUAAAAAAAAAUGAACUAAUUUUAAUUAUAUUAUAUUUUAUUUUUUUAUAUAUUUUUAAUGAUAAACCAAACAUAGAAAAUCAUUUUUCUAAAUAUUUUAAAAUUUCUAAGCAACCAAACAUAAUCUUCAAAAUAAAAGGAAAAUAAGGAGGGACAUUUGAGAAAUGGCGAUUAAAAAAAAGUGUACAAAAGCUCAAUUAAUUUUCUUCUAGUCUUUUAUAUAAAAAAGUAAAGGAAUUGAAAAGUAUUGAUAUGUAAAUUAAUAUUUGGAUUUUAAUAGUAUUUUAUUUGUCUUUCUCUAUCUCAUGUAAAAGAGAAUUUAAGAUAUUUCCUAAAGCAAAGCAUUAGUUAUCUGCAAUCAGUGGUGAUCAUGCCCCAUGUCAAUUUCGGACCCAUAUCUUAAAACUGUAUAAUUUGCAUUCAAACAUUACUGAUUUCUCAGAUGUUUCAUACUCCACAGAAGAGCAUUGUUUGUGAAAGCAUGCAUUUAUGUUGGAUUUUGGAUGAUGUGGGAACUGGGGCAAGGAUCAUAUGGAAGAGUGGUCGAUUUUGUUCUGUACUUUAACAUUUGAAAUAGGAGAAGCUCGGGCAUUUGUGGGGCUUAAUUGAUUUUGAAGCCUGAAAUUGCGUUUCUGUCAUUUUGUAAAAAAUAUGGCAGAUUCCAUGCUCUCAUAUGUUUGGUCUGUGGCCAUGUAUAGAUGCCCCUUAGUGACCAGUUUGUAACUGUCAAUCAUAGUGUUUUGACUCUGGCUCAACAACAUCAGCCAUUGACGGAUUUUCAUACUUGCAAAUCAAAUAGUCUUCUUCCUCCCUUAGGAAUUUCGGUUUAAAUGUUAUUAAGCAUACAUUUGGCUGACAAUUAUUAACCACUUCAUGAUAUGGUUUCUUACCCUUAAUCAAUGGUUUCUAAGUGAAUAUAUGCAGAAGGAAAUCUGAACUGUAGACAGCAGUAUUGAUAACUCUCAAUAUUCUUUAUAUAAGAGAAUAAACAACGUCAUAGUGAUCGUCGCCUACAAGAAAGGUACAUUUCCCAACAAGAUGUAGUUGUGACUGGUACAUGGACGCAAUUAACUCGUACAAAAGAAUAAGACCAGUGCACGGCAGCUCUUAUUUUACAUGCUAAUUAUGCUAACCAAAGUCACUCAGUUGGGAUGGGAGGGAGAUGGAGGUUUGUGCGGUGGCUUGUGGGGCGGAGUUGGUGGCUUCUUUUCAGGAGCUUGUGGCUUUUUCGGAGCUGAAGGAGGCUCAAUCUUAUGAGGCGGCUUGUACGAGUCUUCUUUACUCUCGACAGGAGGGUGGCCAGGGUUGUGACCAUAAUGUGGUGGCUUCUCUCCCUUAGGUGGCUUGCCAACUGGGGUUGGUGGCUUGUGUUCAGGAAGUGGUUUCUCUCCCUUGGGAGGUUUACCAAUUGGGGUUGGUGGCUUGUGUUCUGGGAGUGGUUUCUCUCCCUUGGGAGGUUUAGUGGGUGACUUGUGUUCUGGAGGUGGCUUCUCCACCGGAGGCUUGUGCUCCGGUGGUGGCUUCUCCACCGGAGGCUUGUGCUCCGGUGGUGGCUUCUUGAUUGGAGGGGGCUUGGGGUAAUCAGCAAGAGAUGGGAUGGUGAGAACCACCACUCCAAGGAACAACACUAGCAAGUAUGUGGGAGACAUUUCUGAGUUUGAGCUGAUCAGAUGAUGCAAAACUAGAAGAAUUACGGGACCUUUUAUAGCAAGUAUCUCCCAAUACCCACAUGACACGUGUUACUAUGACCAUAAAUAUUAUAGGGUCCAUUUGUGCCCUACCGGGUUGAAAACUUGGACGCUUGGCCGAGGACACACCUGACUAUGGAGGACUAUUGACGUGUGAUCACAGCUUUUGGAUUUUUCUUCCUGUGCAGCUGUCUAGCGGUUGGCAUUAUUUUCUUAAUCUUAAAUAAAGGCAUAGUUAUAGAGUUGUUUAAUCUCUAAAUGGGAUUUUAUAUAUCUUCAGAUAGCCAUUAAUAUAUUUGAUGAAGAAAGACAAGUGCAUACAACAUGUAUACGGCUUGCUUCAAUCGAGUACAUUUAUGAUCAGUUUUCCUGUGCAAGUAAACCAGUUUUUUGUUCCACAACUAUUUUGGAAUCUUGUUUAUCAGUUUCUAUCAUUAUAAUGUCACAUAGGCUGCAAACUUGGGCACCCAAAGAUCUAGGUGGGCAAAUUUGUUUCAGACUUUCAAUGGUGGAUUCAGUAAUUGUUAAAAGGUGUUUCUUCAUUAAGGAAAGAGUCCGGUAAAAAUAUUGUUAAAAGGUGUCAUAGAAACUAUAAUAAAUAAAUAACUUCUUUUCCCCAUGGGUGGUGUUUCUUCUGGGGAUCAGUGACUGGUUAGGGUCACCCAAAAUGAGUCCAGAUUAAAAUUGGUUCGAGUCAAAGCAGUCUCUUUUGUCCAGAAAUCAACUAUUUUGCGCAUUGAAUGAAUCGAUAAAGAAAAAAUGAAAGCCAAAUCACACCUCCCCUGCAAAACCUAAACCCCGGUUGCUAACUUUCUAUGUUUCAGUCCUAUUCAUAUAGGAAUAUUGGUUCAAGUUUGAGAAAAAUGGCAACUUACCUAGGGUUUACUUGGUUUUGGUUUGCGACUAUUUACGCAACCAACCAUGAGUUUGACUUUAACGUCAUGGGUUGAAGCCUCCUACAAUCAUGUAUGAUAGUUCAAAGCUCGUGGAAGAAAUUAUACAGGAAGGAAGAAACCUCCAAAGCUAGCUCCAAAAGAGAAUUAUCACAUCGAUAGCUCCAGAGAUUCCCAAGGGAACUGAAUCAAAGACAAGUUCCUCACUUUUUCUUCUUUUGAGGCCAAAUAUGAACCAAGGAUCACACGACCUCAUUCAACUUCAUAAGUUUGAUUUCAUGCAGUUGAACACUGGGUGAAGGCCAUGACAAGAAUUGAUUAAAAAAUUCUACCACUCUUUUAAGUAAUGGAAGAUUAUUAUCUCUGAUUGGCACCACAACAGCACAUGCUGCUAGAUCUUUCUAGACACUCCAUGCAAUGAAAGCACAAUGGAUCUUGUAAUGAUAGAAACUAAGCCAUGCUACAGUACUAGAUGAGGGGGUAAAACUAGUAGACAUCUUUCUAGACACUCCAUGCAAUGAAAGCACAAUGGAUCUUGUAAUGAUAGAAACUAAGCCAUGCUACAGUACUAGAUGAGGUGGUAAAACUAGUAGACAUGGCUGGCAGUUGAUUACUACUCAAAAAGUACUCUUUUAUAGCUUGAAACUAACUGUUUUAAACACUUUUGAGUAGUAGUUAAUACCUUUUAACUUAAUUGGCACAUUAAGGAACCUAGCAAGGGUUACUAAUCAACAUUUGGCAAGUUUUGAUGUUUUUGGUAGCUAUUUGAUCAUUGAAACAAGCCAAGAAUGAGGGGGAAUUUUGUGAAGUCCAUGGCAAUGCAAGUUAAAGCUCAAAUACAUGAAGAAUCCAAGCUUUGGAGCACUUCAUAGCCCUUUGCCAAGCCAAUCAAAGAUGCAAGGAAGAAAACCAAAGGAAGAAAUCCAACAAUCAGCAUUUUGGCAUGGCUAUGUGAAAUUUCGCACACCAUGCGAAACCACAAGAGGCAGCCAAAGAAUUUCGCAUGGUAUGCGAAAUCUUCUUGUGCACUGACUCUGUUAGAUUUUUAUCUUCAGAUAUUUUGUGUAAUUUCCUAGUUUCUCCUUGUAACCAACUUAGAUAUUUUCUUUUAUAUCUUUUUUUAUAUUUUUUAGGUAACAUCAUAUAUAAGAGGAGAGACAUAAGGAGGAUAUGGAUGUUUUUCAUAGAACACUUGUAAAUUUUUGGUAGUAAGAAAUAUACAAAGCUUUUUGCUCUGCCUUACCUUCUCAAGGGAUGAGUGGCUAGGUUUUCUUGGAGUGAGGGAAGCUAGGUGAAGGACCUGAAUGCAAAGGUGGGAGUUUUCCUUACUUUAAAUGAAAGUAGUUGUUAAACAUUAAUGGUUUUUAUUUUAAGGUUUAGCUUUAAAUCCCUGAAAAACACCUUGAAUGGCCAAUACUUGGUAAGCUUUUUAGAUUCUAUGGAUGCUUAUUGCUAGAUCCAUGGAUGUCUAUUAGUUAUCAUUUACGAGCCAUUGGAAGGUGAUUCAAGGUGAGGGUCUUUAGUGUUUGAAGCCAUUAAUGGGAAGCAAUUACCAUUUUUUCAUGAAUCCUUUGGAUCAAAUCUUAAUUGCUAAAUAUAAAACCGGUUUCGAGAGAUAACCACCAUCCUUUAUGUUAUUAUCCCCAACGCGAGGAGAAGAUCCGAAAUCUUCCUUUUUAUCUAAGGAACCCGAUCCUAGUGACCUAAAGCUCCAAGAUACCUUUUCUUUGUAGUUAACUUCAUUUAUUGUUUUUGCUUAACUUAAAAUCAAUCUUUGCAACCACAAUUCCAUUUUCUUUAAAAGCUAAUUUUUAUAAGGAAAAACACCAUUUUAUUUCCUUCACUAAGUCAACUGUACGAUGAAAACCCAUCCCUGUGGACGAUCCUAGAGCCACUAUACUAUGUUAGCUAUGCUACCCUAGUGUGAGGUGAUUUAGGUUUUAUAAAUUUUUUUGAUAACACCCAUCUGAGCCAGAAUCAAAUGGCACGACUGAACCAGGGACGAAUCAAAUGACGCCGCUACCAAGGAUGGUGCCAAAGUACAUUGACAUGACUUUUGGUGAACACUUGUGAUCUUCACCACAAGUUUGGUGAUUUUUCUUUUACUAAUUUUUUUUAUUUUAGCUUAUCUUUUAUUUAGUUUUUAGUUAACCUUAAAUUUUUCCUAGAAUUGUAUUUCUUUUGUUUUCUUUGUUUUUGUUUCAGUGAUCUUUAGUUGUGCAUGCCCUAUUGGAUAAGAGAUAUUGAGGGAAUACUUGUGAAGAUUGAAACUCCUCGAGAAACUGAGUUAGAAGUGUGCUUGAACAUCAUGGAUGUUCCACCUGAAGACCAGAAUAGCCAACAUGGUUAAGAGGAUAAUUUCAACACAUACCGAUCCAUGAGGAACCGCAUACAUCCACCUUGUAUGAGUGCACCGUCAGGCAUAAUGCCUCCCACUGAGCAGCUAGUAAUCUGACCUCACAUUGUGCCACUCCUACCUACUUUCCAUGGGAUGGAGAGUGAGAAUCCCUACUCGCAUAUUAAGGAAUUCGAGGAGGUUUGUAAUACAUUCCAAGAAGGAGGAGCUUCAAUUGACUUGAUGAGGCUCAAGCUAUUUCCUUUCACUUUGAAGGAUAAGGCCAAGAUUUGGCUUAAUUCUUUAAGGCCAAGAAGUAUCCAAACUUGGAUUGAUUUGUAAGCCGAGUUUCUUAAGAAGUUCUUCCCUACCCAUAGGACCAAUGGUUUGAAAAGGCAAAAUUUGAACUUCUCAGUUAAAGAGAAUGAGAAAUUCUAUGAGUGUUGGGAGAGCUACAUGGAAGCUAUUAACGUUUGUCCUCACCAUGGCUUUGACACAUGGCUCUUAGUGAGCUAUUUUUACAAUGGUAUGUCUUCUUCAAUGAAGCAACUCCUAGAAACUAUGUGUGGAGGAGACUUCAUGAGUAAGAAUCCGGAGGAAGCCAUGGACUUUUUGAGUUAUGUGGCUGAAGUUUCAAGAGGAUGGGAUGAACCAAAUGCUAGAGAGGUGGGAAGAAUGAAGUCUCAACCUAAUGCUAAGGGUGAGAUGUAUGUUUUGAAUGAAGACAUUGACAUGAAAGCAAAGGUUGCAGCUAUGGCAAGGAGAUUGGAAGAGCUAGAAAUGAAGAACAUACAAAAAGUGCAAGCCAUUUCUGAGACAUCAAUGAAAGCUAUGCCUUGUUCCAUUUGUCAAUCUUAUAAGCACCUAGUGGAGGAGUGUCCUACAAUUCCAGCAGUGAGAGAGAUGUUUGGUGAUCAAGCAAAUGUUAUUGAUCAAUUCAAGCCUAAUAACAAUGCUUCAUAUGGCAACACCUACAAUUCAAAUUGGAGGAACCAUUCAAAUUUCUCUUGGAAACGAAAGCCACCUCAAUACACACAACCUACUCAAGCACCUUAGCAAUCCUCGAAUCUUGAACAAGCUAUUGUGAACCUUAGCAAGGUUGUGGGAGACUUUGUGGGAGAUCAGAAGUCCAUCAAUGCUCAACUGAAUCGGAGAAUUGACAGUGUGGAGAGUACAUUGAACAAAAGGAUGGAUGAGAUGUAAAAUGAUCUGUCUCAAAAGAUAGACAAUGUCCAAUACGUAAUCUCAAGGCUUACCAACCUCAACACAGUGUAAGAGAAAGGAAAGUUUCCUUCUCAACCUCAUCAAAAUCCUAAGGGUAUCCAUGAAGUAGAGGCUCAAGAGGGAGAAUCUUCAAAGGUGAGGGAAGUCAAAGUAGUUAUCACCUUGAAGAGUGGUAAAGAGGUUGAUCAACCCACAUCCAAGCCAAAGCAUAAUGAAGAGAGUGUAGCAGAAAAAGAAAAGAGAGGAAAAUAAAGGAAUUAGAAUAGAGAAAAAUACAAAGAAAGAUGACCAUGAGUCUAGUGUGGAUGAAGAGCCCGAGAGGAUGGUGAUCAAGGAAGAUAUGAUGAAGAAACACAUGCCUCCACCUUUCCCCUAAGCUUUGCAUGACAAAAAAAGAACCAAUAAUACAUCAGAAAAUUUUGAAGUAUUGAGGCAAGUGAAGGUCAAUAUCCCUUUGCUAGACAUGAUCAAACAAGUGUCGACAUAUGAAAAAUUCUUGAAGGACUUGUGCACUGUAAAGAGAGGGUUGAAUGUGAACAAGAAAGCUUUAUUGACCGAGCAAGUGAGUUCCAUCAUACAGUGCAAGUCCUAGUGAAGUACAAAGAUCCGGGUUGCCGUACCAUCUCAGUGAGUAUUGGAAGGACUUGUGUGGAGAAAGCUUUGUUGGACUUGGGAGCAAGUGUGAAUUUGCUAUCCUACUCUGUCUAUAAGCAGUUGGGAUUUGGAGAGUUGAAGCCAAUAUCCAUCACUCUAUCUCUAGCGGAUAGAUCAAUGAAGAUUCCAAGAGGGAUGAUCGAAGAUGUCCUGGUUCAAGUUAACAAAUUCUACUAUCCAGUAGAUUUUGUUGUUCUUGAUAUGGAUCCGGUUGUCAAAUGAACUAAUUAUGUUCCUAUCAUACUUGGAAGACCCUUCCUAGCUACAUCAAAUGCAAUCAUCAAUUGUAGGAAUGGAGUCAUGCAACUCACAUUUGUCAACAUGACAUUAGAGCUCAACAUCUUCCAUUUGUACAAGAAGCAUAUCCAUCAGGAGGAAAAAGAAGGUCUAGAGGAAGUGUGAAUGAUUGACACUUUAGUGGAAGAGCAUUGUGAUCGAGAAUGCAAAAAGAUUUAGUUGAGAAUUUUGGGGAUCUUGAUGAAAGGUUACUUGAACCCUCAGAUUUGCUUGCUACCCUACUCCAUUGGAAGAGAAGAGAAGAAAUUCUACCCUUAUUCAAUGAGGAGGAGACGCAAAGAGCUGCAAAGGAGAAACCCCCAAAACUUAUUCUUAAGCCACUACCCACAGAGUUGAAGUAUGUAUACUUGGAAGAAGACAAGAAGUGCCCUAUUGUUAUAUCUUCAACUCUUACCAUUCAUCAGGAGGAUUGUCUACUUGAAGUCCUUAGAAGAUGUAAGAAGACAAUAAGGUGGCUAAUUUCUUAUUUGAAAGGGAUCAGCCCUUUAGUCUGCACCCAUCAUAUUUACAUGGAGGAUGAAGCUAAGCUAAUUCAUCAACCUCAGAGAAGGUUGAACCCUCACAUGCAAGAGGUGGUUCGAGCUGAAGUUCUGAAGCUACUUCAGACCAGUAUUAUUUACCCCAUAUCAAAUAGCCCAUGGGUGAGUCCUACUCAAGUUGCGCCAAAGAAGUCUGGGAUCAUGGUGGUGCAAAAUGAUAAGGGAGAAGAUGUCUCUACACGCCUCACUACAGGUUGGAGGGUGUGUAUCAAUUACAGGAGGUUGAAUGCAGUGAUAAGAAAGGACCAUUUCUCAUUGCCCUUUAUUGAUCAGGUGCUUGAGAGGGUCUCUGGGCUUUUUUUUUUAUUGUUUCUUGGAUGGCUACUCCGGGUACUUUCAGAUAGAAAUUGAUGUUGAAAACCAAGAUAAGACCAUUUUCACAUGCCCAUUUGGAACCUAUGCAUAAAGGAGAAUGCCUUUCGGCUUAUGCAAUGCACCCGCAACUUUCCAAAGAUGCAUGUUAAGCAUUUUCAGUGAUAUGGUGGAGCGUAUUAUGGAAGUCUUUAUGGAUGAUAUCACCAUUUAUGGAAGUGCAUUUGAUGAAUGCUUGGUCAACUUAGAAGCUGUUCUGAACCGAUACAUUGAGAAAGACUUAGUGCUUAACUGGGAGAAGUGCCAUUUCAUGGUACACCAAGGGAUUGUCCUUGGGCACAUUAUCUCCAAGCAAGGCAUUGAAGUUGACAAAGCAAAGGUUGAACUCAUUGUUAAGUUGCCAUCCUCAACAAAUGUCAAAGGAGUAAGGCAAUUCUUUGGCCAUGUCGGGUUCUAUAGGAGGUUUAUCAAGGAUUUCUCUAAGCUUGCAAGGCCUCUUUGUGAAAUAUUGGUGAAUGAUGUUAAAUUCAUAUGGGAUGAUGGAUUUGAAAGGAGUUUUGAAGAAUUGAAGCUAUUUUUGACAACCGUACCAAUAGUGAGGGCUCCCAACUGGCAACUGCCCUUUGAAGUAAUGUGUGAUGUCAAUGAUUUUGCUAUAGGAUUUUUUCUUGGGCAAAGAGAAAAUGGAAAACCUUAUGUGAUCUACUAUGCGAGGAAGGCAUUGAAUGAGGCACAAAGAAACUACACAACCACCGAGAAAGAAUUGUUAGCUGUAGUUUUUGCCUUGGAUAAGUUUCGCGCUUACUUGGUGGGGUCCUUCAUCAUGGUUUUUACUGAUCACUUUGCUUUGAAGUAUCUGUUGACUAAGCAAGAUGCUAAAGCAAGGCUGAUUAGAUGGAUUCUCUUACUUCAAGAGUUCAAUCUCCAUAUCAAAGAUAAGAAAGGAGUGGAGAAUGUGGUAGCAGACCACAUUUCAAGGCUAGCUAUCGCACAUAAUUCCCAUGCUUUGCCCAUUAAUGACGAUUUUCUAGAGGGGUCUCUCAUGUUGGUGGAAGUUGUCCCUUGGUACGCUCACAUUGCUAACUACCUGGUCACGGGAAAAGUUCCAAGUGAGUGGAAAGCACAAGAUAAGAAGCACUUCUUUGCAAAAAUUCAUGCCUACUAUUGGGAAGAGCCAUUUCUAUUCAAGUAUUGUAUGGAUCAGAUAAUAAGGAAGUGCGUUCCUGAAGAAGAGCAACAGGGGAUCCUUAGUCAUUACCAUGAAAAUGCAUGUGGAGGCCACUUUGCUUAUCAAAAGACAGCCAUGAGGGUGUUGCAAUCGGGUUUCUGUUGGCCAUCACUUUUCAAAGAUGCCCACACCAUGUGCAAGAGUUGUGAUCGAUGCCAGAGGCUUGGGAAGUUGACACGCAGGAACAUGAUGCCUUUGAACCCCACUUUAAUAGUUGAUAUUUUUUAUGUUUGGGGCACUAACUUCAUGGGACCUUUCCCUAUGUCUUUUGGCUACUCUUACAUCUUGGUAGGAGUAGAUUAUGUUUCUAAGUGGGUUGAGGCAGUCCCAUGCAAACACAAUGACCAUAGAGUGGUUCUCAAGUUUCUUAAAGAGAAUAUCUUCUCAAGAUUUGGGGUGCCCAAAGCCAUAAUUAGUGAUGGGGGUACUCAUUUUUGCAACAAGCCUUUUGAAACUCUCCUAGCCAAGUAUGGGGUGAAGCAUAAGGUAGCUACACCUUACCACCCUCAAACUCAUGGACAAGUUGAGUUAGCAAACAGGGAGAUUAAAAACAUAUUGAUGAAGGUGGUGAACACAAACAGAAAAGAUUGGUCAGUCAAGCUUCUUAAUUCACUAUGGGCAUAUAGAACAACUUACAAGACCAUUCUCGGGAUGUCUCCUUAUCGCCUAGUUUAUGGCAAAGCAUGCCAUCUCCCUGUGGAAUUGGAAUACAAAGCUUGGUGGGCAAUCAAGAAGCUCAACAUGGAUUUGAGCAGAGCUGGGUUGAAGAGGUUCUUAGACCUUAAUGAGAUGGAGAAAUUGAGAAAUGAUGCCUACAUCAAUUCAAAAAUUGCAAAAGAAAAAUUGAAGAGGUGGCAUGAUCAGUUGAUUUCCCGCAAGGAUUUUCAAAAUGGACAAAGAGUCUUACUUUAUGACUCUAAACUCCACAUCUUUCCGGGCAAGCUGAAAUCAAGGUGGAUAGGUCAUUUUACCAUUCACCAAGUGCAUUCAAAUGGAGUAGUGGAACUACUCAACUCCAACAAUAUCGAGAACUUCAAAGUGAAUGGCCACCGUCUCAAGCCCUUUGUGGAGUCUUUUUCUCACAACAAGGAGAAAUUCAUCCUCCUUGAUCCACAUCAAGCUUAACAAGACCAAUUUUCUUGAUGGACUUAGUCUUUCUAAAGACUAUCGAGUCCAUAACUUUUUGUUUUAUUUUUUAUUUGAGAUUUUUUCGGUAUUGUUACUUGUUUUGUUUUUUAUUUUUCGUUUUAAUUUUAUUUGGUUUGAUUUAACUUAGGUUUUUGAUGAUCAAUUACAGGGGGGAUUUCAAAUAGAGGAAAAACCAAGAUAAUUCGCACACCCUACGAAAAUUUCGCAAGGCAUGCGAAAUUUAUGGCUUAUUUUGCAUGGGGUGAAAAUUUUCGUACAUCUUACGAACCAAUUUCGAACACUUUGCGAAAAUAAACCAACCCUGCGAAAUCAUUUCGAUUACUCUACGAAAUUUUCGUAGAGCAUGCGAAAAAUUUAGCACACCAAACACCAUUUCGCAUACUAUGCAAAAACCUAAGGGGUCUGCGAAACCAUUUCGCACCUCCAAAUCCAUUUCGCACAUUGUGCGAAAACCAAGAGGCGCUGUGCGAAAAUGAAAAGUCGCCCUGUCAUCCCUUUUUAAACCCCUCGAGCCCUAAAAUCUCCAUUUCGCAAGCACCCCUGUCCUUGCGAAUCCCUCAUUUUCCUCUACUACCUUGCAACCUCGUCCCUUUCCAUUUGAUAUUGUGCCCCGCGCACAUCUCAUUUCAGAGACUCGCACUCCGCGCCCCCUCAAAGCAUGGACUCGAGACCCACCUUCCAUUUCCGACGUGGCACGGACCCAAGGAGCCCUUUCUGCCCCUUCACUAAGACACACACCAAGGCAGAAAGCCUCCUUUGCUCAAGUGCCUAGUGAUUCUCCAUCUUAGGCCUCAGAGGCCUCGGAGGCCCCGUGGAUUCCACCUUCCGAGGGUAGAGCAGCCAUUGGUCCUUCCUCUUCUACUCCUUAGCGUAGAUACGAGACGAGGAGACCACCUACUACACAAGGGGCGACUACUUCGAGCCUUGAGAAUUCAGUACGAUGCCUUCCUGCCAAGAGGGUCAAGACUUCAGGUCCAAGUGAGUCAUCCAGAGCUUCAUAGCCUAAGCCUCCUGUAGAUUCCAAGGUUCCUACUGACAUAUCACCGGAGUCUAUUAUCAGAAGCCCGAUGCUCAUAGCACCGCCCAUUGAGGGCAACUCAGAUUAUAGAGCGAGAUCUUUCCACUUGGAGCUAUAUUUUGAUCAGGAGGCCAUACGACAGCAGCCUGAGCUCCGAGACUCUUAUGGCUUACUGCAGAGGUACCAUCUUGAGGAACUUAUGACUCCUCGUGAGUUUUUUUAUCCCAGAGUAGCACUAAACUUUUACCAGUCCAUGACUACUCGUGGCGUCCCGAGUCCUACCACGAUUCACUUCACCAUUGAUAGACGUCAUGGUAUCCUCAAGGCCAGACAUAUUACAGAGGCUCUACAAAUUCCUUUCGAGCUAGAGGAUCCAUCUGUUUUUCGCUAAUGGUCCCCAGUAUCUCAGAGGGACAUGGUCCGUAUUUUAUCUAGGGGAACAUCUACAGAUUCGAUCUUUCUACGGAAGGAGCUUCGACCUGGGAUGCUCCUCUUAGAUGUGGUGCUAUGCUCCAACCUCUUUCCCUUACAACAUUCGGUACAUAGGUGAUGAGCUAUUUUGGACGCUUUAUUCCGUAUAUCAGAGGGCUUCUACUUUGGCCCGCACCACUUGAUCAUGGUCUCCCUCAUCCACUUUGAGGAGAAGGUUCAUAGGAAGAAGCUUCAGAGGGUGGACACCAUUCCAUUACUAUUCCUGAGGUUACUUUGCCAGGUCUUGGAGUACAUGGGCUUUCCUACUGAGCCUCGGCUCGAGCUUUGCCGCCUUUGUCGAGAGUGAUCCACUCUCGACAAAUGGAAUUAGUUGGCGGGCUAUUCUGCACCUCCAGGAGCCCCUCCCAUGGUAGCACCUCCAAUGUCCCCACAGGCAAAGUAGGGCGAGCUCCCGGCAAAGACUGUACCACCAAUGCCCACACUUGAGGCUAUUUCUGCUGCUCUGCCUAUGACUCCUACUGUUCCACCAGUUGGUCCUUUUACAUCCGAGCCUUCCAUCACCAUCUCGGCUUCGGAGUUUCGCGCCCUUGUGCAUACCUUUCAGACACUCACCACCACACAUACUCCUCUCUUCUAGCAAAUGGUUGAGAUGUGUGCCCAUCAGGACCGGAAGACUACUAUACUCUGCCAAAUUCAGCAGCACCUAAGACUUUUGCCUCAACCUCAACCUAACCAUCCCAUAUCAUCAGAGCCUCUAGCUCCAACUGAGGAUACUAUUCCACCUGAGAACACUACCACAGUAGAGGUCCGGUUUCCACCACCUUAAGAGGCCACCACAGCUACAUCAGAGGAUGUGUCAUCUCCACUUGAGGCUCCCACUACUUGAUCAUAGGACAUAUCUUUAUCUUAUUGUAUUUACAUAUUAUAUUACUAGAGAUUUGUCCUUGUUUUGAUACUUUAUAUUCUGGGAUUGGAUGUAUUGCCUGAUGAUAUCUCAAUUGUACUUUCUCAUAUUAAUAUAUAGACAUCAAUUUUUUUUAGUAUACUUAGCAUUUUUCUAUUUCCUCUACUCAUUACUCUUUUGUUUUUUUUUACUCAUGUGGUUUCUCUUAUACAACUCAGACUCCAUUUCACUCAGGAGGUACCACUUCCUCCCUUUAUUUUCAAUUGCUCUUGAAAUAUUGAGUGCAAUGUUGAUCUUGGUUGGGGGGAGAGUUGAGGAAGGAAGUUUUGUUAAUAAUGCUAGGUUAAUUUGUUAAUUUAGUUACUUUCUGCUUAAUUUUAAAAGUUUUCACUCUACUUUCCAUGGUUAUUAAGGAAAAAUUCUCAAAAUGAAAUGGGAGAAAUCGAAUUCUUGCAUUUUUACUUGAAUCUUAGAAUUUGUAUCAUGCUUAUUAAAGUUGAUGAAUUAUUGAAACUCCUAUUGAAUUCAACCUUAUUUUUUCCACUUUAAUCUUACCACACACGGUGCACAUUAGGUUCCAGUUAUAAGAUAAAAAACUAUCUCACCCCCUAAACUUAGAAAAAUUUACACUUGGUACCUUUGACAUCGUUUUAAUAGUGUUGGGACACCUUAUAAAAGGCCAAUGAGCCUUUAAAAAAAAAAAAAAAAAAAAAAAGAGAAAGAACAAAGUAUUGCACUUGCCUUGAAACCUGAGCAAGAUCCGAGGGGUAUACAGUGAAAGUCUUUAAAACCUGGUGCCCUAAGCCUUGAUUGGUUGGGAGUCACCGACCUCAAUGCUCGUUAUAAGGGUGAAUAGGUGGAGUUUAACAUAUUGUAGGUGCUUGGGUAUUGAAUUUCAAUCUCAAAAGUCCGGGAAAAAAUCUAAGGAGUUAGUGGUCAAAAGAUCCUUAAAGCUUGAUGCCCUAAACCUUGAUUGGUUGAGAGUCAUUGAUGGAUCCCCGCUACAUGGACAUUUUAGAAAACAAUACCUUUAGCAUUGCACGCCUACAAUGAAAAAAAAAUGUGAAAUAAAAGAGGUGCGUUCUUAGCCUAUUGGAGGUUGGUCAGUUUGCUAAAGUUUGAGAAAUCUAGGUUGGGGGGAGAGAAUAGUCCGACAUACUAUAAUAAAAAACUAAUAACCUUAACACUUAGAUUUUUGUGGAAGAGUAAGGAUUGGACCUUUAGGGGUGGAAAUUCUUUUGAUGCUUAAAUUUGCAUAAUGCCUACUCUUUAUAAAUUAUGAUUAGGCAAGAGAUUUGAUGACUCUUGUUCAAAGUUGGGUUUUUCCUCUUUGAUGUUCCAUGAGAGAGUAUAAUCCUCAUCAUGCCACUUGAAAUCUUUUUGGAGUGAUUAACAUGAUUUUGUAAAUUAUUUUACUGUCUAUUUUUCUUUAUCUCUCUUUUAUUGCUAAUGGACUAGCAAUAUGUCAGUUGGGGGGAGUGAUUACUACUCAAAAAGUACUCUUUUAUAGCUUGAAACUAACUGUUUUAAACACUUUUGAGUAGGUGUUAAUACAUUUUAACUCAAUUGGCACAUUAAGGAACCUAACAAGGGUUACUAAUAAGUUUUUGGCAAGUUUUGGUGUUUUUGGUAGCUAUUUGAUCAUUGAAACAAGCCAAGAAUGAGGGAGAAUUUUGUGAAGUCCAUAGCAAUGCAAGUUAAAGCUCAAAUACAUGAAGAAUCCAAGCUUUGAAGCACUUCAUAGCCCUUUGCGAAGCCAAUCAGAGAUGCAAGGAAGAAAACCAGAGGAAAAAAUCCAACAACCAGCAUUUUCGCAUGGCUGUGCGAAAUUUUGCACACCAUGCGAAACCACAAGAAGUAGCCAAAGAAUUUUGCACACCAUGCGAAAUUUCGCAUGGUAUACGAAAUCUUCCUAUGCACCAACUCCGUUAUAUUUUUAUCUUCAGAUAUUUUGUGUAAUUUCCUAGUUUCUCCUUGUAACCAACCUAGAUAUUUUCUUUUAUAUCUUUUUUUUAUAUUUUUUAGGUAACAUCAUAUAUAGGGGGAGAGACAUAAGGAGGAUAUGGAUGUUUUUCAUAAAACACUUUUAAUUUUCUGGUAGUAAGAAAUAUACAAAGUUUUUUGCUCUGCCUUACCUUCUCAUUUUGUUUUCACCUAUCUUUCUAGCCAAACAACCUCUGAGAAUGAUUUCUCAGGGGAUGAGUAGUUAGGUUUUACGUUUCUUGGAGUGAGAGAAGCUAGGUGAAAGACCCAAAUGCUAAGGUGGGAGUUGUCCUUGCUUUAAAUGAAAGUAGUUGUUAAAUAUUAAUGGUUUUUAUUUUAAGGUUUAGCUUUAAAUCCCUUAAAAACACCUUGAAUGGCCAAUACUUGGUAAGCUUUUCGGAUUCUAUGGAUGCUUAUUGCUAGAUCCAUGGAUGUCAUUAGUUAUCAUUUAUGAGCCAUUGGAAGGUGGUUCAAGAUGAGAGUCUUUAGUGUUUGAAGCCAUUAAUGGGAAACAAUUACCAUUUUUUCAUGAAUCCUUUGGAUAAAAUCUUAAUUGCUAAAUAUAAAACUGGUUCGGGAGAUAACCAUCCUUUAUGUUAUUAUGCCCAAUGCAAGGAGAAGAUUUCGAAUCUUCUCAUUUGUCUAAGGAACCCGAUCCUAGUGACCUAAAGCUCCUAGAGACCUUUUCUUUGUAGUUAACUUCAUUUAUUGUUUUUGCUUAACUUAAAAUCAAUCUUUGCAACCACAAUUCCAUUUUCUUUAAAAGCUAAUUUUUAUAAGGAAAAGCACCAUUUUAUUUCCUUCACUAAGUCAACUGUAUGAUGAAAACCCAUCCCUGUGGACGAUCUUAGAGCCACUAUACUAUGUUAUCUAUGCUAUCCUAGUGUGAGGUGAUUUAGGUUUUAUAAAUUUUGUUGAUAACACCCGUCUGAGCCAGAAUCAAAUGGAACCACUGAACCAGGGACAAAUCAACAGCCUAUAUGGGAGGGACACAAGUUUAAUUGAUUUGCAUUUCAGCGUUAUAGAUAAGUAUGUUUUGGAAGAUUUGUUCUGGAAAUACUGCACCAAGUACGAUUCUUUUUCUCUUGAGUGAGUCCAUUUGCAUGCCAAUUAACGAGUUGAAAAGUAGGAGCACCUACCUCGUGCUCAUGGAACCGAAUGUCAGUGAAGUGGGGCUCCUUUUAGCCUCUUGUGUUUCUGUUCCAACCAAGGCGGCGUAGGGAAAAACAACAAUAUGUCUGUGCUAAAUAUCAACGCAUGAUAGAUGUUUUUUUUUUUUUUUUUGGUAUGUCAAGGCUAACGAAUGAAAUGCAUUAGCUUGUUUUGUGACUAUAACUGCAAAUGUCCAAAUUGGAGUAUCUCCAUUUCUCACUUCGGAUGGUUAACUUUAUAAACAAGAUAUAGGAAACAUGUGAACAUCUUGAGGAACAAUUCAAAUUAUUCAUUAGAAGUCCUGGGUUAAGUUCCAAGAUUUAAAUCAGACCCUUCUAGCAGCUUCAAGGGUACUUAGCAACCUAUAACAUAUUAAUGAAGAUUUAGGAUUUAGACUCCGGAAUACAAAUAAAUAUGUAUCUCAUGCUUUGACUAGCUUCCCUACAUAUGCAUAAAAUGGAGAUGACCCAAAAAAAAUAGCAGAAUCUAGCUUCCCUACAUAUGCACAAAAUGGAGAUGACCCAAAAAAUAGCAUAAUCGCCUUAGUUUCUGUGGUUAAGGUGAUUCUCCGCUUAAUAUCCACAUUGACUCAUUAUGCAAAAUCAACUGAGCUAAUUUUAUUUAUUUAUUUAAUGUCAAAUAGGAACUCCUAAUUAACUGAUUACUGUCGAAAAGUGCUAUUUUGUAGACCUAAUUAUAAGGGUUUUAAGCACCUUUGAGUAGUAAUCAUAUUCAUUUAACCUAAUUAAUUCAUUAAGCUCCUUAGUAAUUAGUUCUAACCAUUUUUAGUGGCAAGUUUACAUGUUUUUCAUCAGCUUAUGAACCAAUUCAAGCAUGCCAAUUGAUGGAGGAGCUACUUGGGCGAGUUAAGCAAGGAUUUUGGACGUUUACAGGCUUGAAUUUCAAGUGGAAACACGAGCACAAGCAAUGGGAACACCAUUUCGCAAGGGGAGGCAAUUCACCUUGCCAAAUGACCAAUUUCGCAAGGGGAUUUUCCUCAUGGUGCAAAAUUUGGUCAUUUCGCACCAUGAAGAAACCACCUUGCAAAAUUUCGCAAGGUGGAUUUAGGCACCUUGCGAAAUGCCAAAUUUCACAAGGUGGCUUUUCACCUUGCGAAAUUUGGACCUUUCAUCUUCCCCCCUUGCGAAAUGCCUUUGAAAUCCCCUGUUUUGAGACGCUGUUGAUGAUAUUCCACUGCCGGUUCUCCAAGAUAUUUUGCUUGACUUUUAGCUUUAUAAAUACCUAUUUUACCCUUGUAAUCAACCAAUGAAAAGGUUGCUUUUGUAAUAGCUCUUGUAAUUUAGCUUUUUAUUGUCUUUAAAUAGAGGUGAAGAGCCUCAGACACGAUCAUCUUGUAACCUGUAACUUUAUAAGUUAUAAGAGCACUUUUGUUCAUACGCUUCUUUUCUCUUUUCUUUCUCAUUUUCUUAGUAGCCAAACAUCCUUGGAGGAUGAAAUCCCCAAGGAUGAGAGGCUAAAACCUUUUAGUUUCUUGAAGUAAUGGAUGCCAUGUGAAGCUCCCGUGUCAGGAUGGAGAUUUCCAAGCCAUAAAUGUAAGUAGCUGAGCGUCAUAAAUGUUUUCAUUCAAAGUAAAGCUUUUAAUCCCUCUGACUUGCUUUGAAUGGCCAAUACUUGAUAACCUUUUGGUCUCAAUGGAUUCUUAUUGUUAGAUCCACUGACGUUCAUUAGUUAUCUCCUACGAGCCAUUGUAUUGCAAGUCGAGGAGAUGACCUAUACCAAUAAAAGAGCAUUUAUGAGGUUCAACUACCCUUUUUGUAAGUUUUCAAGGACUAAAACUCAGUUGUUAAACUCAUACCGGUUCGAGAAGUAAGCAUCACCUUAGUUGCUUCCCCAACUCGAGGUGAAAAGUCCCAAAAUCUCCAUUUUUACACAGUGAGUUAAGCAUGGCUAUCCAAAGCUUUAAGAAACUUCUUUUUCCAUCUUUUAACCUAUUUUCAUGUUAGUUUAGUUUACAACACCUUCAUCUUUUUAUGUUUUCAUCUUAACCUAAUUUUUAUUAAGAAAAGUUCACUCCAUCCUCCGAACUUCACCAGUUAAAGUAAAAACCCUUCCCAGUGUUCGAUCCUAGAGCCACUAUGCUAUAGUAGCUUUGCUACUUUAGUGUAAGGACCUUAGGUAUAAAUUUUGUUGAUACCCUUACAUGCCAAGCUACCAAGAGUCGGGUUAUCAUUAACCUAACCAUUGGCCUGUGUAAAUUGAUUUCACAUGCACAAUGUUGUAGUAGAAGUCCAUAUUUUGAAUUUUAUUUUUGUAAAGGUAAGGAAAAUGAAGCAUUGUGUAAUUAUAAAAAUAACUUCAUUGGAAUUCACAAGGUUCACCCAAAAUGGAGCUACAUCUGUAUUCUAUCCUACAGUAGACUAUAUAGAUUGUACAAUAGUAAAUUGCAAAUACAAUUAAUAAGUCUUGUGCUUCCUUACUAAUAAUCCUUUGACAUGAACAUUGCAGCACUAAGGUCCUCUUGGGAAGACACCUUGCACCCAUGAGAGCACUAAGAGGAAGCAAGGCAGAGUCAUGGGUGCAAUGUCAUGACUUGUUGUUGCACCAAGAGAGGCUUGGUGAUGCCAUGGUGUUGCAGUAGCAAGAAUGUUGCCUUGGCAGGGACACGAUCUAGGGAUAGAUGCCAAGAAAGGCUUAGCACUCACAUGAGUUGCACAAAGAUGAAUGUAAUAGAGCAUCAGAGAGACGUCUUGGCAAGUAAAUGAAUGGAUCCAAGAGACAACAACAUGAGGAGUUUCAAAUGGAUAAGGAAUGACUCAAAGACAUUUGAAAGCUACAAGUUGGAUUCUAAUUACGAUUGCAAUUUGAGUUUGAGUAGGAGUUUAGAUUUUGAUUGUAAUUGUAGUAUGAGUUGGACUAGGAUUGCUUAUCCUUAGUCAAUAUAGGAGCGGUUCGUGUCACCCUAUGAAAAGAGUUUGAGUAGGGACUAGGAUUGCUUACUCCUAGUCAAAUAUGGAGUAGGUGGUGCCACACCUAUAAAAAAAAGGGACAACAUGAGAGAGAGAGAGAGAGAGAAAGAGAGAGUGAAUUCACUAAAGAUAUUGUGGGAGUUUUGCUUUGUUACGUCUUGUAUUAUUACUUAGAAUAGGAAUAAAAUACAAGUUGGGGCUAGAGCCCCAUAAUUAAUCUCGUGUGCCUUUGUGGUUAUUCUUUAUUUGUCAUCUCGUGUGGAUUGGAUUAGGUUGACUUAGAGGGCUUCUAAGCACCACCUUUGUGGGUUAUUAUUUAUUUUCCAUCUCUUGUGGAUUAGAUUAGGUUGACUUAGAGGGCUUCUGAGCACCACCUUUGUGGGUUAUUAUUUAUUUUCCAUCUAUUGUGGAUUAGAUUAGGUUGACUUAGAGGGCUUUUAAGCACCACAUUUGUGGGUUAUUCUUUAUUUUCCAUAUCGUGUGGGUUGGAUUAGGUUGACAAGGAGAAAAAUUAUGUGGGAAAUUUGUGUUGGGACACUUACCAUAACCAAGUAAAAUCUACCAAGUCCUUUGUAAUAUCUUCAACAAAUAUUUUAGACUAGUUCUUUCAGUUAGUGUAAAGGAGGAAGAAGUGGUAUUGAUUCUAGAAAUAGGGUGUGUGUAUUUGAACUACAAUCCUUAUGAUCCUUAGGUCUCUAAACCUUCGUGAUGGGCUCCCUGACAUUUCAUAGGUUGUGCUACACAUGCGUUUGAAAUUUAGAGUGCGUUUGACAGUGAUUCCGGGAAGUGUUUUUGGCCUUUCUUACACUUGAAAAUUUUUAUUUUUCAAGUAUUAGAAAUGCUACAAACACUUUUGAAAAUUACUGUCAAACACACUCUUAGGAGCGCACAUAUAUAGUAGAAAACUAGAAAUUGUGGUUUUUUUAGGAUUUACUGUAAUGUCAUUAGGAGGGUAGUAAGUUGAAAUUGAGUAUGAACAAAUAUUUCUUUCUUUGGGAUGUUCUUCUAGUAGGUGCUGAUGAAACUGUUCUUUCUACUGCCAAUGUCACAUAUCAGCCAGAAAUUGAAAAUUUCAGUCAAGGUGUCCUCUGUUUUAGUGGUGAGGAAAGCUAGAAAUUUUAAGGUGAAGUUUUGUUAAAAACCUUAAGUAGCUGGGAUAUCAGGCCUGUUUUGCUUGAAAAAAAAAGUUGCAAGAUAACUCAUAUGCCAAACAGGUUCUGAUAUUGUGAAUCUAUCGGCAGACAUCAGUAAUCUCAUCUUCUGAGAUGGAUGUUGGGGGUGCAUGUGGUGGUGGAGGGGCAAGGUUUCAUUUGGUUUAUUUUGUUGAUGGAUAUUGUCUAGCCACCUGCGCCAAGUUUGAGGGGUGGUGGGUUGUGAUGACCCUACAAUUACUAUUAAUUUCUUCAUCUUUUACCGAUUAAAGUGUCCGAACAGUCGAAGUUACCCUUAUGCAUGUCAACUUGAUCACUUACCUCUUCAAUGGAGUUUAUGCUGGUUCAUUUAGGAACUGAUUUUUAUUGUUAUGUAUUAUAUGCUGAUGUUUAGGUCUCUCCAUCAUCACUAUAUACAAAAAUUCUAGGUUGAUACUAUAGGUUGAGAUUUAUUUUUUAAAUAAAAAAUAAUAAAAAUAAAAAUUAUGGUGAUGUUUAGUUGUUUUAUGGAAAAUUUUAACAAGUAAAAGUUAUUUUUGGGCAAGUUUUCAAACAAAAAGAAAAGUAAAAGUUGUUUUGACAAAAACAUAUAGAAAAAAAAAUCAUAGAAAAUAAAUAAUUUCCCCAUAUUCUAACUUUUUUGAAUUUUUCUCAAUGGGCAAAGGAAUAUCAAAUCAAGUUUGAGUAGGAUUUCUUAAUUUUUAAAAUAACUUACAAUUAAAAAAUUUUGGUGUUUUCAUUUUUGGACAAUUUUUUAUUAAGCAAAUGGACUCUGAGUCAUGCAAGAGAUAUGGUUCAUUAACCGGUCGAACAAUUUUUUUAAAUUAAUUUAAAAGUCAAAUACAUAAUCAAUUUCACAAAAUUUAUAAACAAAAAUAGGUUUAGAGAAGAUCUACACAUAAUUUUACUUUUCUAAUUUUAUUUUAUUUUAUUUUUUGUUGGAAAAUAGUCUUCAAAUCAUGUAAGAUUUAAUAGGUUAAAUUUGUUAACAAUAAAUUUUAAAUUAUAAAAUAUAAUCUGGAACUCAAAAAUCAAUUCAAGUAAUGCUAAAAAAAAAUCAAAUUUGGUAUAGAAUGACUUUGUAAAUUUUUUUACAAAACAAAUGAAUUUUAAAUCAAGUGAGAUUUAAUGCAUUAGAUUUUUAUCAAAUAUAGUAAUUUUAAAAAUAAAUUUGGAACUCAACAAUAGACACAAUAAAUACCAAAAAAUAAUGAACCAAAAUUGGUUUGGAAUAACUCCACAACCUUUUUUUUUUUUUUUUGGUGCACACGAAUUUUCUUACUAGGUAUAUUGCUUUCAAAUUGAGAAAGAUUUACCAUUUAGAUUUUUUUUUAAUGAGUUUAAUGGUAUUUUAAAAUAAUUCAAAAUUUAAAAAAUUGACUAAUUAAUAUUAUAAAUUGAUAAACCAAGACUAUUUCAAAAUGCAUUGGGGGCUAAGGGGGUUGAAAAUAGGGACAAUGGGAUGGGUUUGGGACAUGACACUCAUAUCUCAUUUCCAUUCCAAUUACACAGUUAUCUCCCAUCCUUAUCCCAAACUUGUGUUGGAGCAAGUUGAUUUGUUCCCAUCUUUGUUGACGAAAUGACUAAUAACCUCAUCCCCUCCUUAUCUUAGAUGUACAUUUUGUCAAAUUUGAUCAGGUAUGAUUGAUCCAAGCCCUAACCCUAAUUGGUAAUGAGUGAAUACUACACCUAAUUGCAUUCUUCUUUCAUUGCAAAAUAAUGAGAUUAUAAUAAUCUAGCAAAUAAGAAAAAAUAGUAUGGAAGUUCAAAUUAACACCAUAACUAUCAAUAAUUUUAAGCUUAUAGAUGACUUAAAUGAUUAAAAACUAAUGCAAAAUCCUAAAAAAAAUAAAAAUCAUAUAAAGAAUUCACAAGAGAACAGAAUGAACAAAAACCAAAUAUGAACAUGGGUCAACAUUAGUUAUGGAUUUGGAUUCCUUUCAAGGCCAAUCUUUGAACCAAGACUUCAUCAAAUCAACUACUUCAAAGGCUUUUGUGUUCUUCUUGGGUUGUGCUCUCAAACAAAGACUUCGAGGUGAUGUUCUAGAUGAUUGAAUUACACAUAUUUAGGGUGGAGAGAUUGGAGAAGCUUGAAGAUGCCAACGAUGGGUACAAUUGAGUGGUCAAUAAGAACAAUGUAGCCUAUGACUAGUUUGAUGUCAUGGUACAAGAGUUUUAGGCAUUGAGGUUAAAGCAAGAGCAACAUGGAAUUGAUUUCGGAGUCUUUCAGUUAGUGUAAAGGAGGAAGAAGUGGUGUUGAUUCUAGAAAUAGGGUUUUAAGUGGUGCGUGAUUACUACUCAAAAAGUGCUAUUUGAUAGCCUUUAAUUAAUCCUUUUUAACACUUUUGAGUAGUAGUUUAGGCCUUUUAACUCAAUUGGCAUGUUAAGGAUCCUUUAAAGCAAUUUUGAUCACUUUGUGCAAGUUUUGGUGUUUUUGUUAGUAUUUUGAUCACCAAAGCAAGUCAAGAAUGAGGAGAACUAUGAGGAAUCAUGGGCAAAGCUUAGAAUUCAAUUGCCAAGAGUGAAUCCGGAUUGCAAGGAGAAAAAGCAAAGAGAAUCUGUCAUGAAGCCUAUUCUUGAUGACAGUCGUAGCAGCCACUUUUGGAGCACUUUCUGAAGUCCAAAUGAUGCAAGCUAUAUACCAUUUCAAAGAUCAGGAAGUCAACAAUCCAAUGCUUCAAACGGUGCGCGAUUCGGAGUUGAAACGAAGAAGUUGCAGCCAUUACAAGCCAGUCACUCUAAAGUGUUGCGGAAUCAGCCUUUUGUUGCGAGAAUUUCGCAGCACUUUUGUACAGUAAGGUGUUUCUCCUUCUGACGAUGCACGAACCAUGCCGCGAGAGGGAAGCUAGGAACUUCAAGAUGGAAGCCAACUUUGCAGCCUGGUGAAGAUAGCUUGGUCUUGCGAAAUAAUUUCGCAGCCCUCUUGGGUGUCUGCGAAAUUUCGCAGGCACCACUUUUUUCCUGCGAAAUGGCUCCGGAAGCCUCCCGAAGCUUGCUACCGACAUUGGGAGAUAUUUUCCAUUAGAUUUUUGUUGUCUAAAUUCCAAAAUACUCCUUGUAAACCACCAAUUACAUGAUUCCUUAGUUUUUAAGUUAGUAAAAAGACCAAAUAUCUAUGUAAUAAUUAGUUUUAUAUUAGUUUGCUAUAAAUACCUCUCGGGAGCAUGUUCUCAGAGAGGAGUUCCUUCUGUAACCAUUUUGGUAAGCAAGUAAAGUCUUUUCUUUCUACUGCCUUACCUUCUCACUUUGUAUUUUCAUUUUAUUUCUAAGUUAUGAAUUCUCUGAGGAGCUUUCCCCAGAGAAUGAGUAACUAAACCUCCAAUUCCUUGGAGCUAAGGUUGCCGGGGAAGGUUCCAAGUGCAAGAAUGCAAAGCUCUGUGGUUUUAGCUAGUAAUGAAGAGGAAGUGAAAUCCUUUAGUGAUUUCAAUGUUUUUAGUUAACUUAAAACACCUUGGAGUCACCUGGGCCAACACUUGGUAAGGCAAGUGAUUUCCAACCGUGGAAAUGCACUAGUUUACCCCUUGCGAGCCUCUGGUAGGUGACUUCAAGGUAGGAUUUUCUGGAAUUACCAACACUUGGUAAGCUUUUGGACUCCUAGGAGACAUCCAUUAGUUAUCUCUUGCGAGUUUGUGAAGGGGAAUCCAAGGUUAAAGAUCACCUUGAAUGGUAAGUGCUCGUGAGAGGCAUGAACCAUUGCAAGUUGUAUCAGUGAGAGAAUUAAAGUGAAAUCUAAUUGAAGGAGUCUCUGUACAUCACCGGUUAGAGAAUUGACUAUAAGUUGAAUCUCUAAUGCGAGGAAAUGAACCAUCUGACCGGAGCUAUGUCUUUUGCAUGAGGAACCACCCCAGUGAACCUAAAUCUCCAAGGAAUGCUUUUCUUCCUAAAUUAUUCCAAACUUCUGUUAAGUUAGUUAGUUUAAGUCUAAACCUUUACCAAUCAAACUUUGUGUUUUAUUUCUUAAGCUAACCGUGAAAUGAAACAAAACCAAUUCACUUGGAAUUGGUAUCCUUGAUUGCUUGCAAAUCAUUCCCAGUGAACGAUCCUUAGAGCCACUAUACUAUAGUAGCUUUGUAUUUGCUACCCUAGUGUAUGGUGUUAUAGGUAUAAAUUUUGUUGAUCACUUCCUCAAUCAAGGAACACCAGCUGAACACAAAUCAGCUGAGACACCAAUUGGGCAUGAGUCAAAUGGCGCCGUUGCCGGGGAAUGAGUGUCAAGAUCAUUGUGAUACCAUUUUUGAGCACUUGUGAUUUUCAUCACAAGUUGGUAAAGUUUCUUUCACUUUACUAAUUUUCAUUCUCUCUUUGUUUAUUUACAAUCUAAGUUUAUCUUUUUAAAAUUUAGUCUAGUUUAAUUUUGCUAUUGUAGCCUUGUUUCUCUUGUUGUCCUCUGUUCUUGUUGUCCUCUGUUUUCAUUUUAGUUGCAGCUGAAUACUAGUUGUGUAUGCCAAAGUGGAUACGAGACAUUGGAGGUAGGCUUAUUAAGUGUGAUACACCUCAGAGAGGAGAAUUGGAAGUAAUCUUGAAUAUCAUGGAGGCUGCACCUGAAGAUCAGCAUAGUCACCAAGGUCGUCAAGACAAUCUCAAUGAAUUCAGAUCAAUGAGGGACCGUAUGCAUCCACCUCGUAUGAGUGCACCAUCAUGUAUAGUGCCCCCUACAGAGCAACUAGUGAUCAGACCAUAUCUUGUUCCACUUCUACCAACUUUCCAUGGGAUGGAAAGUGAGAAUCCGUAUGCACACAUCAAGGAAUUUGAAGAUGUUUGUAAUACAUUCCAAGAGGGAGGAGCUUCAAUUGAUUUGAUGAGGCUUAAGUUAUUUCCUUUUAAUUUAAAGGAUAAGGCCAAAAUUUGGCUUAAUUCUUUAAGGCCAAGGAGUAUCCGCUCUUGGACUGAUUUACAAGCUGAAUUCCUCAAGAAAUUUUUUCCUACUCAUAGAACAAAUGGCUUGAAAAGGCAAAUUUCAAACUUCUCAGCUAAAGAGAAUGAGAAAUUCUAUGAGUGUUGGGAAAGAUACAUGGAAGCUAUAAAUGCUUGUCCUCACCAUGGCUUUGAUACUUGGCUACUGGUGAGUUAUUUUUAUGAUGGUAUGUCCUCCUCAAUGAAGCAACUCCUCGAGAAAAUGUGUGGAGAAGAUUUCAUGAGCAAAAAUCCAGAGGAAGCUAUGGAUUUCUUGAGCUAUGUAGCUGAUGUUUCAAGGGGAUGGGAUGAACCAACUAAAGGAGAAGUGGGAAAGAUGAAGUCUCAGUUGAAUGCUUACAAUGCAAAGGCUGGGAUGUAUACUUUAAAAGAGGAUGAUGACAUGAAAGCAAAGUUGGCAGCUAUGACAAGAAGAUUGGAGGAGCUGGAGCUGAAAAGAAUGCAUGAAGUGCAAGCUGUUGCUGAAGCACCAGUGCAAGUGAAGUUGUGUCCCAAUUGUCAAUCGUUUGAACAUUUGGUAGAGGAAUGCCCUGCAAUUUCAGCUGAAAGGGAAAUGUAUAGAGAUCAAGCAAAUGUUGUUGGACAAUUCAGGCCCAAUAACAAUGCUCCUUAUGGAAAUACCUACAAUUCAAGUUGGAGGAAUCAUCCAAAUUUUUCAUGGAAGGCCAGAGCAACUCAAUACCAACAGCCGGAUCCACCAUCUCAACAAUCUUCAAGUAUUGAACAAAUAAUAGCUAAUCUCAGCAAGGUAGUGGGAGAUUUUGUGGGAAAGCAAGAAGCCACCAAUGCUCGAGUGGAUCAAAGAAUGGACAGAGUGGAUCAAAGAAUGGACAGAAUGGAGAGUAUGUUGAACAAAAGAAUGGAUGGAAUGCAAAAUGAUAUGAAUCAAAAAUUUGAUAACAUCCAAUAUUCAAUUUCAAGGCUUACAAAUUUGAAUACACUGCAAGAAAAGGGAAGAUUUCCUUCUCAACCUAACCAAAAUCCCAAAGGUGUCCAUGAAGUGGAAAGCCAUGAGGGAGAAUCAUCACAGGUGAAAGAUGUGAAAGCUUUGAUCACUCUAAGGAGUGGUAAGAAAAUUGAGCAGCCAACACCCAAGCCACAUGUUGAGAAAGAAGAAGAGAUGAAGAAAGGGAAGGAAAUGGAAGAUAAAGGCAGUGAGAUCAGUGAAGAAAAGAAGGACUCUGAUGCAACAAUGAAAGUAAUUCCAGAGAAGGAGCUUCUGAAGGAAGAAAUGCUGAAGAAAUCAACUUUUCCACCUUUUCCUCAAGCAUUACAGGGGAAAAAGGGGGUUAGAAAUGCAGCUGAAAUCCUAGAAGUAUUGAGGCAAGUGAAAGUUAAUAUUCCACUGCUGGAUAUGAUCAAACAAGUUCCAACGUAUGCAAAAUUCCUAAAGGACUUGUGUACUAUCAAAAGAGGGUUGACUGUAAACAAGAAAGCCUUCUUGACUGAGCAAGUAAGUGCAAUCUUACAGUGUAAGUCUCCUUUGAAGUACAAAGACCCUGGAAGUCCUACCAUUUCAGUCAUGAUUGGAGGAAAGGUAGUGGAGAAAGCCUUGCUAGACUUGGGAGCAAGUGUGAAUUUGCUUCCAUAUUCUGUCUACAAGCAACUGGGACUUGGAGAGUUGAAGCCAACAGCAAUCACUUUGUCUCUGGCAGAUAGAUCAGUGAAAAUUCCAAGAGGGGUAAUUGAGGAUGUAUUGGUUCAAGUAGAUAAUUUCUACUAUCCUGUAGAUUUUGUUGUUCUUGAUACAGAUCCUACUGUAAAGGAAGCUAAUUUAGUUCCUAUCAUCCUUGGAAGGCCAUUUCUUGCAACUUCAAAUGCAAUCAUCAACUGUAGAAAUGGGCUUAUGCAACUCACUUUUGGUAACAUGACACUGGAUCUAAAUAUUUUCUAUAUGUCUAAAAAGCAAAUCACUCCAGAAGAAGAAGAGGGUCCAGAAGAGCUAUGUAUUAUUGAUACUUUGGUGGAGGAGCACUGCAAUCAACAUAUGCAAGAUAAGUUGAAUGAAAGUUUUGUGGAUAUUGAGGAAGGUUUUUCUGAAUCUCCUAAUGGGCUUGCUACUCUACAAAGUUGGAGAAAGAUAGAAGGAAUUCUACCUUUGUUCAAUGAAGAAGAGGAGGCAGCUGUUGAAAAAGAAAUUCCAAAACUCAAUCUGAAGCCUUUACCUAUGGAGCUGAAAUAUACAUAUCUUGAAGAAAAUAAUCAAUGUCCUGUCGUAAUAUCUUCAUCUCAAACCAAGUCUCAAGUGAAGGAUGCAAGCUUCAAAUGGGAUCCGGGCAAACUGAAUCAGGAAGGGCAAAAAGUUUUGAUGUAUGACACAAGACUCCAUAUCUUUCCUGGGAAGCUCAAGUCAAGGUGGAUUGGUCCAUUUGUUAUUCACCGAGUAUAUUCCAAUGGAGUGGUGGACUUAUUGAAUUCCAAUGGCAAGGACAGCUUUAGAGUCAAUGGAUAUCGUCUUAAGCCGUUCAUGGAGUCAUUCAAAUCAGAAAAGGAGGCAAUCAACCUCCUUGAACCUCAAAAAGCCUAAGUGAAAUGGGUUUGCUGGACGUGGUUUUACCACAGUCCAAAAAUUUUUGUAAAUUUUGUAAAUUUUCAAGUUGUUUCCAUGCUUUUAAUCUUAGUUUUUGAUUUUAAAUCAUGUUUUUAGGUGUGUUUUAAUCGUUUUAUAUGAUCCCAGGCGGAAGAAAUUUCAAGGGGAUUGAAAAGAAAAAAAUCGGGUCGAAAUUGGAGCCGAAACAGAGCAAAAACAGGGGAAAAACAGAGCUCUGCGAAAUUUCGCAGGGUGAAGGAAACUUCUGCGAAAUUGGCAUUUUGCUGCCAAACCAUUCCGCAGCACUGUAGAAGCCUCUGCGAGUGUAUUUCGCAAUUGCGAAAGUGGAUUUGGCACACGAGUGCCACUUCGCAGCACAGUGACAUCAAUUUCGCAGCUGCGAAACUCACUGCGAAGUUGCUGCGAAAAUGGCAAGUUGCUGCGAAAUUGGCGUUUUGUUGCGAAACGUAAUCUGACCCCUGGGCUUCCGUUUUUCCUAUUUAUACCUGUCAAAAGUGCUGCGAAAAAGGUUUCAAAAAUUAGAGCACCAUUCUCGCAGCCCUUUCAUCUUCUUCGCCAAGCCACGCCGUCCGUUUCUCCGGUCGUCUUCUCCGUUUAGCAGCGCCGGCCAAAGAUCGAUAGCCCAAAAAUGGCACGAACGCGAGGGGCAAAGUCUUCAUCCCCUUCGAACCGCAAAAGGAGUCUGCGAAAGGAGCCAAGUUCAGGCUCUGUUCCAGAACCUGCUCCAAAGCCUUCGCCGUCGAGACCACAACCUUCUCCAGUGAAGCCGGCGCCACCAAAGCCGCCGGCAAGGCGAUAUUUAACCAGGUCAGGUGGUCAGCCAUUGAAGAAGAAAGCCAGAGUUGAGAGCUCUGAACCAAUCGAUUUGACUGAGCAAUCCCCUGAGAAAUCACCAAAUCCUUCACCGGUACAAAUUCCAGUGCCAUCACCGGUUCCCUCGCCAAUUCCCUCACCAGAAGCAACUCCAAUUCCAUCGCCGGUACCAUCUCCGGCACCCCAAGAAAAAGCUCAGGAGCCUCAAGCGCCAAUUCCAGAGCCCCAAAUUGCAGCUGAAGCACCUCUGGAAGAAGUGAUCCGAAGGCCAAUGCUGCCUCAGCCCCCAAUCGAAGGAAACCUGGAUUGCCGAACUCGGGCAUUCCAUUCUGAGCUUUGCUUCGAUUUAACAGCAUUCAGAGUGAGGCCAGAGCUUGCCCAAUCCUUCCAACUGCUGAGGAGAUAUCAUAUGGAGCAUCUGCUAGCUCCAAGGGAUUUUUUCUAUCCCCGGGUAGUCACGGAUUUCUACCAAACCAUGACAACCAAAGAAGUAAGAAAUCCAACUCUGAUUCAUUUCAUAAUUGAUGGAAGGCAUGGUAUUUUGGGAGCAAGACAUAUUGCUGAAGCCCUGCAAAUUCCUUUUGAGCCAACUCAAUUCGACAAUUUUAAAGCUUGGACAAAUCCUACUGAGUUAGAGAUGGUUAGCACACUAACCAGAGGAGCUGCAAAUCGAUCGCAUUUGUUGAGGGGGGAGCUACCUCCAGUUAUGUUUUUGAUUGAUGCCUUUUUGAGGCAUAAUAUCUAUCCCCUGCAGCAUUGGACCCAAAGAAGGGGAAUUCUCCUAGAAGCCUUGUACAAAAUGUCUGAAGGAUUCUUCUUUGGGCCUCAUCAUCUGAUCAUGGCAGCCCUUCUAUACUUUGAGGAGAAGGUUCACAAGAAGAAGCUUCAAAGAGCAGAUUGCAUUCCACUCCUCUUCCCAAGGCUGCUAUGCCAAGUUUUGGAGCAUCUCGGAUACCCCUCUGAGCCUCAGCAGGAAAGAAAGAGAAUAUGCCGUGAGCCUUUUACCCUUGAUAAAUGGAAUAAUAUGACGGCCUACAAAAUUGAUCAGCCUGGGCAGCCUCAGCCAGCAGCAAGGAGAGUCUCCCCAAGACAUAUACCUGAAGGUAUAACACUUGCUACUCCUGCCAUCCCUCGAGCUCCACCAGCUGCACCUGCUCCAUCACAGCCAUCCACAUCAGCUGAGCCGAGGAUGGCCAUCCCUAUAUCCGAAUAUCGAGAGCUGUGCCGUGCAUUGGAGACUCUUACAGCUUCUCAGAGCAAUCUUGCUCAGGAGUUGGCAGCCAUUAAAGCAUGCCAGGAGCAGAUGUUAGCCUCUCAGACUCAACAAGCUGCCAUCCUAAGGCAGCUUCAAGUCCAUUUCGAUCUGCCACAAGCUGUAGAGCCCUCUAUUCCUACUCCACCAGAGCCACACUCUCAGCCUUCAGAGUCUCAUCCUCCAGAACCCGAAGCACCAGCUGAUCCACCUACUGAGGAGGCAGAUCCUUCUGCCUAGCACCAUCACCCCCCUCAUCAGACAUUAUAUAUAUAUUUGCUGUUUAUGUUUUUAUGCAUGUUUGUUUUGUUUUAGUUGAAAAGAAAUCCCAGUAUUUUGGUACUAUAUAUGGGAUUCCUUGUGUUACUUGUCUUUAGUAUUGUAAUCACAUGAACUCAAAGUAAUACAAGUUGACUAUUUCUUGUUAAAAGUUAGCAUUAAAGUUUCCUUAUUUCCUUUUCUCACAUAUUCUAUUCUUUUUGAAACAUGUGGUUUUCCCCAAUCAAUAUUCGAAUUUGAUAUCAGCAUGGAGGUACCACUUCCUCCCUUUUAUUACAGUCACUCAAAUCACAUUGAGGACAAUGCUCAGUUCGGUUGGGGGGUAUGAGGAAGGAAGUAUUCUAAACCUUUUUGGUAUUGCAAUUAUAUUGGUUAAUUAGUUGUAGAUUUUACUUUUUACUAGUGUUACUCUAUUCUCCAUGAAUUUUGAGGAAAAAUUUUCAAAUUAAACCAAGAGAAAUUGAACUGUUGUUUUUCACUUGACUUAGAGUAUGGAUUAUGCUUACUAAAGUGGUUCAAUUGUUGAAACUUCUACUGAAAUUGAAUUGAGUUCUUCCACUUUAAGCUAUCCACACACUGUGCACAUUAGUUUCCGAUUAUAAGAUGAAAAGCUAUUUCCCUCUUGACUUAGUAUAUUUUUGGGACUUGGUAUAUUUGACCUCAUUUGAUAAAAAUUGAAACACCCUGCAAAAGGCCAAUGAGCCUUUGAAAUAAAGAAAGUUGUUUGCUUGCCUUGAAACCCGAGCAAGGUCUGAGGGGUAUAUGGUGAAAAUCUUUAAAGCCUGGUGCCCUAAGCCUUAAUUGGUUGGGAGUCACCGACCUCAAUGCUCGUUACAAGGGUGAAUAGGUAGAGUUAGCAUAUGGUAGAUGCUUGGGUAUUAGAAAUUCAUUCUUAAAAGUCCGGGGAAAAAUCCGAGGAGUUAGUGGUUGAAAGAUCCUUAAAACUUGGUGCCCUAAACCUUAAUUGGUUGGGAGUCAUCGAUGGACCCCCAUUACAUGGACAAGUCAGAAAGAGUACCCCAUAAAGCUACCUUAAAAAAAAAAAAAAAAAAAAAAAAAAAAAAAAAGAUGAAAGUGUGUUCUUUUCUUAUUGAUUUUGGUCAGUUUGCUAAAGUGUUGAAAAGAGAUAGGUUGGGGGGUGAGAUUAGUAGCAUAUUAUUCUCGGAACCUAAGGAACCAAUACACAUAGAUUUUUGUGGAAGAUUGAAGUUUAGUUCUUAGAAAAUGAAAUGAUUUUAAAACUUCAGUUUGCAUAAUGCACUCCCUUGAUUGACAGUGUUUAGCAUAGGUGUUAUGACUCUUGUUGAGAUUUGGGUUUGUAUUUCUUUAAUGAUUCAUGUGAGAAAUAGAUCAUCAUGCCACUUGAGAAUUAUUUUCCUUUUAGCAUGAUGUUGUAAAUUUUAGAUUAGUUUGCUAUUUAUUUUUUAUUUUCUCUCCUAUAUUGCUAAGGGACUAGCAAUAUGUCGGUUGGGGGGAGUGAUUACUACUCAAAAAGUGCUAUUUGAUAGCCUUUAAUUAAUCCUUUUUAACACUUUUGAGUAGUAGUUUAGGCCUUUUAACUCAAUUGGCAUGUUAAGGAUCCUUUAAAGCAAUUUUGAUCACUUUGUGCAAGUUUUGGUGUUUUUGUUAGUAUUUUGAUCACCAAAGCAAGUCAAGAAUGAGGAGAACUAUGAGGAAUCAUGGGCAAAGCUUAGAAUUCAAUUGCCAAGAGUGAAUCCGGAUUGCAAGGAGAAAAAGCAAAGAGAAUCUGUCAUGAAGCCUAUUCUUGAUGACAGUCGUAGCAGCCACUUUUGGAGCACUUUCUGAAGUCCAAAUGAUGCAAGCUAUAUACCAUUUCAAAGCUCAGGAAGUCAACAAUCCAAUGCUUCAAACGGUGCGCGAUUCGGAGUUGAAACGAAGAAGUUGCAGCCAUUACAAGCCAGUCACUCUAAAGUGUUGCGGAAUCAGCCUUUUGUUGCGAGAAUUUCGCAGCACUUUUGUACAGUAAGGUGUUUCUCCUUCUGACGAUGCACGAACCAUGCCGCGAGAGGGAAGCUAGGAACUUCAAGAUGGAAGCCAACUUUGCAGCCUGGUGAAGAUAGCUUGGUCUUGCGAAAUAAUUUCGCAGCCCUCUUGGGUGUCUGCGAAAUUUCGCAGGCACCACUUUUUUCCUGCGAAAUGGCUCCGGAAGCCUCCCGAAGCUUGCUACCGACAUUGGGAGAUAUUUUCCAUUAGAUUUUUGUUGUCUAAAUUCCAAAAUACUCCUUGUAAACCACCAAUUACAUGAUUCCUUAGUUUUUAAGUUAGUAAAAAGACCAAAUAUCUAUGUAAUAAUUAGUUUUAUAUUAGUUUGCUAUAAAUACCUCUCGGGAGCAUGUUCUCAGAGAGGAGUUCCUUCUGUAACCAUUUUGGUAAGCAAGUAAAGUCUUUUCUUUCUACUGCCUUACCUUCUCACUUUGUAUUUUCAUUUUAUUUCUAAGUUAUGAAUUCUCUGAGGAGCUUUCCCCAGAGAAUGAGUAACUAAACCUCCAAUUCCUUGGAGCUAAGGUUGCCGGGGAAGGUUCCAAGUGCAAGAAUGCAAAGCUCUGUGGUUUUAGCUAGUAAUGAAGAGGAAGUGAAAUCCUUUAGUGAUUUCAAUGUUUUUAGUUAACUUAAAACACCUUGGAGUCACCUGGGCCAACACUUGGUAAGGCAAGUGAUUUCCAACCGUGGAAAUGCACUAGUUUACCCCUUGCGAGCCUCUGGUAGGUGACUUCAAGGUAGGAUUUUCUGGAAUUACCAACACUUGGUAAGCUUUUGGACUCCUAGGAGACAUCCAUUAGUUAUCUCUUGCGAGUUUGUGAAGGGGAAUCCAAGGUUAAAGAUCACCUUGAAUGGUAAGUGCUCGUGAGAGGCAUGAACCAUUGCAAGUUGUAUCAGUGAGAGAAUUAAAGUGAAAUCUAAUUGAAGGAGUCUCUGUACAUCACCGGUUAGAGAAUUGACUAUAAGUUGAAUCUCUAAUGCGAGGAAAUGAACCAUCUGACCGGAGCUAUGUCUUUUGCAUGAGGAACCACCCCAGUGAACCUAAAUCUCCAAGGAAUGCUUUUCUUCCUAAAUUAUUCCAAACUUCUGUUAAGUUAGUUAGUUUAAGUCUAAACCUUUACCAAUCAAACUUUGUGUUUUAUUCCUUAAGCUAACCGUGAAAUGAAACAAAACCAAUUCACUUGGAAUUGGUAUCCUUGAUUGCUUGCAAAUCAUUCCCAGUGAACGAUCCUUAGAGCCACUAUACUAUAGUAGCUUUGUAUUUGCUACCCUAGUGUAUGGUGUUAUAGGUAUAAAUUUUGUUGAUCACUUCCUCAAUCAAGGAACACCAGCUGAACACAAAUCAGCUGAGACACCAAUUGGGCAUGAGUCAGUGCGUUAGAGGAUCAAGAAGAAGAAAAAGAAGGAACUGUUGGAAUUAGUAUGAGUGUGAAGAGAAAAGUAUAUAAAUAAGGGGAAGUAAAAGCAAAGUUCAAAAAGCUAUAUUUUUUUAUUGUUGGUGUAUGGUUGCAUGAUUAUCCCUAUAAAUAAUAGGAGUUUUUUGGUAUUCUACUAGUAGUUGAAGCAUAAUUUCAUAAAUUAAUAUUUAGAGCGGGGUGGGGUGAGUUGUGACAAAAUUCAUACCCGUCCCAAACCUUGGUUCAGAUUUUUAAAAUAUUCUCAAACUUAUCAUAUACCCAACUUUUAUAUUUCAUACUUGUCCUAAUAGAGGCACGUUAGGCCGGGUUACUUGAGUAACCUACAUAAUUGUCAUCCCUAGUUGAAAUACACUUUUUGGCAGUGGCCACCAACUGAGCUAGAAGCUUGAUUGAUUGACCUACAAGAUUAGUUCUCAUCAUUUUAAAAAAAGUUCUGGCUUUGGUUGUGAGUGCAAUUGAAUCUAAACUGGCAUUUGCUUAAUGCAUCUACUUCAAUCCUAAACUUCUUACUUCUUAAGCCUCAAUUGUUGUUAGGAUUUUGGAAAACCCAUUUCCUUAAAUUGUAAAUUUAAGAUAAAAUAAAAUAAAAGUGAGACAUUUCUUGAUUGAAUAUUGUUAAAGGUCCCUUGGCAUUAAGACUUGGUUGAAGCCUUGGAAGAUUAGUGGAACUCUCAACAUGUGUUUGAAUCUUGAGGAGAGUGGAUGUAAGCCAAAAUUUUGUCAAACCAUUAUACAAAUUGAGUUUGAAUCCUCAUUUCUUGAUUUCUUAUUUAUUUGCUUUUUCUUAUUAUUACUUGAAUUGUCAUUUGCAUUCAUUAAUGUUAAAAUUGGUUAUAAUUAACCAACACUAAUUCUCUUUCCCCUUCCCUUUCUUGGGUGUAAACCUAGGUUGGAUUAACUAGAUAAAUCUAUUAAGAUGGUAAAAGAAUAAUUAUUCUUAACAUACAUAAGAUCAUCUUCAAUCAAAUGACUCAUUGGCUAAUAUGUUGAAUUUGCUUAUUACUUGCAACUCAAAAUUGUGUUCUAGUUGUGUCAAGUCCCCAGUGUAUGGACAUUAAAUUUGUAGUACGUGAUGAGUAAUUAGAUGGUCCAACUCCAAGAAAGUGAUUGAAAAGUAGUUCAAGAAAGGUGCAAAAGGGAAUUGUUUUGGUAUUUUCGUUUUUAUUCUUGAAGGUGGCAGAGCUAAAAUUUGAGAAAUCAAGCAAAACAUACUGAAAUUACAUUGAAAGAAAGAAGAUGGGAGUUAAUGUCUUGCAGUACAUGAUAAGGACUUCAUGCAUGUAGUGUGACCCAUGUCUUGGACUGAUGCCAACUCACGGUUACACUUAUACCCUUGGUUCUCUCUUUACUACCUUGGCUAACCUAGAUCAGGCUAUGAGAUAGGCUCCUCACCACACCAUUACUUGCCCAUUAAUUAGAGACAUUUUCAAGCAAUGAGGUAACAUGGUGACACCAAGAGGGUCUAUUCCUCGCCCGGAACAAGUCUAGACUUGGUCUCAAAAAAAUGGAGAAAAAUGAGGUGUCGUUAUGUAGAAAUACAACAACCAUGCCUUCCUCAUUACUUAGAUUCAGAAUGUGAAGGUGAAAUUGAGAAACAGAAACUCUUGAAACCAAAAUGAAAAUUGAUACUUUUACGAAGAAUUACAACAACAUUAGAGGAAGACUACAUUCUUCCUCUUUAUUCCUACAUUUCUACACUACUUCUACUCCACUCCAUAUUUCUACAUACAUCUUUAAUCAGUCUUCCCUCCUUUAUAUAGAGCCAUCUUCACACAAAUUUCGCAAGGUAGAAAAGAGGAAUGAAACUUGGAGCAAGGUUCGACUACUGGUUGUAGCUUGUCAAGGCUGGAAGUGAACUUUUCUUGGCUUUCUGGGCAUGGGUAGUAACUUGUGGGUUCCUGUUUGGCAUAAAAAUGGCUAGAACAUGUGGCACUAUCUUGUUGGAUGAUGUGUCAAGCAUGUGGCAGCCAUCUAGUGGCGAUUAUGUCAAUUUUGGGAUGGAGAGUUGGCAUCCAAUUGCAAAGAAAUAUGACGUCUACCAACAUGCAAUGUAAACCUAUGUAGAUCAUAUGAAGAUAGAGAGGAAAAAUAUAGAAAUGGAUAUAUACCUAGAACUAGCUUUUUAUUAAAUGAAACGGAGAGACAACAAUGAAGGAAAAUAAAAUUUUUUGGCUUAUAUCAAAGAGUUCACAUUGUGUUACCCUAGGUUUUCUUAAAACUUACUUUUAUGAUAACAAAAAAGAAAAAACCAUUAUUGUUUAAUCCUUUGUUUUAAACGCAUGUAAGGUGUAAUUAAGUUAGUUCAAUGCAUUAAUUUAAGAAACUUGACCUAUCAAAAGUACAAAAUUAGAUGAAAUCCAUUUCAAUGGUUAAAAUGAUCAAAAUCAAACUUUUUCUAAGUAUUUUUUAAAAGCAUCAAUAGUGAAAGACAAUUUUAUAUUUAGUCGGAGUUUGGACAAAACUGAAAAACACACAAAAUCCAAGCGACCAUCUCUAGCUUGGAUGGUCGCUUGAUCCCACCUAGAGAUGUGCAUGAGUAAAAGGAUUUGAAAAUGGAAAUUGACUAUGUAGUCGAUCAAUUAACUUUGCAACAUCAUAUGCAAUCCUAAUUGCUAGUCAUCUAAUCAAUUAGGUAGUCAAUCAACAGGCCAAAAAUAUGUUUAUAAUGACUAUUUUGUACAAAAACCACCUGUAUAGUUAAAUAUAAUGCAUUUCAUUUAUAAAUCUUCUAAUUCUUGAAUAACGAUCCUAUCAUCCUUUGAAAGUUUUUAUUACACUUUUUUUACUUUUGUUCUAAAACUUACACAUCACCCUUAAUUGUACCAUGAGAACCUAGCUAUUUUUUAUUUUUUUUUUUGUAAUUCAUCAAAGUUAGCUUUUGUAUUCAUUGUUGUAUUAUUUUUAGUAUAACUUAGAAAGCUAGUGUUUUCAAGUGAGUAAAAUUAACUUGUAAAUAUUGUAAAGAUUCAUCGACAUGUAUCUUAAACUAAGUGUACAAGUUAAAACAUUUGCUAGUAGAUUUUCUCAAAAUUUAGAAUAGAGCUUGAGACUAUUGAAAUAGGUGGGGUUGCACCAAACCACAUCACAUCGUUGUUUGCACCUUUUUUCACUCUCUUUUACUUAGUUGCUCUAUAUUUGUUGUCUAGUAAUAUCCUAUAGGCUUGAUGGGUUAGGGAGCAUCCCUUUGUGAAAAAAUUUUAUUCAAUCCUUAGUUGUAUCACGCAUAUAUAAAAUGCCUCAUUGUUUUAAUGGUAUUCAGUCGUGGCAUCACAGAUAUGGGCAUCUAAAUUUUAAAAGUUUGAAACUUUUAUCUAAAGAAAAUAUGGUGCUUUGCCUUUUUGUAAAGCAUGUUGAUGAAAUCCAUGAGAAUUGUGUACUUGGGAAGCAACACCGAGAUGACUUUUUUUUUUUUUUUAUAAUAUUGUUUGUCCAAAUUCCCUACAAAUUAGGCCACCAGAUGUUCAUAAUUCUCCCUUCUUGAAUUUGAAAACUCGGACAAUUGGACAAUGCGACACCUAAGUCCGGUUUCUAAAUGCUAAAGUGAAAGGGUAGGUAUGGACCAUUGAAAUGUGAUCACAACUUUUCUCUGUAGCCAUGUUGUCUCUUUUUUCUUUUGCAUGAUUUUCUUACCUUAACAGAAUCAUAGACUUGUUUAGUCUCUAAAUGGGAUUAAUUUCAUCCAGCUUUAAGCUACUAUAUUAUAUCUAGGUGGAGGACUUUUAAGAGUGCAACCGACAUAGAGCACAUGGAAGUGGGUAUAUGGGACAUGAAAUUUCUUCUUAUAAAGAUUGCAUGAUUUUUAUAUUAGAGUUGUUGAGGCGCUAUGUAUUUAGCUUGUUUUGCAGUUAAAUUAAUUGGAUAAGUAGACAUUGGCGUUUCUAAAUCUACUGUGAAGUGCUUCAUGUACGUGUGAAGUAUUAGAAAUUUCUUUCUUGGCAACUUGUUUUUCUUUGCGGUCUACUGAUAGGUUUGACUAAAAUUAUAUUCCCUGUCAUGCUAAUUAAUUUUCACGUGCAUGCUCAAAAGAAAAGUAUGACCUUAGUGCACCAAAAUCACUUUGAUUAAUUUGUGAUAGGUUUUUGUGCAUCAUGACAUUAGCCUUAUUCAUUUAGAUAAUGUUUAGUUUUUAGAAAGUAUUAAGAAAAGGAAAAUAAAUAUUAAGAAAAAUAUUCUUAUAUUUGAUUGUAUUAUGAAAAAUAUCAUAAAAAAAUCAAAUAUAAUUUAAAUUAAUUAAUAAUUUAUACAUUUUCAAAUUAUUUAAUCUUUAUAUUGAAGAUAUAAUAUAAAUGAAAUGAGUUUUAAGUAUUAUAUAAAAGUGAUUUAUUGAUCUUACAUAUAUAUAUUUCUUUUUUUUUUCCUUCUAUUUUUUCUCUUUAUUUUAUUUUCCUUAUGUUUUCCUCAACAUUUUCCGGAACCAAACAUAGCCUUAGGAAAUCCACAAUUACCUUCAACUGAGUAGAUUCUGUUGUUUUAGCAAUGUUAGGCUGCUAACUUGUGUUGGUACGAACCUAUUAAGCCUAAAGAUGUAAUUAGUUAGGAUAUUCUUUUCCCUCUAGUCUUGUAGCUCCACGUGUACAGUUGGUUAGGACCUCAUUGUAUAUAAUGCUUGCCCUGUUAUUGUAGAAGACAACAAAGAUAAAUAAUAUUAACAUUUUUCCUCUCAUCUCUCUCUGUUUCCCUCUGUUUUCAUCUCCUCUCUCAUCUUGGUAUCAGAGCCUCCAUGGCUUCUUUCAAAGAAACCUCCGAAUCACCUUCUGCUAGCAUUGUUAAUGUGCAAAACCCAUUAUCUCAAUCAAACAACCUUCCUUCACCAGUAGCCACACCCUCUUUUUCUUUCUCGUCUAUGAAUCAACCUCUCACAGUGAAGCUGGAUAAUGGGAACUACCUCAUAUGGAAGAAUUAGCUUCUAAAUGUCAUCAUUGCUAACGGACUCGAUGAUUUCAUUGACGGAUCUCGACCCUGCCCUCCUCGAUUUCUCGAUCUGCAACAACAAACCCUCAAUCCAGAGUACUCAGCUUGGCAGAGAUACAAUCGACUUCUGAUGAGUUGGCUGUACGCAUCCUUGUCCAAAGAUAUAAUGGCUCAGAUUGUUGGGUAUUCAACAGCUAUGGAGAUUUGGAAUGCCCUUAAUCAGAUUUACUCUGCCUCUUCUAUGGCGCGGUUUACUGAGCUUCGCACCAAGCUUCAAACGCUCAAGAAAGAUGGACUCUCAGUUGGUGAAUAUAUUCAAAGGCUCAAAUCCAUUUGCAAUAGUCUUGCAGCAAUAGGAGAACCAGUUUCUGAGAAAGACCAUCUUAUCUAUUUGUUCAAUGGAUUAGAUUGUGAGUAUUAUUCUUUUGUUACCUCCAUUCAAAAUCGAUCUGACCAACCAACUAUUGACAAAAUCCAUAGCCUAUUGCUUAGCUAUGACUUCCGGCUUGAACAACAAAACUCUGUUUCUCUCCAUUCUGCCCAAGUCCAUAUGGCUCAUCUGAACAAGAAACCUUAUAAAUCAACUCCUCAACCUACAUUCAAUCAUAUUCACAUUCAACCUAGAUACUCUUCUCCACCUUUUAAGCCAACCACUAGUCAAUAUCAACCCAACAUUUUGGGCAAACCACAACCACAACCAUGACAGCCUCAACCUCAAUGGAAACCACAUUUUUCAAUCUAAAAUCAAAAGCCUCAGCGCCAAAUUUGUGGUAAAUUUGGACACACUGCUCUUAUUUGCUUCCAUCACACAAAUUUGAACUAUUCACCCCAACCUUCUCCUAAAUCUUUCAAUACUGUUCUCACCACAAAUUCCCAGCUCCCUAAUCCUCCAAAAUUUUCUUACCCUACAAUGGCUCAUCCUGCUGCUACGCAUAACACGGUUCCCGAUACAAAUUGGUACAUGGACUCAGGUGCUACACAUCACUUUACUCUGGACAUCAACGUGCUUGACACUGUGACACCAUUUAGUGGUUCAGAACAGGUGACAGUUGGGAAUGGUAAGCAACUCUGUAUCUCACAUCUUGGUACUGCAAAACUACCAUCUUCGUAUUCUCCUCCUGUUCUACAUCAGGUAUAUCACACUCCAAAAAUUUCAAAUAAUCUUAUUAGUGUUAAAAAAUUGUGUUCUGAUAAUAAAGUUUUUGUUGAAUUUUAUGCCACUCAUUUUCUUGUCAAGGAUCAGGUUUCGAAGAGAGUUCUCCUUUAGGGUCAACUUGAUAAUGGCUUAUACAAAGUUCAGUCGUCAUGCUCUCCUUCUGCUGUUUCCUUUCCUCCUCAAGUUUUCAUAGCCAACAUCAAGUAUCCAAAUCUGUGGCACAAGAGACUAGGCCACCCAGCUUUAUCUGUUGUUAAUCAAAUCUUGGAUUCUUGUAACAUUGCUCGAACACAGAAAAUUUGUUUUAAUUUUUUAAAUUCUUGUCAAUUAGCAAAGAGCCACAGGCUUCCUUUUUCUCUGUCUCCAUCCAUUGCAGAAAAACCUUUUGAGUUAAUUCAUACAGACCUAUGGGGUCUUUCGCUCGUUCGCUCUAUUUCUGGUGCUCUUUAUUUUUUACUUUUCAUUGAUGAUCAUACUCGUUUUACUUGGUUUUAUUUGCUCAAAACAAAAGAUGAAGCAUAUCCUACUUUUCUCAAGUUUCAAGCUCUCAUUGAAAAUCAAUUUAAUACCAAGAUUAAGGCUGUCCAAUCUGAUUGGGGAGGUGAGUUUCGAUCUCUCUCCAUACCGUUUUCAAAUAUGGGCAUUGUCUAUUGUUUAUCGUGUCCAUACACCUCACAACAGAAUGGGCGAGUUGAGCGAAAAAAUCGCCAUGCGAUUGUCCUUUCUUGCUUGCUCUAUGCCCUUAUCUUAUUGGCCUUAUGCCUUUCAAACUGCCACUUACCUUAUUAAUCGUCUCUCUACCCCUGUGCUGCAUCAUCAAUCCUCUUACUUCGCACUCUAUCACAAACUCCCAACUUAUACUCAUCUUAAGGUCUUUGGUUCCUCUUGUUUUCCGUAUUUGCACCCUUAUAAUACCCAUAAACUCCAAUACAGGUCACUAGAGUGUGCUUUUCUUGGUUACAGUUCACACCACAAAGGUUAUCUAUGUCUUGACAUUCAUUCUAGCAGGGUGUAUAUUUCUCGCCAUGUGAUUUUUAAUGAAGAUUCUUUUCCAUUCAAGAAUUUGAAAUCUUCUCUCUCUCAGUCUAUUUCUUCUUCCUCUUCUUUAUAAGUUCCUCUGUUCAUUCUCUUGCCUCCCCUUUCCCCAUCUCCUCUUAUUUCUUCAUCUAUACCUCAUUCUUUUCCCUCUUCUUCUUCUACCUCUAGUACUUGUUCCCCUCUCGUUGCUCCUACCUCUCUUCCUUCCUCUUCACACUCUGUGUCUCCAUCUAUUCCACCUCCUUCUCCACCUUCUCCGAGUGUGGACCUGCUUGCACCUUGUGUGAAUACAAAUUUACAUACUUCUUCUCGCACUCACAAUAUUCAUCCUAUGGUGACUAGAUCUAAGGUUUGUAUCUAUAAACCUAAGUUGUUGUUGAGUGUCUCCAUAGGUUCUCUCACUAAGCCUACUUCCUUUCUUCAAGCUAUUAAAGAUCCUUCAUGGAAGCAAUCCAUGGAAUUCGAGUUUGCUACCCUUCAACACAACAAGACCUGGCAUUUGGUUCCUUCACCUUCCUCAGGCGAAGUAAUCGGUUGUAAAUGGGUCUAUAAGCUAAAGCUUCAGCCUGAUGGCUAAAUUGAGAGAUACAGCCUGCUUAGUAGCUAAGGGUAUCAUCAAAUUGAAGUAUGGACUACUUCGAAACAUUCAGCCUGAUNNNNNNNNNNNNNNNNNNNNNNNNNNNNNNNNNNNNNNNNNNNNNNNNNNNNNNNNNNNNNNNNNNNNNNNNNNNNNNNNNNNNNNNNNNNNNNNNNNNNAGCUUCAGCCUGAUGGCUAAAUUGAGAGAUACAAGGCCUGCUUAGUAGCUAAGGGUUAUCAUCAAAUUGAAGGUAUUGACUACUUCGAAACAUUCAGCCUGAUUGUCAAGCUUUCUACUAUCUGUAUUGUGCUCAGUCUUACUUUUUCCCAGAAUUGGUGUAUUAGACAGCUGGAUGUUCAUAAUGCCUUCUUACAUGGUGACUUAGCUAAAGACGUUUUCAUGGAACAACUGCCUGGAUUUGUUGAUCCUCUCUAUCCUACUCAUGUCUGCAAGUUGGAUAAGUCUCUCUACUGUCUUAAAUAGUCACCUCGGGCUUGGUAUACUAAGCUGAGUACUUCUCGCUACACUUGGGAUUUGUUACUUCUAAGAAUGACUCUUCCUUAUUUAUUUGUCAUUCGUCUCAUGGGUUACUUCUUGUUCUUGUCUAUGUGGAUGAUAUAAUCGUCAUUGGGAGCCACUCUCCUCAGGUUACUCACCUUAUCCAACAGUUGCAUCAUUAGCUUUCUUUAAAGGAUCUUGGUCCUUUACAUUAUUUUCUGGGCUUGGAGGUUCAUCACACCCCUACUGGUAUUCACCUCAGCCAAGCAAAGUAUAUCACUGAUCUCCUUACCCGGGCGGCUAUGUUGGAUGCCAAGCCAUGUCCCACUCCUAUGUCCUCCAACACAUAUCUCUCUUUUCAUGAUGGAGUGGCUCUUGAAAAUGGUUCAGAUUAUCGAAGUUUUGUUGGUGCCCUUUAGUAUUGUACCAUGACACGCCCAGAUAUAGCUUUUGCAAUAAAUAAAGUGUGUCAAUUCAUGCACCAUCCCUCUAAUGUUCACUGGCAGGCUAUAAAACGUAUUCUCCGGUACUUAAAGGGCACAUCUCAUUUUGGUCUCUUCCUACAGCCUUCCUAUGACUUCAACAUCACUUGCUAUACAAAUGCCGACUGGGCUUCCUGUCCUGAUGACAAGUGUAGCACCAGUGGCUACUGCCUCUUUCUUGCCUCUAAUCUGGUUUCUUGGUCAUCUUCCAAACAAAAAGUGGUCUCCCGCUCCAGCGCCGAAUCAGAGUACCGAGGGGUAGCAAAUGGGGCUGCUGAAAUUGCUUGGACUGAAUCUCUUCUUUGUGAACUUUCCAUUACUCCCCCUCCCCUCAUUCUCUGUGACAAUAUCAGUGCCACGUACUUAGCUGCCAAUCCUAUUUUGCAUGCCCGCACCAAACAUGUGGAAAUCGACUAUCACUUUGUCACGGAACGUGUUCUUCAAUGCUCUCUUUUUGUCCAGUUUACACCUUCUGAUGAUCAACUUGCUGAUUGCAUGACCAAGCCUCUCUCCACCCAACGUUUCAUCACUCUACGCUCCAAGCUCACUGUUCUCACUAGACCAAUGAGCUUGAGGGGGGAUGUUAAGCCUAAAGAUGUAAUUAGUUAGGAUAUUCUUUUCCCUCUAGUCUUGUAGCUCCACGUGUACAGUUGGUUAGGACCUCAUUGUAUAUAAUGCCUGCCCUGUUAUUGUAGAAGACAACAGAGAUAAAUAAUAUUAACAUUUUUCCUCUCAUCUCUCUCUCUGUUUCCCUCUGUUUUCAUCUCCUCUCUCAUCUGAACCAAAUGAUCCAUGUUAACCUUGGCUUGGUUUGAUUUGGCUCUAUCUUAGAGAGCUCAAGGAUCACGUCAACUCUGGUUUCUACUAUUCAGGUCCAUUCCCAUAUGAACUGGUUCAAAUUUGAGAAAAUGGUAACAGACCUUUAGUGAUGUUGGUUUGGAGCCAGUUGCCAAACCCGCCCUGAGCUUUACCACUAAUGUCAAGGGAGAAAGCCAUUUGAACAAAAACAAUAGCUUCAAGGGACUGAAUCGUGGAUGAAAUCUGAUCCACAUUUCUUCUCAUUUUGGAAACAAAUGAGAACUUAACUAAGAAGAUUCUACGGCCUCAUAGUGCUUUUCCUGAUCUAAGGUUGGUUCGUUUCCCAAACUGUGAGAUGCACGUGCCAGACUUCAGAACUCUCACGCUCAGGAGUGUAUCCACGUGGUGGACAUAAGAUGGUGGCUUAAGAUCUGGUGUCGGUGGCUUUACUUUACUAGGAGAGUAGUGUGUCUUCAUCUCAUUCACUGCCGGAGGGUGGCGUAAGCAGUGACGCUAAGGUGGGGCACAGUCAAUAUCAUUUGCAUUUGACCAUUAUAGUUUUCUCCCGGCUUUAAAGUAACCUUAUCGUGAUAAAGGAUUACUAGCACUAGUUCAGAUGAUAGUCAUGUUAAAUUCGGACCAUGUUUGUGUCACAUUAUCAGCAACCAUGUGUUUAUGGUUCAUGCUUUCUGCAACUAAAAUUGAUAUAUAACCAGGUGAACUUCAAUCUAAAUUCUGAAAGUACUCAUGUGAUAGAUGGUGCCCGUCUGCAGAGUCCAUCAAUUGAAAAAUGGAGUGAGUGUAUCUAUAAGAGGGAAGGCUUGGAAAAUGUUCAGUUUUCUGGGAAUUCAACAAGGAUCUAAAAUAGAUUGUUUUCUUUGCUGAUUUCAAUGGUUGAAAUUUGAGAAGAUUGUGUCCACAUAACACAACUAUUACUGGUCCUUCUGUUGCAAUUUAUCCUCUAAAGCUCUAGCAUGUCUUCCAAUUCCCACUUCCCUGUUACUCCAGGAAAGCUAUUUCUGUCAUUGUGAAGAAGAAAAGAGAAUGUACAUAUCGAUGCUUUUAAGUGACUGGAGCAUUUAUAUCAGGUGGUCUGCAGCCAUAUAUGCCACUUUGUGAAGAUUGGAACAGUCAAUCACUAGGCUAUAUAUUAGUGUGGCCCAGCCACUUUAAUCAAGGACAAGUCUUCAUACUUAAAGUCAAAUUCUGCCUUUAGUCUCAUUAUAAAUUUCUGUUUAAAUAUUAAGCAAACAUUUGUUUAAUGCGAUUAAGACAGUACUAACUCAAUACCUGUUCUAUUUUUGGAUGCAAAUGCUUGAUGGUUUCAUCAUUGGAUGGGAUAAAGGUGCAUUCAUGAUUAGGAAUACUAGUAGUUAUAUUUUAAUUCUCUUUUUUCUCAAUGAGACUUGUUGGCACAAUUUUGCUGUUGAGAAACCUACCUCUCCAUGGAAAAUAAGUUGUGAUUGAUAGUACUGGAUAUAUUCAAGAAAUCUAAAUAUAGAUAGCACAAAAUAUUAUCGACAUAAAUAGCAUUAACAGCGUACGUAUGUCUCAGUGCUCAUCAGCUAUAAGCAUGGGGCAAACACUUACUAUGAGCAACUUACGUCAAAAUUCCAGAAUAGGACAUAGAAGUGACAGAUAUAGAACAUUGCAUAUGAGUCACAAGAAAGGAAAUUACGGGUGCAUAGCAGCUCUUAUUUUACAUACUACUACUCAUACUGAUCAAAGUCACUCAGUUGGGAUGGGUGGGAGUAGGAGGUUUGUGGGGUGGCUUGUGCGGAGGAGUUGGCAGCUUCUUUCCAGGACCUGGUUGCUUCUCUGCUGGAGUUGAAGGAGGCUUAAUCUUCCGAGGUGGCUUGUAUGAGUCUUCAGCAUUCUCAGCUGGAGGGUGACCAGGGUUGUGACCAUAAUGUGGUGGCUUCUCUCCCUUAGGUGGUUUGCCAACUGGGGUUGGUGGCUUGUAUGAGUCUUCAGCAUUCUCAGCAGGAGGGUGACCAGGGUUGUGACCAUAAUGUGGUGGCUUCUCUCCCUUAGGUGGUUUGCCAACUGGGGUUGGUGGCUUGUGUUCUGGGAGUGGCUUCUCCCCCUUGGGAGGUUUUUCCAAUGGGGUUGGUUUGUGUUCAGGAGGUGGCUUCUCCACUGGAGGCUUGUGUUCAGGAGGUGGCUUCUCCACCGGAGGCUUGUGUUCAGGUGGUGGCUUCUCCACCGGAGGCUUAUGCUCUGGUGGUGGCUUCUCGAAUGGGGGAUGCUUAGGAUAAUCAGCAAGUGAGGGGGCGGUGAGAACCACCAGGCCAAGCAACACCACUAGCAAAUAUGUAGGAGACAUCUUUGGGUUUGGGCUCAGAUGGUGCAAAACUAGGAGAAUUGGCUAGCCUUUUAUAGCGGAUCGUACCCAAUAAUGAAAUGACACGUGUCAUUAUGACCCAUGUGUAAUGGGGUCGAUUUGGGUCCUACAGUGUUGAAAACUUCGACAUCCACUUUUGGCCUUUUGCUUUCUCUACAGCCGCCUUGCUUUUUCCCUCUUUCCUUUUGUUUUCCUCCUGCCCCAUUCUAUCAACUAAACACAAUUAUGUAGUUGUUUAAUUCUUAAAUGAGAUAUUAUCCGUCAAUCGUAUUAUAUUUUAUCAAGAGAGAACGGAGUGCAAUGUGGCUGUAAUUUUAUCGUUUAGUUUUAUCUCUUGGACCACUGCAUUUUUGUUAAGAGGUGCAAUAAUACACGUCUUUAUCUGCCAUUCAAUAUUUACAGUAAAGAGAGGGCACAAAACUCUUCACUUCGCACCAUAAUUAUUUUGUUUUCUGGACACCCCGGGGCCCUUUGGUUGGUUUGGGGGUCAGAAAGUGAACAUCAUAGGGGGUUUUUCCCUUAUGUGCAUUUGUAUCUGAUGGCUUUAACUCGCCUUGUUACUACAAAGAAACUGUCACAGAUAGGAACUUAUUCCAGGCUGAGUAUCUCCUCAUAGACCCUAUAAAAGAAGACAAGUCAUAAUGAACAUCUAACCUUUGUUCAAUUUGAUUCAAUGCCCCCAUUGUGUCCAUCUCACAAAUCUGAAUUAUUAUAUCCAUUGAAUACAUAAAUUAAUGAAGAAAAUAUGAAACCCAAGAUACAUCUCUGCACAACCUCAACCCUGGUUGCUAUGUUUCCCUUCUAUUCACAUGAUUUGAUGCUAAUUGCCAAACUUGCAACAAGCCCUGAGUUUGACACCUAGUAUCGAUGGGCGAAUUUAAAGUCUCCUCCAAACAUAUAUUCCACAGCUUGAAGCUCACAGAAGAUGUUACAGGCAGGGAAAAACCUUCAGAGUUCGCUACCAAAGAUAAUUAUUAAGGAGAUAUCACAAAGAGAAUUCCAAGGGGUCUGAAUCAAAGACAAAUUGGUCGUUCGUGGGGGUUCUUACUUUCUUUUGGGUAUAACUCACUGAGGGCACUGUCUUUGUUAUUUGCAUUUCACAUUUAGAGUUCUGUUCUGGAAACAUAUAAAAGGAGCAUCAUUUUGUUCUUGGGUAACCCAUAGUCGUGAGUGGGUCCAUUUGCAUGCUACUUAGUUGAAAAGUUGGACCAUUUGCUCCGACGCCUACCUCCCGGAUUCCAUGCUCGGAUAAAACAAGAAUAAAAAAAAUAUUUAUAAUUUACAAAUGGGGGAAAGAAAAAAAUGUCAACAACAAACCAGGAAAAAAGAGUAGUAAAAUUCAUGUCACAUGCUAGUGAGAGAAGGGGUUGUUACACUCACUCGAAGUUCUUUCCAAAAUAUCGCAUGGUAUUUUAUUUUAUGUGUCAGCGCAGUUGUGAAUGGAACGUGCAAAAGUCCAAAUUGGCGUUUUUCCUUUUCCCGUGUAGGAUGGCGACCUUUAAUAAAUAUUUAAAACAAAAAACGAAAAAAAGGAGGGAAAAGGGAUCAGAAAAGAUAAAACAAUGUGUACAAGAGCUCAAUUAGUUUGCAAAUUACUGUUUGGAUUUUGAUAGUAUUUUAUUUGUCCAUCUAUAUUUGAUGGAAAAGAGAAUUUAAGAUAUUUCUGAAACAAAAGCAUUAGUGUAAAACUAAAUUAAGGUAUAAUUAAGUUAGUUCAAUGCAUUAAUUUAAGAAACUUGAUCUAUCCAAAGUACAAAAUUAGAUGAAAUCCAUUUCAAUGGUUAAAAUGAUCAAAAUCAAACUUUUUCUAAGUAUUUUUUAAAAGCAUCAAUAUUAAAAGACAAUUUUAUAUUUAGUCGGAGUUUGGACAAAACCAAAAAGCACACAAAAUCCAAGCGACCAUCUCUAGCUUGGAUAGUCACUUGAUCCCACCUAGAGAUGUGCAUGAGUAAAAGGAUUUGAAAAUGGAAAUUGACUAAAUAUUUAGUUGAUCAAUUAAAUUUGCAAUGUCAUAUGCAAUCCUAAUAGCUAGUCAUCUAAUCAAUUAGGUAGUCAAUCAAGUGUUUGUAAUGACUAUUUUGUACAAAAAACCACAUGUAUAGUUAAAUAUAAUGCAUUUCAUUUAUAAAUCUUCUAAUUCUUGAAUAACGAUCCUAUCAUCCUUUGAAAAUUUUUAUUACACCUUUUUUACUUUUGUUCUAAAACUUACAUAUCACCCUUAAUUGUACCAUGAGAACCUAGCUAUUUUUUUUUUUUUUGUAAUUCAUCAAAGUUAGCUUUUGUAUUCAUUGUUGUAUUAUUUUUAGUAUAACUUAGAAAGCUAGUGUUUUCAAGUGAGUAAAAUUAACUUGUAAAUAUUGUAAAGAUUCAUUGAUAUGUAUCUUAAACUAAGUGUACAAAUUAAAACAUUUGCUAGUAGAUUUUCUCAAAAUUUAGAAUAGAGCUUGAGGCUAUUGAAAUAGGUGGGGUUACACCAAACCACAUCACAUCGUUGUUUGCACCUUUUUUCACUCUCUUUUACUUAGUUUCUCUAUAUUUGUUGUCUAGUAAUAUCCUAUAGGCUUGAUGGGUUAGGGAGCAUCCCUUUGUGAAAAAAUUUCAUUCAAUUCUUAGUUGUAUUACGCAUAUAUAAAAUGCCUCAUUGUUUUAAUGGUAUUCAGUCGUGGCAUCACAGAUAUGGGCAUCUAAAUUUUAAAAGUUUGAAACUUUUGUAAAGCAUGUUGAUAAAAUCCAUGAGAGUUGUGUACUUGGGAAGCAACAUCGAGGUGACUUUAUUUUUUUUUCCUUUUAUAAUGCCACACCUAAGUCCGGUUUCUAAAUGCUAAAGUGAAAGGGUAGGUAUGGACCAUUGAAAUGUGAUCACAACUUUUGGCCUUUUCCUUUCUCUGCAGCCAUGUUGUCUCUUUUUUCUUUUGCAUGAUUUUCUUACCAAAACAGAAUCAUAGACUUGUUUAGUCUCUAAGCUACUAUAUUAUAUCUCGGUGGACUUUUAAGAGUGCAACCGACAUAGAGCACAUGCAAGUGGGCAUAUGGGACAUGAAAUUUCUUCUUACAAAGAUUGCAUGAUUUUUAUAUUAGAGUUGUUCACGUGCAAUGUAUUUAGCUUGUUUUGCAGUUAAAUUAAUUGGAUAAGUAAACAUUGGCAUUUCUAAAUCGACUGUGAAGUGCUUCAUGUACGUGUAAAGUAUUAGAAAUUUCUUUCUUGGCAACUUGUUUUUUCCUUGCCAUCUACUGGUAGGUUUGACUAAAAUUAUAUUCCCUGUCAUGCUAAUUAAUUUUCAUGUGCAUGCUCAAAAGAAGAGUAUGACCUUAGUGCACCAAAAUCACUUUGAUUAAUUUGUGAUAGGUUUUUUUGCAUCAUUUAGAUAAUGUUUAGUUCUAAGAAAAAUUUAUAUAAAAAUGGUUUAUUUAUCUUACAUAUAUAUAUAUAUAUAUAUAUUUUUUUUUUUUUCAUUUUUUUUUCUUCUAUUUUAUUUAUUUAUUUUAUUUUCCUUAUGUUUUCCUCACAUUUUCCGGAACUAAACAUAGUCUUACGAAAUCAACAAUUGCCUUCAACUGAGUAGAUUCUGUUGUUUUAGCAAUGUUAGGCUGCUAACUUGUGGUGGUACGAACCAAAUGACCCAUGUUAAUCUUGGCUUGGUUUGAUUUGGCUCUAUCUCAGAGAGCUAAAGGAUCACGUCAACUCUGGUUUCUACUAUUCAGGUCCAUUCCCAGAUGAACUGGUUCAAAUUUGAGAAAAUGGUAACAGACCUUUAGUGAUGUUGGUUUGGAGCCAGUUGCCAAACCCGCCCUGAGCUUUACCACUAAUGUCAAGGGAGAAAGCCAUUUGAACAAAAACAAUAGCUUCAAGAGACUGAAUCGUGGAUGAAAUCUGAUCCACAUUUCUUCUCAUUUUGGGAAAAAAUGAGAACUUAACUACAAAGAUUCUACUGCCUCAUUCAUAGUGCUUUUCCUGAUCCAAGGUUGGUUCGUUUCCCAAAUUGUGAGGUGCACGUGCCACUCUCACGCUCAGGAGUGUAUCCACGUGGUGGACAUCAGAUGGUGGCUUAAUAUCUGGUGUCGGUGGCUUUACUUUACUAGGAGAGUAGUGUGUCUUCAUCUCAUUCACUGCCGGAGGGUGGCGUAAGCAGUGACGCUAAGGUGGGGCACAGUCAAUAUCAUUUGCAUUUGACCAUUAUAGUUUUCUCCCGGCUUGAAAGUAACCUUAUCGUGAUAAAGGAUUACUAGCACUAGUUCAGAUGACCGUCAUGUUAAUUCGGACCAUGUUUGUGUCACAUUAUCAGCAACCAUGUGUUUAUGGUUCAUGCUAUCUGCAACUAAACUUGAUAUAUAACCAGGUGAACUUCAAUCAAAAUUCUGGAAGUACUCUUGUGAUAGAUGGUGCCUGUCUGCAGAGUCCAUCAAUUGAAAAAUGGAGUGAGUGUAUCUAUAAGAGGGAAGGCUUGGCAAAUGUUCAGUUUUCUGGGAAUUCAACAAGGAUCUAAAAUAGAUUGUUUUCUUUGCCGACUUCAAUGGUUGAAAUUUGAGAAGAUUGUGUCCACAUAUCACAACUAUUACUGGUCCUUCUGUUGCAAUUUAUCCUGUAAGGCUCUAACAUGUCUUCCAAUUCCCACUUCCCUGUUACUCCAGGAAAGCUAUUUCUGUCAUUGUGAAGAAGAAAAGAGAAUGUACAUAUCGAUGCUUUUAAGUGACUGGAGCAUUCAUAUCAGGUGGUCUGCAGCCAUAUAUGCCACUUUGUGAAGGUUGGAACAGUCAAUCACUAGGCUAUAUAUUGGUGUGGCCCAGCCACUUCAAUCAAGGACAAGUCUUCAUACUUAAAGUCAAAUUCUGCCUUUAGUCUCAUUAUAAAUUGCUGUUUAAAUAUUAAGCAAACUUUUGUUUAAUGCGAUUAAGACAGUACUAACUCAAUACUUGUUCUAUUUUUGGAUGCAAAUGCUUGAUGGUUUCAUCAUUGGAUGGGAUAAAGGUGCAUUCAUGAUUAUGAAUACUUGUAGUUAUAUUUUCAUUCUCUUUUUUCUCAAUGAGACUUGUUGGCACAAUGUUGCUGUUCAGAAACCUACCUCUCCAUGGAAAAUAAGUUGCGAUUGAUAGUACUGGAUAUGUUCAAGAAAGCUAAAUAUAGAUAGCACAAAAUAUUAUCGAUAUAAAUAGCAUUAACAGCGUACGUAUGUCUCAAUGCUCAUCAGCUAUAAGCAUGGGACAAACACUUACUAUGAGCAACUUACGUCAAAAUUCCAGAAUAGGACAUAGAAGUGACAGAUCUAUAUAUAUAGAACACUGCAUAUGAGUCACAAGAAAGGAAAUUACGGGUGCAUAGCAGCUCUUAUUUUACAUACUACUACUCAUACUGAUCAAAGUCACUCAGUUGGGAUGGGUGGGAGUAGGAGGUUUGUGGGGUGGCUUGUGCGGAGGAGUUGGCAGCUUCUUUCCAGGACCUGGUUGCUUCUCUGCUGGAGUUGAAGGAGGCUUAAUCUUCCGAGGUGGCUUGUAUGAGUCUUCAGCAUUCUCAGCUGGAGGGUGACCAGGGUUGUGACCAUAAUGUGGUGGCUUCUCUCCCUUAGGUGGUUUGCCAACUGGGGUUGGUGGCUUGUAUGAGUCUUCAGCAUUCUCAGCAGGAGGGUGACCAGGGUUGUGACCAUAAUGUGGUGGCUUCUCUCCCUUAGGUGGUUUGCCAACUGGGGUUGGUGGCUUGUGUUCUGGGAGUGGCUUCUCCCCCUUGGGAGGUUUUUCCAAUGGGGUUGGUUUGUGUUCAGGAGGUGGCUUCUCCACUGGAGGCUUGUGUUCAGGAGGUGGCUUCUCCACCGGUGGCUUGUGUUCAGGAGGUGGCUUCUCCACCGGAGGCUUAUGCUCUGGUGGUGGCUUCUCCACCGGAGGCUUAUGCUCUGGUGGUGGCUUCUUGAAUGGGGGAUGCUGAGGGUAAUCAGCAAGUGAGGGGGCGGUGAGAACCACCAGGCCAAGCAACACCACUAGCAAAUAUGUAGGAGACAUCUUUGGGUUUGGGCUCAGAUGGUGCAAAACUAGGAGAAUUGGCUAGCCUUUUAUAGCGGAUCGUACUCAAUAAUGAAAUGACACGUGUCAUUAUGACCCAUGUGUAAUGGGGUCGAUUUGGGUCCUACAGUGUUGAAAACUUCGACAUCCAGUUUUGGCCUUUUGCUUUCUCUACAGCCGCCUUGCUUUUUCCCUCUUUCCUUUUGUUUUCCUCCUGCCCCAUUCUAUCAACUAAACACAAUUAUGUAGUUGUUUAAUUCUUAAAUGAGAUAUUAUCGGUCAAUCGUAUUAUAUUUUAUCAAGAGAGAACGGAGUGCAAUGCAGCUGUAAUUUUAUCGUUUACUUUUAUCUCUUGGACCACUGCAUUUUUGUUAAGAGGUGCAAUAAUACACGUCUUUAUCUGCCAUUCAAUGUUUACAGUAAAGAGAGGGCACAAAACUCUUCACUGCUCUGCAUGUGUCCCAAAAAUGCGAUUGGACAAAUUAUGAUUUGCAUGCUAAAAAGAGGCAAAUGAGGUUAAUUCGCACCAUAAUUAUUUGGUUUUCUGGACACCAUAAAAAGAUGUUAUACAGGCAGGGAAAAACCUUCAGAGUUAGCUACCAAAGAUAAUUAUCAAGCAGAUAUCACCAAGAGAAUUCCAUAGAGUCUGAAUCAAAGACAGAUUGCUCGCUCGUGGGGGUUCUUACUUUCUUUUGGGUAUAACUCACUGAGGUCACUGUCUUUUUUAUUUGCAUUUCACAGUUAGAGUUCUGCUCUGGAAGGUUUGUUCUGGAAACAUAUAAAAGGAGCAUCAUUUUGUUCUUGGGUAACCCAUAGUCGUGAGUGGGUCCAUUUGCAUGCUACUUAGUUGAAAAGUUGGACAAUUUGCUCCGACGCCUACCUCCUGGAUUCCAUGCUCGGUAAAACAAGAAUAAAAAAAAAUAUAUAAUUUACAAAUGGGGGAAAGAAAAAAUGUCGGAAAAAAUAGUAAAAUUCAUGUCACAUGCUAGUGAGAGAAGGGGUUGUUACACUCACUCGAAGUUCUUUUCAAAAUAUCGAAUGGUAUUUUACUUUAUGUGUCAGCGCAGUUGUGAAUGGAACGUGCAAAAGUCCAAAUUGGCGUUUUUAUUUUUCCCAUGUAGGAUGGUGACCUUUAAUAAAUAUUUAAAACAAAAGACGAAAAAAAAAAGGAGGGAAAAGGGAUCACAAAAGAUAAAAUAAUGUUUACAAAAGCUCAAUUAGUUUGCAAAUUACUGUUUGGAUUUUGAUAGUAUUUUAUUUGUCGUUCUAUAUUUGAUGUAAAAGAGAAUUUAAGAUAUUUCCGAAGCAAAAGCAUUAGUUUGCUCUGUGAUGUCCCACAUCGAAUAGGGGAGAAAGUUUCUGGCGCUAUAUAUGUAGAGGCUCCUCUUAACCAAGUAGAUGCGUUUUAAAACCAUGAGGGCCCCCUUAGGUCCAAAGCGGACAAUAUCUACAUGAUUGGGUGUAAGUCAUUACAAAUGGUAUCAGAGCCGAUCCCCGACCCCGGUGUGGGGGUUUGUUUGGCCCUGUAAGGGGUGUUUGUCUGUUUGACCCCACAAUCCCAUGGGACACAACGAGGACGUUGUGUCUGCAUGGGGGGGCGUUUGUGAUGUCCCACAUCGGAUAGGGGAGAAAGUUCCUAGUGCUAUAUAUGUAGAUGUUUCUCUUAACCAAGUAGAUGCAUUUUAAAAUUGUGAGGGCCUCUUUGGGCCCAAAGCGGACAAUAUCUACAUGGUUGAGUGUAAGUCAUUACAUGCUCCAUGUCAAUUUCAGCAUUUCUCAUAUGUUUCACACAUACACAGAAGAGCAUCGUUUUUUAAAGCAUGCAUUUAUGUUGGAUUAAUUUGGAUUUUGUGGGAACUGGGGCAAGGAUCACAUGGAAGAGAGGUUGACUUUUUUCAGUACUUCAAUGGUUGAAAUAUGUGAAGGCUUGAUUGAUACUAAAGCUUGAAAUUGCGACUCUGUCAUUUGUAAAAAAAUAUGACAGCUUCCAUGCUCUCGUUUGGUUGCAUUGUCCGGUCGAGAGGUGCAAAAAGCAUUCUCUCUCUUCUAAUAGUCUUUUCGUUUAAAUCAAGGGAUUUGCCUUCCCGGUCGAGGUCCAAUAGAGGGUAACGGUCACCUACUAAACAUUAAAUGCUCCAACAACUAGUGAACUGAUCGACCCCAGCUCGACUAGUUGAGGUUACUUUUUGGUUUUCUUGUCUCCCGAGGUUAGAAACCUAUAAAUAGAGAGCUUCACUUCAUUUAUGAGUAAGAGAACACCUAAAUUUAUUUGUUUACCUACUUGUUUUUGCCAUAAAAGCUCUCAUUUCUUUUCUUGGUGUAUUAAAUCUCCAUUUGCAUAUCCUUUAGUGCACCUUUGUGAUUCAUUCUAGCCUUGAGUUGUAUUUAAGCCUUUGUUGAGCUAGGUUGAGAGUUUCAUACUUGUUUAUUGAGUGUUAAAGCCUUCAAGUGAGUUAAAACUUGAAGAGAUUGUGUAAGAGCCCAUUGGAGUCGGAAUCCAAGUGUAAAGGUGAUUAAAAGCUUGGUUGAAGCUUCAAGUUAGUGGAACUCUCACUCGGUUAUGAGCUUGAGAAGAGUGGACAUAGACAAGGCAGUGUCGAACCACUAUAAAAUCUGAGUUUGAUUUCUCUAACCUUAUCUCUUUAUAUUUGCUUCUCUUGUGCUUAAAUUUUUUGUGUUUAAAAAGAAUUUUUAAAAACUCAAUUCACCCCCUUCUUGGGAGUUUUUCUCUUUUAAGAUCAGCUUUUAUUUUCUCAAUUGGUAUCAGAACUAUGCCUCUUGUUUAAGACUUAAUCGUCUAAGAGGAAAUGGCUAAUCCAUCAAGUUCAUCUCACAUUGAAAGUUUUGCAACCAAUAGACUUCUUUUUUUUUUUUUGCGGGAACUGAUUAUCCCUAUUGGAAAACUAAAAUGACUUGGUUUUUACAAUCAAUUGAUUUAGAUGUAUGAGAUGCCAUUGAAGAUGACCUAACUUUUCCUUCAAAACUAGUUGAUGGAGUCAUGGUUCCAAAACCUAAGCAAGAAUGGGAUGAGCGUGAUUGAAGAAAUUUUCAAUUAAAUGCUAAAGUCGUUUAUACUUUGCAAUGCUCUAUGGACAGAAAUGAAUAUAAUAGAAUAUGUCAAUGCAAAUCGGUUAAAGAAAUUUGGAGAUUGCUUGAAAUAACUCAUAAAGGAACAAAUCAAGUUAAAGAGUCAAAAAUCAAUUUACUUGUUCAUAGAUAUGAAUUGUUUUUUAUGAAAGAUAAUGAAACUAUUGUUAAGAUGAUCACUAGGUUCACCAACAUUGUUAAUGGUCUUAAAGCCUUGGGAAAGACCUACAAGGAAUCCGAAAACGUGAUGAAGAUCUUGAGGUCACUUCCAUCAAAGUGGCAUACCAAGGUCACCGCAAUUUAAGAAGCAAAAGACUUGAUCAAGCUACCUUUGGAGGAGUUCAUAGGGUCAUUGAUGACAUAUGAAAUCAAUUUGGCAAAGAAGUAACAAAAAGGUGAAGACAAAAAGAAGAAGAACAUAACUCUCAAAGCUACAACUAAGGAAGAAGAAGUUGAAGAAGAAAAACAAAUUGAAGAAGAUGAAGAUUUAGCCCUCAUCACAAGAAAGUUCAACAAAUUCAUGAGGGGUGAAAGGUUUAGAAGAAGAAGGUUCACUUCUAGAAGAGACUUUUCUAAAAAGGAAUCUUCAUCUAAUGGUGACAAAAAGAGAUGGGAAGAGAAAAGAGACUUGGUGUGUUUCAAGUGCAAGAAACCGGGACACAUUAAAUAUGAUUGUCCUCUCUACAAAAGUGAAGUCAAGAGGAAAAAGAAUAAGGCAAUGAUGGCCACUUAGAGUGAAAGUGAAGAUGAAUCAUCCGAAGAAGAAAAUGAGAAAGAAGUGGCAAACAUGUGUUUCAUGGCAAUAGAUGAACUUGAUGAGGUAAAAUCUAACCUUAGUGAUUAAGAUAUACAUGAUGCAUUUGAAGAAUUGUAUGAGGAUUUUUAAAAACUUAGUUUGAAAAAUAUUUCUCUUAAAAAGAAAGUUCAACAACUUGACAAAGAACUUAGAGAAGUAAAAGAAAAAUUUUCAAAUGUUAAAGUUUCUAAAACUCAUCUUGAAAAAGAAAAUGAGAUUCUAAGAAAGAAAAAUGAAUAGUUGAACUCCUCUCUUUCAAUCUUUUCUUCUAGACAAAAAUCUUUUGAAAUGAUUCUAACUAGCUAAAAAUGUGUUUUUGACAAACAAGGGUUAAGAUUUAAAUCUUCAAAAAAUCAAAAGUAUUUUAAAAACUAUUUUGUAAAGGAAUCCACAAGUGCAAGUCCUUCCACUACUUGCAACUUUUGUGGAAGAGAAUGGCACAUUAGUAGUACGCCCUUUAAGAAAUGGUUCUCAAAAGAAUUUAAAUGCAAAAACUAAAAAAGAUUUGGAUUGAGAAAUCCAAGGUCACUAACCCUCAAGGACCCAAAAAGAUAUAGGUACCUAAAUCAACUUGAGUUUUAUGUUGUAAGGUUCAAAGAAUGAUAAGUGGUUCUUAGAUAAUGGUUGCUCAAGACACAUGACCGGAGAUGAAUCCAAGUUUGCUUUUCUUAAAAAGAAAAAUGGAGGAUAUGUUACCUUUGGAGACAAUGCAAAAGAAAGGAUGAUUGGUCAAGGCAACAUUGGUAAUGGCACAUCCUCUCUCAUUGAAAGUGUUUUAUUAGUAGAUGGUUUCAAACAUAACCUUUUAAGCAUUAGUCAAUUUUGCGACAAAGGUUUUUAAGUGAUUUUUUAAGCAUCUCAUUGCAUCAUCAAGGAUAUUCAAAAUGAUAAAACCAUUUUCAUGGGCCAUAGAUGUGAUAAUGUUUAUGCUAUAAAUAUUUCAAAAUAUGAUGGCCAUGAUAGAUGUUUUUCAAGCAUGCAUGAUCAAAGUUGGUUGUGCCAUAGGAGAUUGAGACAUGCUAACAUAGACCUCAUUUCCCAACUCAACAAAGAUGAACUUGUUAGAGGCCUUCCCAAAAUAAUUUUUUAAAAAGAUAAAGUUUGUGAAGCUUGUCAAGUGGGAAAGUAAAUCAAAAACUCUUUUAAAAACAAAAACUUCAUUUCCACAUCUAGGCCACUUGAGUUGUUGCAUAUGGAUUUAUUUGGUCCCUCUAGGACACCAAGUCUUAGAGGAAAUUCUUAUGCAUAUGCUAUUGUGGACGACUUCUCUAGAUACACAUGAGUCUUGUUUUUUAGUCAAAAGAAUAAAGUUUUUUAUGAGUUUUCAAAGUUUUGCAAUAAGAUUCAAAAUGAAAAAGGUUUUUCAAUUACUUAUAUAAGAAGUGAUCAUGGGAGAGAAUUCGAAAAUAUUGAUUUUGAAGAGUAUUGCAAUGAGCAUGGAAUUGACCACAAUUUUUUGGCUCUUAGAACUCCUCAACAAAAUGGGGUAGUUGAAAGGAAAAAUAGAACUCUUCAAAAAAUGACAAGAACCAUACUAAAUGAAAACAACUUACCAAAAUAUUUUUAGGCCAAAACGGUUAACACUUCUUGUUAUGUUUUAAAUAGAGUAUUAUUGAGGCUCAUACUUAAGAAAACUCCCUAUGAGCUUUGGAAAAACAAAAAACCCAACAUUAGUUAUUCCAAAGUCUUUGGAUGCAAUAUUUUAUAAUAAACACCAAAGACAAUCUUGGAAAAUUUGAUGCAAAAUUGGAUGUUGGAAUUUUCCUUGGUUACUCAACUUCAAGUAAAGCUUUUCGAGUUUUAACAAAAGAACCAUGGUUGUAGAGGAGUCCAUCCAUGUUAUUUUUUAUGAAUCUCCAAGAAAGAGAGAGGAUUGAUGAUGAUUUAGGUUUGAAGACCUCUAUAGGAAGAUUGCAAAUCGAAGAUAGAAGACAACAAGAAGAAAAUGGAGAGAAUCCAAAGAAAGAAGGAUCACCAUUGGCACUACCCCCUCAUCAACAAGCGCAAGGUGAAUCAAGUCAAGAGCUUCCUAAAGAAUGGAAGUUUGUCAUCAAUCACCCACAAGAUCAAAUUAUAGGCAAUCCAUCUAGUGGGGUAAGAACUAGAUCCUCUCUUAGAAAUAUUUGCAAUAAUCUAGCUUUUAUCUCUCAAAUUGAGCCUAAAAAUAUAAAUGAUGUUUUAGAUGAUGAAAAUUGGAUAAUUGCAAUGCAAGAAGAGUUAAAUCCAUUUGAAAGAAGUGGAGUAUGGGAAUUAGUACCAAGACCUUCAAAUCAAAGUGUUAUUGGAACUAGAUGGAUCUUUAGAAAUAAAAUGGAUGAAAAUAGCAUAAUUGUUAGAAAUAAAGCAAGAUUGGUAGCCCAAGGUUUUAAUCAAGAAGAAAUGAUAGAUUAUGAAGAAACCUUUGCCCCCGUAGCUAGGUUGGAAGCCAUUAGGAUGCUACUUGCCUUUGCAUGUUUUAAAGACUUUGUUUUAUAUCAAAUGGAUGUGAAAAGUGCUUUUUUAAAUGGUUUUAUAAAUGAAGAAGUAUAUGUUGAACAACCACCCGGUUUUCAAAGUUUCAACUUUCCUAACCAUGUUUUUAAACUUAAAAAGACACUUUAUGGUUUGAAACAAGCACCUAGAUCAUGGUAUGAAAAAUUGAGUAAAUUUCUUUUGAAAAAAAUGUUUUAAAAUGGGAAAAAUUGACACAACUCUUUUUAUAAAAACCAAAGAAAAUGAUAUGCUCUUAGUUCAAAUAUAUAUUGAUGAUAUCAUUUUUGGUGCUACUAAUGUCUCUCUUUAUGAAGAAUUUUCUAAGUGCAUGCAUAGUGAGUUUGAAAUGAGCAUGAUAGGAGAACUCAACUUCUUCCUUGGACUUCAAAUCAAGCAACUAAAGGAAUGAACCUUCAUCAAUCAAGCAAAGUAUAUAAGAGAUCUUCUCAAAAGGUUCAACAUGGAAGAAGCCAAAACAAUGAAGACUCUAAUGAGCUCAUCCAUUAAGCUUGAUAAGGAUGAGAAAGGUAAAUCCAUUGACUCUAUUAUGUAUAGAGGCAUGAUAGGUUCUUUGCUCUAUUUGACCACUAGUAGACCUUACAUUAUGUAUAGUGUGUGUUUGUGUACUAGAUUUCAAUCUUGUCUUAAAAAAUCUCACUUAAGUGUCGUGAAAAGAAUCCUCAAAUAUUUGAAAGGGACAAUGGACAUAGGCUUAUGGUAUCCUAAGAGUGAUAACUUUGAAUUAAUUGGUUUUUUGGAUGCUGAUUUUGUCAGUUGUAGGGUUGAAAAAUAAAACACUAGUGGCACUUUUCAUUUCUUAAGACACUUACUUGUCUCAUGGCAUAAUAAGAAGCAAAAUUUGGUAGCUUUGUCAACAGCAGAAGCUAAAUACAUAGCAACUGGUUUAUGUUGUGCACAAAUCCUUUGGAUGAAAUAAACACUUAGUGAUUUUGAUUUAUCUUUUGAGCAUAUUCCUAUUAAAUGUGAUAAUAGUAGUGCCAUAAGUAUAUCAAAAAAUCUCGUGCAACACUCUAGGACUAAGCAUAUAGAGAUUAGACAUAAUUUUCUUAGAUAUCAUACACAAAAGGAUGAUAUAACACUUGAAUUUGUAAGCAUAAAAGACCAACUUGCCGAUAUCUUUACAAAACCUCUAAGAACAUUUUGUUGAUAUUAGAGGACAAUUAGGAGUGAUUUCUUUAUGAUCUAAUGUGAUGAAUUCUUGAUGAAUAUACUUUUUGAUUGCAUGAAUUUCAUGUCAUAUAUGCAUCAUAUAGAAAUAUACUUAGAUAAUGGUCAAAUUUCGACCAAAAAUCAAAAUUCCCAUGGCAUUAGGCAUAAAAAUUUUGGAAUUUCAACUGAAAAUGGUAGGAGGAGGAUCACAAAAUGAGAAAGUAUGCAAAAAUUGAAAAAUCAAAACGUUGACCAAGCGGUCAAUCGGACUAGACCGAUCGACUAGUUUGUCGAGAUUUAGGAUUUUUAAGAGACUCCAACGCUUCAAUUUUUGCACCGUUCUCCUCUAUUUCUUCACGGUUUCUCUGAUUUUGUCUUUUAGAGACUAAUUUGAGUGCGUUUUGGAUCAAUUGAAGCAUUUUGGAUUGGAUUUUAGGAAGAUUGAAAGUUAAGGUUUCGGAUUUGGGUCGCCUUCUCUUCCUCUCGCGUGUCACAAUCAGCUUUAGCAUUGUUCUCUUUCCAUUUUCACACACCUAGGGUUUCAGUUGUGAGCAUCUCUCUCUCUUUACCAACCACUACUCCCUUGCUUCUUCCAUAUGGCUCCUAGGCGAGAGUCCGCUACUUCUAGGGCACAAGGCAAGCACCCAACUGAGUCGUCUCAGUCAAAGGCACGUCGAAAAGUGAGAUUUGACAUUGCCUUGUUCAGUUCCAUGGAGGACUACCAACUAUACAAGCAACACUUUGCUUAGAGACGAGUAGUUCCCAAGAGAAAUAUUAAUUUUCCUCAACUUCAGCAUUUCGAAUUUAAGGGUCUAUUUACUAGGAUGGUUGGUUGUCUAUUGUCACAAUUUCGGAGCCGGUUUUCCUGACCUUAGUGCGAGUUUUUUACUCGAGGGCGACUUAUGGCAUGGGUGGCAUGAUCAUUUCUACUGUUGGAGGAGUUGAGAUCUGUCUGGACCCAGAGAGCAUCUGCCAUAUUUUCGAUAUUGCUCUGGUUGGACUCAAAGUAUACAAGUCCAAAAUGUGGCCCAUUGUGCCAGGAUUUGAGCUUAGAGAGGUCAUUCAGAGGAUUUGUGAACUUCCAGACGCCCAGGAGAUGGGCAAACCAUUGCCACACAGUUUGACGGUCAUCAACAGGGUGCUACACCAUAUAUUGUGCUCUAUCUUUCUACCACGAAGUGGACAUUGAGAUGAGGUCUCUUAUUAUGAGGCAUUCCUUAUUGACUCCAUUCUAACGGAGAGACGAAUUCAUCUACUAUGUCAUCAUUCACUAAGCCUCCUCACAGUGACAUACCACCUCAUCAGGCACCUCUUGCUCCUGACCAUGCUCCAUUGAUGGAUUUAUUUACUCAUAUUAGCUCUCUAGGCACUCGCAUGAAGGAGUUUGUUGUAGUUAGUGAUACAUGGUUCUACUCCAUAGAGGAUCGCAUGGAUCAGUAUCAGACUGGCUUCACGUCACAGUUUGAGUAUCUCCAAUAGAGGAUUGAGCAUAUUGAGGAUCACUUGAGCAUGAGAAGAUGAUGGCUUUUCUAUGCUCUGUGUUUCCACCUCCACCUCGUCAACCUUGAUUUCUUAGAGACCCAUUGUUUUCAUUUUGUAAUGUUGCCAAAAGGGGGAGAUAUUUAGGAUCUAGGACUCUAUAGGAGACUUACAUGCAUAUCAUUUUCAUAUCAUUGUUUGGAUCGUACAUAUUGGAUAGUGAUACUUUUUACUUAUAUAUGAUAUGCCUAUAUGUUUCAUGUCUUACAUUGUUUCUUAUUGCAAAUUAUCUCUAACAUGUCUUGAUUAUCUUUUUUUUAACUUCAUAAAUUUUGAUUGUUAACCCAUGAUUGGUUUGAGGGGAAGAUUCUUCUUCUCCUAGAUAACCAAGGUUUGUCAUCAUAAAAAAAUUGGAGAUUGUUAGCCCAAGGGUUCUCCUAAUCAUGUUUUGAUGAUAACAAACCAUGCUUAAGUUACUAAUUGGUUUGAAUUAUAAAGAAUUUCAAGUGUUAAUUUGAAAAUUCAUCAAAGAACCUAAUGGAUGCAAGAUCAAGAUUUUUGGAAGACCUUUAAUCAUAAGAAACAUAUGUAAGAUGAAUGCAUGGGUGCACUUAAGAUUUGCAUAUCAUUUCAUGCAUAUUUGGAAAACACGGUUUAUGCUUUAAAGUUACAUUUCCAUCAAAAUUUGAGAUCCAUCAAAUGAACCUUAGGAAAAAUGUUUUAAAAUUGGCAUAUAAUUUUACCUAAAGACCUUGCCUAAGUGUUAGAAGCAAAAGGACAAAAAAAAUAUAGGUUUUCUGGUCAAAAAUGGUGAACCAGUCAAGGCAUUGUCUAAAUCAGCUCAAUCGGCCAAGGUACCGGUCGAUCGGUUUCCCUUUCCCUGUCGAGAUCUAGUCAAGAGGUACAAAAAUCACAAUCUCUGUCUCUUUCUCUCUUUGUCUAUCUUCCAGUAGUCUUUCCUUCCCGGUCGAGGGAUUUGCCUUCCCGAUUGAGGUCCGAUUGAGAGUAAUAGUCACUUGCCAAAUAUUAAAUGCUCCAACAGUUAGUGAACUGGUCGACCCCCACCUUGCCCAGUUGAGGUUACUUUUUGGUUUUCUUGGCUCCCGAUGUUAGAAACCUAUAAAUAGAGAGUUCCACUUCAUUUAUGAGCAAGAGAACACUUGCAUUUAUUUGUUUACCUACUUGUUCUUGCCUUAAAAGCUCUCAUUUCUUUUCUUGGUGCAUUAAAUCUCCAUUUUGAUAUCCUUUAGUGCACCUUUGUGAUUCAUCUUAGCCUUGAGUUGUAUUUGAGCCCUUUUUUUAGCUAGGUUGAGAGUUUCAUACUUGUUAAUUGAGUGUUAAAGCCUUCAAGUGAGUUGAAACUUGUAGAGAUUAUGUGAGAGUCGAUUGGAGCCGAAAUCCAAGUGUAAAGGUGAUUAGAAGCUUGGUUGAAGCUUCAAGUUAGUGGAAUCCUCACUCAAUUAGGAGCUUGAGGAGAGUGGACGUAGCCAAGGAAGUGUCGAACCACUAUAAAAUUUGAGUUUGAUUUCUCUAACAUUGUCUCUUUAUAUUUGUUUAUCUUGUGCUUAAAUUUAUUGUGUUUAAAAAGAAUUUUUAAAUACCCAAUUCACCCCCCUCUUGGGUGUUUUUCUCUUUUAAAAUUAGCCUUUAUUUUCUCACAAACUAUUGUAGUAUAGUGGUUUUUAGGUGUCAUCCAUUAGGAUGAAUUGUUCUCGGUAAUUAAGGCGUGAAUGAGAGGAGAAUUAAUGAUUGUGAUUAAGUAAAAUUGAUUUGAAAAUUCAUGGUGAAAAAUCAAUUUAACAAUGGUUUCUAAUUGAGAAAAACAAUGAAAUGUGAAAUAAAAUAAAAUUAAUAGGAAAUGAAAUUCUCGAAGUUAGAAUUUUCUAAAAAACAAAUUCCAUGGUGAAUGGAUGUUGAGAUCUAAUUUUCAUCAAGUUAGAUUGAAAACCGAAAUUUUCAUAUAAACUGAUUUUUUAUUUAGUUUUAGGUCUAGAUUUAAUUUCCCUUAAAAUUAGGUUAUUUAAUCCAAGAAAUCAAUUCAAAUCAUAUAUUCAAUUCAUCUUAAAUUAUCUUCCAAUUAUUCACACAAUGCAACUAUUCAAUCUCAUCAAAUCUAGCUUUUAAGAAUUUAAUGAAUCUACCUAGUUUGCAUUGUAAUAGUCAUCCAUGACAAUUUGAAGAGAAAAAUAAUUCAAUUAAUCAAUCACUUGGAUCAAAUUACCUUUGCAAUUAAAGUUCAUUUCUCUAAUUCACCACAGAUUUUGUCUCUAGAUCCUCCUUUCUCAAAGAAAAAUGAGAUUUAGCCACACAUGAUUGGAGAUUUGGUCUCAUAAGGCAUGUUUAGCUAGUGAUAAAAUGAGAGAAAAUAAAGAAAAAUAGAGAAUUCGAUUAAGAAAGAAAAUCUAAAAAAUUCUACAAUUAGAAAUGUCCAAAAAGCUUUUUCAUGAGAAAAUCAAGUUUCUAUUUAUAGGCCAAGGUCAAGUGGACACUUGACAUCAUCUAAGAGGUCUUCCGGAAGCUUCUUCAUCAAGAAAUCUGGAGUUUAAUAAUAAAAUGGUCAUUUCACAAGAGCUCAAACAAUUUCGCAUGAUUAUGUGAAAUAAAAAAUGCAACAACAGCAAUUUACAUCUUCUUGGAGCAUUUCGCAUGACUGUGUGAAAUUUUCACAUGAUCAUGUGGAAUCGACUUGACAACUCUCAUUUAGCCUACAACAUAAUUCCACCUUUUGGUCCAUUUUUCAUAGUCAUGCGAAAUGGAAAUAUUUGAUUUUUAAGUUUUCUUUUGUCAUUUCUUUCAUUUCCUUCUCUUGAUUCCACUUCAACUACCUCCGAAUCCUGGUCCAAACCAAUUGCAUUACUUCUUUCAUUAUGCAUUUGGAUCAUCAUCAACAUUAUUUGUUCUCUUCAAUUUGAUUCAUCUCUUUUGUCACCAAUUUAUCAAAAUCAUACCUUGAAAUGACUCCAAAACUUCAUAAAACUUGUUAGUAACUCUUGCAAGGGCAACAACAUAUUAAUUAAGUGUUUUAGGCAUAGUUACUACUCAAAAGAUGCGAAACUCAUGAUAAUUAUUAUAUAAAAUAUGCUCUUUUUGAGUAGUAAUCAACUUUCUUGCAUAAGCAGACCUUUUAGGGUGGAGUACUAAAGACCAAUAUGCUUGUCCUUGUUGUAAUAAAGAAACUUGCUCUUAUUGAUUGCACCAUGGGAGAAAAUUUUGCUACAUGAGUUAUCAUCAAUUUCUUCCCACCAAUCAUAGAUUUAGACGUGACAAGAGGCCUCUUAAUGGCAAGGAGGAACUGACACUCACACUUAUACAAUUAUCGGGCAUUGAUGUGUUGCAACAAUUAGAAUAACUUACACCAAUUAUGUUGGGGAAGUCACAAAAGGCAAACAUGAAAACUAAAAGGAAAAAAGAAAAAUGUUACAUAUCACCACAACUGGAAAGAAAAAAGUAUUUACUUUCAUUUGCCAUAUUGGAAAGCACUUAUUUUACAUCAUAAUAAUUUAGACAUAAUGCAUAUUGAGAAAAAUGUGUGACAAUAUAAUUGAGACAUUGUUCAGUAUUGACGAAGAAACAAGGACAACCUAAAUAGUCAUCUCGAUUUACAAGCUCUAACUAUUAGAAAUGAGAUUCACCCAAUAGAAAGCAGGACCAAAUUUAUUUUGCUUGCAACAUGCUACUCACUCACCCCAAAUGAGAUUAAGGAAUUUUGCAAGUUUUUGAAAUCAAUAAAGGUCCCCAAUGGCUAUUCUUUCAAUAUCUCUCGUUAUGUGCAACUCAAUGAAAGGAAGAUAUAUGAGCUCAAAUUGUAUGAUUGUCAUGUCCUAAUGCAACAACUUCUCUCACUUGUAGUUCGUGGAGUUCUACAUAAGAAUGUUUGUGGAGUUAUCAUAGAAUUGCGUAAUUUUUUCAAGCAAUUGUGCUCAAAGGUGUUAGAAACAAAUCACUUACACCAACUUGAGAACAAUAUUAUUGUCAUACUAUGUAAAAUGGAGCAAAUAUUUCUUCCAUCAUUCUUUGAUAUUAUGGUGCAUUUACUUGUGCAUCUAGUAAGGCAAAGGUUGCAAGACUUGUGCAAUAUUGUUGGAUGUACCUAAUUGAACGAUAUUGUUAUAAUUUCAUAUGAAUCAUUUAAUUUUAUUUUAUAUUAUGUUCAGUUCAUUAACAUGUACAUUGGUCUACAUAUGGAUGAUGAUAGGUACCUAAGCACUUUAAAGUCAUAUGUGCGUAAUAGAACUUUUCUAGAAGGUUCUAUUGUAGAAAGGUACCUUGCAAAAGAAUGUACAACAUUUUAUUCUAGGUACUUGAAUGAUGUGGAAAUAAAGUAUAAUCACAAUGAUAGAAACUUUGUUGGUUUCAACACUAGAGGAGAUGAAAGGGGUUAUCUUUAAACAUAUUGGACAUGCAUUGGGAAAGCCCAUAUUUCAUUAACUUAGUUCAAAAGAGUGGUCACAAGCACAUUUAUAUGUGUUGACAAAUUGCGAAGAUGUCAUACCAUUCAUUGAGUAAAAAAUUUAUUUGAAUUUUAAUUAAAGCUCUAGUUUAUAUCCUUAAUCAAUGUUUUUUAAAUUCACAAGGAGCACAAGCAAACCAUCAAGGCUAGACCACAUAUACGUGUUUGAGACGUAGAUUUAAUUCAUAACAAGGAAUUUAUCAAGUGGUUUGAAAGACAUGUAAGUAUAUUCCUUAUUAUAAGGGAUUUAUUUCACAUUAUGUUUAUAUUGAAUCCAAACCUAUUAUUGAAUUGUAGGUUGAACAAUUACAUAAUGAAGGUCAUAUAUCUGAACACCUUCUCACAUUAUCAUGUGUUCCAAAUUCAUUAGUUACAUGCUUCAAAUGAUAUAUUGUCAAUGGAUUUAGAUCCCACAUUAAAGAACGUGAUAAAAAAGUUUUUAAAAAAAGACUCAGAAUAAUGGAAUUGUUGUAGUUGCAAAAACGUCAAGCUUUACAAGUGCAUGUGAUAUGAGUCCAAUUAUUAGUGAUGCUCUCUACUAUGGUGUUCUAACUAAAGUUGUUGAGUUACAUUAUCUUGGUGAAAAUAAGGUUGUUUUAUUCGAGUUUGAUUGGUGGGAUGUUACAAAUAUUGGAAAAUUGAUAAAAGAUGAUGAGUACAAUUACACAUUUGUUAACUUUGCAUGAAUUCUAACCACGAACGAACGAUUUGUACUUGCAUCUCCAGCAAAGUAAGUGUUCUAUGUGAAGAAUGCGAAUGAAUCAGAUUGGCAUACUAUCAUGGAGAUGCAACCUCAAGACCUCUAUAAGAUGAACGGGAUAGGAUCCAAUGGUGAUUUUGAACCAUUUCAACAAAGUGAACUACAUGAUCACUAAUAUAUCUCAGAUUUAGUUGAUGAAGAUAUAAUCAAGUGGAACAAAAGUGAUGUUUUAGGACUAAUCAUCCUAAAAAAUAUUGUAGUUUCUUAAAAAAAAAAUGAAAAUGAAGAAGAUAAUUGAACCUUUGUCAUACUUUAAAAAGCAACUAUGCAUUGUUCAUUUUGUAUGUUUUGGUUUUCUUCAUUUAAUUUCCUGAUUUUUGUGAUUCAAUGUCAUAUUAUUGAUCUUGAAAUAUUUUUCUAAUUUUUCAUUCUACGAUGGUUUCAACAAGGAUGACAUCAAGUCAAAAAAGGAAAUGUGGUCCCACACACAAUAUUGCAUUACAGGGAUUAAGGUCAGGGAAGAAGGUAAAAGUUGCAUUUAAUGAGUACAAUCAAUUGGUUAAACAGAAAAAUGGAAAACACUUAUCGAGCUACAUAGGGACACUUGUAUCUAACCAACACAAUGUACCUCUCCAAGCUAGUGAUUGGAAAAAUGUUCCAAAUGAUGCAAAAGAGAAAGUAUGGCCUUUGUUUUGGUAUGUUGUAUUUCUCACUAUAUGAUGUCAUUUCACUGUUAUUCUAUUUUGUGACUAACGUUUGAAUCAUAUGUAAGAAAAAUUUGAAGUAGAUAAAGACUGAAAAGAUUACAUGUUGGGUAUAGCCUCAAAUAAAUAUAGAAGCUAUAAAAAUAUGAUGAAUGCAAAAUACUAUGACCCUUGGCAUAAGGAUGCAUGAGGAGAGGUUAAUACAUAAAUCACCAUUUGUCUCUGAUGUUGAUUGGAAGUGGCUUGUCUCUGAUGCAUAAACCAAAUCCCCCACUGAAUGUUUGAUAUUUGAUAGCAGGAAAAACACACCCGCAGCUAUACACCUCCAUCAUUCAGAUAAUUAUAGUGGGGGAGAUGAUUCAUGGUUGCCCUUAUACCCUUUAUUUGCACCAUCUAUUGAGAUUCUUUAUCAUGGCCAGGUUUUACUGCAGCAAUAAGAUAUGGUGGCAACAAUUUUAUCUAUAGGUGCGGUUCCAGACCGCCUCCAUAGGUGCGGUUCCUGACUGCCUCCAUAGGUGCCUCUUCUUGUAAUGUUUGUUCUGGGAAUUACACUUGAAAGCCUUAUCGUGAUAAGGGAUUACAAACACUAGUUCAGAGGACAGCCAUGUUAAACUUCCACUAUGUUUGUGUCACAUUAUCAGCAGCCUAGUGUUUAUUGGUCAUGCUAUCUGCAACUAAUAUAACCCGGUGAACUUCAAUCUAAAUUCUGAAAGUACUCAUGUGACAGAUGGUGCCUUUCAGCAGAUAUCAUCAAUUUAAAAGUAGUGUGUGUGCCUAUAGGUGGGAAGGCCUUGGCAAAUGUUCAGUAUUCCGGUAAUUCAAGAAGGAUAUAUCUAAAAUAGAUUUUCUUCUUGCCCAUUUCAAUAGUUAAAAUUUGAGAAGAUUGUGUCCACAUCACACAAAUAUUAUUGGUCCUUCUGUUGCAAUUUACCUCUGAACAUGUCUUCCAAUUCCCACGGUCCUGUUACUCCAGGAAAACUAUUUCGGUCAUAUUGAAAAAAAAAAUAUUAAAGAAGGUACACAUGCUUUUAAGUGGACUGGGGCAUUCAUAUCAGGUGGUCUGUAUCCACAUAUGCCACUUCGUGAAAGGUGGAACAGCCUAAUCACUAGGCUAUUUAGUGUGGCCCAGCCACGUUAAUCAAGCACAAGUCUUCAUACUUAAAGUCAAAUGGUGUCUUUAGUCUCAUUACACAUCGCUAUUUGAAGAUUAACUCAUCACUAGUGUAAUGCGAUUAAGACAGUCCUAACUCAAUAUUUGUUCUAGUUUUGGAUGCAAAUGCUUGCUGGUUUCAUCAUUGGAUGGGAUAAAGGUGCAAUCAGGACUAUGAAUACGUGCAGUAAUACUUCAUUCUCUUUUUUCUCAAUGAGACUUCUUGGCACAAUUUUGCUGCUCAGCAACCUACCUUUCCAUGGAAAAUCAGUUGUGACUGAUAGUAAUGGAUAUAUUCUAGAAAGCUAAACAUAGAUAGCAUUCAAUAUUAUCGAUAUAACAUUAACAGCGUAUGUCUCAAUGCUCAUCAGCUACAAGCAAUGGACAAACACUUUGAGUAACUCACAGCAGUCAAAAUUCCUAAACAGGACAGACGUGACAGAUCUAUAUAUAGAACACUGCAUAUGAGUCACAGGAAAAGAUAAUACGGGUACAUAGAAGCUCUUAUUUUACAUAUUACUCAUACUGAUCAAAGUCGCUCAGUUGGGAUGGAUGGGAGAAGGAGGUUUGAGGGGUGGCUUGUGCGGGGAAGUUGGCAGCUUCUUUCCGGGAGCUGGUUGCUUCUUUGCUGGAGUUGAAGGAGGCUUAAUCUUCCGAGGUGGCUUGUAUGAGUCUUCAGCAUUCUCAGCAGGAGGGUGACCAGGGUUGUGACCAUAAUGUGGUGGCUUCUCUCCCUUAGGUGGUUUGCCAACUGGGGUUGGUGGCUUGUUUUCUGGGAGUGGCUUCUCUCCCUUGGGUGGUUUGCCAACUGGGGUUGGUGGCUUGUGUUCUGGGAGUGGCUUCUCCCCCUUGGGAGGUUUUUCGAAUGGGGUGGGUUUGUGUCCUGGUGGUGGCUUCUCUCCCUUGGGAGGUUUACCAAUUGGGGUCGGUGGCUUGUGUUCUGGGAGGGGCUUCUCUCCCUGGGGAGGUUUAGUGGGUGGCUUGUGUUCUGGAGGUGGCUUCUCCACCGGAGGCUUAUGCUCUGGUGGUGGCUUCUCGAAGGGGGGAUGCUCAGGGUAAUCACCAAGUGAGGGGGUGGUGAGAACCACCAUGCCAAGCAACAACACUAGCAAGUAUGUAGUAGACAUCUUUGGGUUUGGACUCAGACAGUGCAAAACUACGAGAAAUCGCUAGCCCUUUAUAGCGGCUCGGACCUAAUACUGACAUAAUAUAAAAUAAAUAUUAUAUUUUAUCAAGAGAGAACAGAGUGUAAUUUUAUCAUUAAUACCGAUCGAGGCCAAAGAAAGAAGACCCAUAAUCCAUUUCCCACAAGCAUACACAAUGCAGCUGUAAUUUUAUCAUUUACUUUUAUCCCUUGGACCACUGCAUUUUUGUUGAGAGACACAAUAACACAUUUUUAUCUGUCAUUCAACAUUUACAGUAAAGAGAGGGCACAAAACGCAAUUAGAUAAAUUAUGUUUUGCCUGCUAAAAAGAGGCAAAUAACUUUAUUUGCAACAUAAUUAUUUUGGUUUCUAGUGACCCCGGGGCCUUUCGGUUGGUUUGGGAUCGGAAAAUGAACAUCAUAGGGGGGGUUGUGCCCUUAUGGGCAUAUAUAUCUGAUAGCUUCAACUGGCCUUGUUCCUAGAAAGAAAUUGCCAAAGAUAUAAACUUAUUCCAGGCUGAAAGUAGAUGAGAGUCAUAAUGAACAUCAACCUUUGUUCAGUUUGAUUCAAUGCCCCCAUAGUGUUCAUUUCACAGAUCUGAAUGAUUAUAUCCGUUGAAUACAUAAAUUAAUGAAGACAAAUAUGAAACCCAAGAUACAUCUCUGCAUAACAACCCCAACCCUGGUUGCUAUGUUUCCCUUCUUCUAUUCACAUGAGGAUACUGGUUAUAAUUGUCAAACUUGCAACAAGCCCUUUGACACCUAACGUCAAUGGACGAAUUAAAAGUCUCCUUCAAACGUCUAUUUCACAGCAUGAAGCUUAUAAAGGAUGCUGACAACCUUCAGAGUUAGCGACAAAAGAUAAUUAUCAAGGAGAGAUAGUUCCAUGAGAAUUCCAAGGAGUCUGAAUCAAAGACAAAUUGCUCACUCAAGGGUUCUUAUUUUCUUUUAGGUACAAAUCUCUUGAGUGUUGUUAAAGAAACACGUCACUGUCAUUUUGAUUUGCAUUUAACAUUUCACUUUUGUUCUGGAAGGUUUGUUCCGGAAACAUAUCAAAUGAGCAUCAUUUUCUUCUUCGGUGACACAUGGUCGCGAGUACGUGGGUCCAUUUUCAUGCCACUUAGUUGAAAAGUUGGAAAGAAAAAACAUGCCAACAAGAAGAUAGUGAGAGAAGGGGCACUUCAAGCCUUUAACAUGAACAAACAGUAAAUAAAAGAUGUUUCUCCACUCAUAAAAGUGUGUUAGAUAGCAAUAUAACGAAUCACAUCCAAAAUCUUUACUAGGCUCAAACAUAAAGAAGACUCAUUUUUAAGAAAAGAUAAAAAUGGCAUUGUCUGAUAGUAUCCAAUACACGAGAUGGCACUUAAUUUGUACAAGAUCUGUCAAUGCUGACGCACAUUUUCUGAUUAAAAAAAAACUGAUCAGUCAAAAGCAAUGAAGAGAAGUGAUGACAAUGAAUGAUGCUUCCAAUAUUUUCACCCCUUAUAGUGUUCUUCAUGAUUCAGAUAUAUAAUUGGAAAUAGAACAACCCUAUGCCAUACAUUCGUCUAAGUAUGGUGUCUAAUUUUUUGUGUCAGCGGUUGCGAAUGGAGCGUGCAAAAGUCCAAAUUGGCGUCUCUCCAUUUCCACAUAGGAAGGUGACCUUUAUUGACAAAUACCCAAUAUUUGUAGACAUUCCUUAAAUAUCAUAACUUCUUGUUGAUUUGAAAAUCAUUUUUCAACUACCAUGUUUUAAUAAAUAUUUUUUAAAAUGUAUUUUUAUCAAAGUCCACCAUGAUGGAUAAUAUUCACCAUGCAAUAAUUAAUAAAGUACAAACUAAGCGAAAUGAAAAGCAUUUUCUUUGCUUUGAGUUGAUUUUGGUUGCAUUGAGUUGAUUUUGGUUUCAUGGUUUUUUCAACUCUUAUUUUGAUUGGAAGAUGUCAAGAAAAGAAAACAUAAAGAAAAAUUAAAAGGGAAAAAAGAAGAAAAAUAAAAAAAAAUAGAUUUAAAAGUUAAUAAAUUAUUUUUUAUAUUUAUUUUAAUUCAUUUCACUUAUUUUUCUUUUACUAUAUAAAAUUUAAAUAAUUUAAAUUUUAUAAUUAAUUUAAUUACAUUUCAUUUUCUUCUAUAUUUAAAUAUUGGAAAAAUAUUUUACUUAAUAUUUUUUUCUUUAAUUUCUUUGGCAUUUUGGGAACCAAACUUAGCCUUUAAAAUAAAAAACAAAAAAAAAAUGAAAAUAAGGAGGGAAAAGUGAGAAAAGAUAAAAACAAUAUGUAAAGGAUUUGAAAAGUAUUAGUUUGUAAUUACUAUUUGGAUUUCAAUAGUAUUUUAUUUGUCUUUCUAUAUUUCAUGUAAGAGAGAAUUUAAGAUAUUCCCCAAGGCAAAGCAUUAGUUACCUGCAAUCAGUGGUGAUAAGGCUCCAAGCCAAUUUUGGGCCCCAUAUCUUAAGACAGUACAAUUUCCAUUUCAACAUUUCUGAUUUCUCAGAUGUUUCACAUACCACAGAAGAACAUUGUUUGUGAAAAUAUGCAUUUAUGUUGGAUUUUGUAUGCUGUGGGGACUGGGGCAAGGAUCAUAUGGAAGAGUGGUUGACUUUUUCUGUACUUUAACGGUUGAAAUAGGAUAAGCACGGGCAUUUGUGAGGCUUAAUUGAUUUUGAAGCCUGAAAUUGCGUUUCUGUCAUUUUGUCAAAAAAAUGGCAGAUUCCAUACUCAUAUGUUUGGCCUGUGGCCAUGUACAGAUGCCAUUUAGUGACCAGUUUGUAACUGUCAAUCGUUGCGUUUUGACUCUGCCUCAACAACAUCUGCCAUUGACGGGUUUUCAUACUUGCAAAUCAAAUAGUCUUUCGUCCCAUCAGGAAUUUCGGUUUAAAUAUUAUUAAGCAUACGUUUGGCUGACAAUCAUUAUCCAGUUCAUGAUUUGGUUUCUUACCCUUAAUCAAUGGUUUCUAAGUGAAUAUAUGUAGAAGGAAAUCCGAAGUGUAGACAGUAGUAUCGAUAACUCUCAAUAUUCUCUAUAUAAUAGAAUAAACAGCGUCAUAGUGAUCGUCGCCUACAAGCAAGGUACAAAUACCAAAACGAGUGACUCACAUAGACAUCUCCCAACAAGAUGUAGUAGUGACUGACACAUGGACACAAUUAACUCGUAGAAAAGGAUAAGACCAUUGCACAGCAGCUCUUAUUUUACAUACUACUUAUGCUAACCAAAGUCAAUUAGUUGGGAUGGGUGGGAGAUGGAGGUUUGUGCGGUGGCUUGUGGGGCGGAGUUGAUGGCUUCUUUCCAGGAGCUUCUGGCUUUUUCAUCGGAGCUGAAGGAGGCUCAAUCUUAUGAGGCGGCUUGUAUGAGUCUUCUUUACUCUCGACAGGAGGGUGGCCAGGGUUGUGAUCAUAAUGUGGUGGCUUCUCUCCCUUAGGUGGCUUGCCAACUGGGGUUGGUGGCUUGUGUUCAGGAAGUGGUUUCUCUCCCAUGGGAGGUUUAGCAAUUGGGGUUGGUGGCUUGUGUUCUGGGAGUGGCUUCUCUCCCUUGGGAGGUUUAGUAGGUGACUUGUGUUCUGGAGGUGGCUUCUCCACCGGAGGCUUGUGCUCCGGUGGUGGCUUCUUGGUUGGAGGGGGCUUGGGGUAAUCAGCAAGAGAUGGGGUGGUGAGAACCACCAGUCCAAGGAACAACACUAGCAAGUAUGUGGGAGACAUUUUUGAGUUUGGGCUGAUCAGAUGAUGCAAAACUAAAGCAUUACGUGACCUUUUAUAGCAUGUAGCUCCCAAUACCCACUAAGUAUUGUGGGGUCCAUUUGUGCCCUACGGGGUUGAAAACUUAGACAAUUGGGCAAGGACCCACCUGACUAUGGAGGACUAGUGAGGUGUGAUCAUAGCUUUAGGAUUUUUCUUCCUCUGCAGCCGUCGUGCCGUUGGCAUGAUUUUCUUAAUCUUAAAUAAAGGCAUAGUUAUAGAGUUGUUUAAUCUCUAAAUGGGAUUUUAUAUAUAUCUUCAGAUAGCCAUUAAUAUAUUUGAUGAAGAAAGAAAGACAAGUGCAUACAACAUGUAUACGACUAGCUUUCAUGGAGUUCAUUUAUGAUCAGUUUUCCUGUACAUGUAAACCAGGAUCAUAUAUAUGUUUCUGUUCCACAACUAUUUUGGAAUCUUGUUUAUCAGUUUUUAUCAUUAUAAUGUCACAUAGGCUGCCAACUUGGGCGCUAAAAGAACCAGUUGGGCUAGUUCGUUUCAGAAUUUCAAUGUGGAUUCAGGAAUUGUUUUGUAAGAUAUGCGAAAUAGUAGAGGGAUGAAUAGUGUUUCAUUAAUAAAAGUGUCCUGUAAAUUAGAAGGUGUCAUAGAAACUAUAAUCAAUAAAUAACUUUUUUUCCCCACGGGUGGUGUUUCUUGUGGGGAUCAGUGACUGGUUUAGGUUCACCCAAAAUGAGUUCAGACUAAAAUUGGUUUGAGUCAAUGCCGUGUCUCUUUUUUCCAGAAAUCAACUAUUUUAUGCAUUGAAUAAAUCAUACAAAGAAAAUAUGAACGCCCGCAAAACCUAAACCCUGGUUGCUAACUUUCUAUGUUUCAGUUCUAUUCACGCAAGAAUAUUAGUUUAAGUUUGGGAAAAAUGGCAACUUACCUAGUGAUUACUUGGUUUUGGUUUGCGACUAUUUACGCAACCAACCAUGAGUUUGACUUUAACGUCAUGGGUUGAAGCCUCCUACAGGAAGGGAGAAAGCUCCACAGCUAGCUCCAAAAGAGAAUUAUCACAUUGAUAGCUCCAGAGAUUCCCAAGGGGACUGAAUCAAAGACAAGUUCCUCACUUUUUCUUCUUUUGAGGCCAAAUAUGAACCAAGGAUCACACAACCUCAUUCAACUUCAUAAGUUUGAUUUCAUGCAGUUGAACACUGGGUGAAGGCCAUGACAAGAAUUGAUUCAAAAAUUCUAUCACUCUUUUAAGUAAUGGAAGAUUAUUAUCUCUGAUUGGCAUCACAACAGCACAUGCUCCUAGAUCUUUCUAGACACUCCAUGCAAUGAAAGCACAAUGGAUCUUGUAACGAUAGAAACUAAGCCAUGCUACAGUACUAGAUGAUGAGGUAAAACUAGUAGACACGGGUGGCAGCCUAUAUGGGAGGGACACAAGUCUAAUUGAUUUGCAUUUCAGCAUUAUAGAUAGGUAUGUUUUGGAAGAUUUGUUCUGGAAAUACCGCACCAAGUAGGAUUCUUUUUCUCUUUAGUGGGUCCACUUGCAUGCCAAUUAACGAGUUGAAAAGUAUGAGCACCUACCUCGUGCUCGUGGAACCGAAGGUCAGUGAAGUGGGGCUCCUUUUGGCCUCGUGUAAACUUGAUUCAGAAGUGAAGUUAAUAGUCUUCCAUUCAGAUGGAUACAUGGGAAUUUUUCUCUUUUAUUUAUUUAUUUAUUUUUUUUUUGUGUGUGUAUGUCAAAGGAUAAUGAAUGAAGCGCGUUAGCUUGUUUUCUGACUGGAACCGCAGAUGUCCAAAUUGGAGUUCCUUCAUUUCUUACUUAGGAUUGUUACAUGUAUAAACAAGGUAUAAGAAAUAUGCCAACGUGUCUUGAGGAGUUAUUGAUUAGAAAUAACAAGUCACCCGACUGUAGAGUUCCAAGAUUUGAAUCUUCAGACCCUAUAGCAGCCUCUGGGGUACGUGGCAUCCUAUAGCAUAUUAAUGAAGGCUUUUUCGAUUUAGACUUCACAAUACCAAUUAAUAUGUAUGCACAAAAUGGAGAUGACCCCAAAAAAAACAGAAUCGCCAUAGUUUAUGAGGUUAAGGUGAUUCUCCACUUAAUAUCUACAUUAGCUAAUUAUGUAAAUCAAAUGAACUUCUAUUUUUCCUUUUUUUUUUUGGUUUAUGUCAAAUAGUAGCCCAUAAUUAACCCAACCAUUAGCCUGUUUGAAUUGAUUUCACAUGCACAAUGUUGUAGUAGUUCAUAUUUUGAAUUUUAUUUUUACAAAGGUAGUUAAGGAAAAUGAAGUAUAAUAAUUAUAAAAGCAGACUAUAUACACUACAAUAAUUGUUAGAAUGGUAUCUCAAAUUCUAAUUUAAAAUAUUAUUUUUUGUAAAAGAAAUAUUAUAUAGAAUAUUUCCUAAUUUUAUAAAUGAUUAUAAUUAGAUCUUUAUAAAAUAAGGAAAGUUGGUAAGAAUAUCUUUAUAAAUAUUUUAGGUCAUGAGAGAAAGAAAUGGGAUAAAAAUGUGAUGAAGAGGUGAAAUAAGAGAGUUGAUUAGGAUAUAGAUGUGAAGAAGAAAGGGAUUCAAUAUAUAUAUAUCUUUCAAUUACCACAUUAAAACCCUGUGAACCUUUUAUAUGGUUUACUUUAUUUUUAUAUUCCUCCUUUAAUAUAUUUACAUUAAUGCUUCCAUUGGCACAACAAUAACGAAUUACAAAUACAAGCAACAAGUCCCAUGUUUUAUUACCAAAAGCAGGUAAAAUCCACCUAAUAUAUUACAAUAUAUUCAUCCAAUAUUUUAGACCAAUUCUUCACCAUAAAUAUCAUAAUGUGGCUUUUGUUCUUUCUUAAAUUUAAAUUGAAUUGUCUUAUAUCAAUUUGUUUGUGAUUUUUUCAUUAACUUCACUUUCAUUUGGUUAUCUUUGGUUUUUGAAAAGUAUUAAGGAAUUAAUUAACAAAAUAAUGUUAAGAAAAAUAAUUUUCUCUCUUUUGAUUUUGAUUUUGUAGUAGAAAAAUAUAAUUAAAAUUAUUUAAAAAGUAUGUAAUUUUAAAUUAUUUAAUAUUUAGAUAAAAAAAAUAAGUCUAAUGAGUUUAAAAUAACAUAUAAAAAUAAUUUAUUUAUUUUAAAUUUAUUUUUUAUUUUCCAUUAUGUUCUCUUUCUCUUUUACUUUUUCAUAUUUUUUCUUACGAAGAAUCAAACACAACCUCAUAUUAUAUGUCAAGUGUUUGUCUAUAUUUGAGCAAUGUUAGAUACGGCCAUGGAUUCAUCAAACUAAACUGAUUUUAAUAGAUACUUCACAAAUUGAUUUAUACACUAAAUCAUUGGAUAGCAAUGAUGCAUUGGAAUUAAACGUAGGAUGAAGCUCGAAGAACACUGUUUGUGUAACAACAUAUUUAUGAAAUUAUGCAAAGGAUGAGCUUCGGGGUAGUAGUACAAGGUCAUUAAUGGAGAGCCGUGUUAAACCUUGAUUGUGAUUGGAUUCCGUUAUCAGCAACAGCAACCUUGUUUGUAACCUUGAAAGUCAUUCUGUCCACAUCGAAACUCCAAUUUGACGUUUGUAAUUACCAUUCCUGGAGUGUUCCUUGAUUGAAAUUUAAAUAAUAAUUGCGGCCCACAAGGAAUAUUUUCGAUUCUGUGGGAAUUUGACAAGGUUUGUUAGAGAAGACUGGUGACAUGUUGACUUCAAUGGUUCAAAUAGGAGACGUAUGUGGAUUUGGGGGGUUUAAUUGAAACUGAGUCCCUAUGGCUUUUUAAUAUUUGCAUUGAGCAGUCUCCAUGUGACUUCCUAAUUCCCACCAACCCUCCUGUCCAUGCUGUGAAACUAAAUUGUAAUUUAUCAGCCUUUGUCAAUGGUUUCUAAAUUAAAGAUAUAGACCAUGCAUGUACUUUAAUAAAAGCAAAUCUAAAGUGUAGAUAGCAGCAAUGGUGACACCCAAUAUUCUCCAUAAAAUAGAAUUAGAAUAAGCAGUGUUACAUUGUUCAUGAUCACCUACAAGCAUACAAGAACUUCCAUGAAUAACUCAUAGCAAUUGCCAACAGGGCGUCGUAGAGACUCAUACAUAGAACACUAUCCACCCAGAGGAAAGGACAAGACCAGUGCGCUGCAGCUCUUAUUUUUCACAUGUAUACCACCACUCGUAAUAACCAAAUUCACUCAGUUGGGAUAGGUGGGAGAUGGUGGUUUGUGGGGUGGCUUGUGGGGAGGAGUUGGAGGAGGCUUUAUUUUCUGAGGCGGCUUGUAUGAGUGUGCAGGAGGAUGCCCGGGAGUGUGACCAUAAUGUGGUGGCUUCUCUCCCGUAGGUGGUUUGCCAAAUGGGCUUGGUGGCUUCUCUCCCUUAGGAGGUUUACCAAUUGGGGUUGGUGGCUUGUGUUCUGGGAGUGGUUUCUCUCCCUUGGUAGGUUUGCCAAUUGGGGUUGGCGGCUUAUGUUCUGGGAGUGGCUUCUCUCCCUUGGGAGGUUUGCUAAUUGGGGUUGGCGGCUUAUGUUCUGGGGGCGGCUUCUCUCCCUUGGGAGGUUUGCCAAUUGGAGUUGGCGGCUUAUGUUCUGGGAGUGGCUUUUCUCCCUUGGGAGGCUUGCCAAUUGGGGUUGGCGGCUUAUGUUCUGGGGGUGGCUUCUCUCCUUUAGGAGGUUUGCCAAUUGGAGUCGGCGGCUUAUGUUCUGGAAGUGGCUUUUUUCCCUUGGGAGGUUUGCCAAUUGGGGUUGGCGGCUUAUGUUCUGGGGGUGGCUUCUCUCCCUUGGGAGGUUUGCCAAUUGGAGUCGGCGGCUUAUGUUCUGGGAGUGGCUUCUCUCCCUUGGGAGGUUUUGUUGGUGGCUUGUGUUCUGGAGAUGGCUUCUCCCCUGGAGGCUUGUGCUCCGGAGGUGGCUUCUGAAAUGGCGGGGGCUUGGGGUAAUGAGCAAGAGAUGGAGUACUGGUGAGAACCACCAUUCCAAGCAACAAUACUAGCAAGCAUGUGGGAGACAUCUUUGAGUAGUUGUAGCUAAGAUGGCGCAACACUGUAGGCAUUGGGUGGCCUUUUAUAAAGGGCUGGACCCAACAGCCAUAUGACACGUGUCAUGAUGACAAAUGAAGUUGAGGGGAUCCAGAUGGGUCCUACUGAGUCGAAAACUUGCACUAAUUGAUCUGGUGAGAUGACUAUUUCUGUCCUUUUGCCCUUCUCGGCCACCCUGUGCUGUUUUCCUUUUGCACGAUUUUCGUUGCCAAACAAGCAAAUAAUAUUUCGCCAAGAAAGAGGAGAGUGAAUGUGGAAUGCAUCAAGUCCCAUCAAGGAUGGCAGAGAAGAAAUAGAAGAUUGCCCAACUGUGAUAAACAUAGCAUACACGUAGCACCAGGAACUUCAUUUACUUCCAUCUAAUGGAACAUAACAAUCUUCUAAAGUUUUUGCAUGAUUUUGUUAUAUGUCUCUUAGCCUAAAGUUGGAAAUGCGCAACAAAUUUUGUCACUUCUCUAUUUCCCACUGAUGAUGUUAAUUAGCCUUCAUAGAUAUCAUCCUUUCUACAAAGUGCUUCAUUUGUGUGUUAUUGUAAAGUGUAAGAAAAGUAAUUGAACAUGUUCUUUUUCCUUUCAUAGAUGACUUUUGAUGUGCAUUUUAAAAGCAGCGCUGUGAGUCGGUGACCUUGAUUCACACGGAAACUAAGGCUCCUAUAGGACCCACUUUUAGCUGGUUAGGGGUGAAGAAAAUAUCAACUUUUCAGAGUGAUUUAAGUCAAGGCCAAGCCUCACUGUGUCAUUACUCGUGUGAAUUUUAUAUGCACAUACAUACAUAAAUAAAGUAUGAGACCCAAAUAACACCUUCCCUUUACAAACUUAACCCCAGCCGCUCUCUUUCAAUUCUUUUCACACAAGGGUAUUGACUCUAUAAAGGUCAAGAAAAUCAUAAUUUCCUAGGGUUUACAAGGUAAUUGGCUUAAUGCUAAUGUGAAAACAUAAAAGAUAAUAGUAUAUUGUAAGCUAACGAAUAUUCUAUAGUUAUAAUUAUUUGUGAUGUGCAUAAAUAAAUCUUCAUAUAUAUAAUGGAACAAUGAAUAAAGAACCAAUGAAAAAAUACUAUAUAUCAUUGCUUGGCAUUUAAACCGUAUAUGCUGCUCUUUCUAGCUACUCCAUCCACUGAAAGACAACAAGGUAAUCCAUGUUAUAAUGAUAGAAGAUACUGUCUCUAGGCUUUUUGUGAUGAAAAAUAUAAGAUAUGGGUAGGGUUGACCCUUGUAUGUUUGUCCUAUAAACACUUCAAAGUAACAUAUUUUUCUUCUUUAGCAACUCAUAAUGAUGGGGUUCAUUUGCAUGUCACUGAGUUGAAAAGUUGGACAAUUGCCCAUGUCGCCUUCCUCCUAGAUUCCGUAGUUCACGGGAAGGUAACUCAAGUUUGACAUAUUUUGAAUUCUUUUCACUCGGACGUCUUCAUAACCUGACAAAACAAAAAUGAAAAACAGAGGAUUGGUAUAUUAUUCAUGGUAAGCCUCAAAUUAUAGUAGUAUGAGAAAGGAGAAAAAGAUUUUGGGAACUCCAAUCUGGAUAAUUCUCGUUUCUUCUCUUGAAUAAAAAUUUCACUUACCUAACUUCGUUUGGAGAAAUGGCAUAUUUUAAUUUUGUACGUCAUUGCUAAUAAAUGGAGCAAUUUAGCAUGUUUUGUGACUGAAACUGCAAAUGUCCAAUUGGCAUUUCUUCAUUUCCCACUUAGGAUCUGAUCUUGUAGACCAUAUAACGAUAUGUAUCUGUGCAAGCAUUGAAAACUAAUGUGAACUAUGAGGAGUUACAAGCCACUGGACUGUAGAGCGAGUGCCAAGAUUUAAAUCUUCAGGCUCUAUCUGGGUAAGGGGAGGAUAGCGACCUAACCUUUUACCAAAGGCUUAGAAUUUAGACUUUUGGAAAAAAAUUUCUCAUGUUUUGGCUGGAUUUCUUGUGCUUGGCGCAAAAAGGAGAUGGCCUCAAGAAAUAGCAGACUCACUUUUGUUUUCAGCCCUUAAUAAUUCUCCACUGCUUUCCAUAACUACAUGGGUUAUACAUGCAGUCUGCUGCAAUAUUCCAGUUAUAUUUAUUAUUUCAAAGAGGGUGAAUGACUUCACAUGCAAUAUGUUGCAGUAACAACCCAAAUUUUGGCACACCAUCUUAAGAAUAGAAAAGUAUAAUAAAAGAAAUCAAUCAGAGAAUCACUUUGCAUGCAGUUCAUAGAGUUCGCCCAAAAUGGAGCCACAUGUACGGACAACCCCACAAUAGACAAUCUUCUCUAUACAGUAAUAAAAUACAGAAAUGGUUAAUGAAGCUCUGUAUUUCCUUAUCAUAUAUGACCGGUUGAAAACUCAGCAAGUCUUCCUCAAUCACAGACAGUUGGAGUUGCUUCAUCAAAAUCAUGCCUUCAUUACUGGCUUCAUUUUGGUUUCAAUGUCUGUUCUACCCUUAAAUUGGGUCUCUGCUUACUACCGGGAUAUCCUUUAGCGUCCUGCAAUUCUACUAGAUUAAAGAGAAUGACUUAAUUCUGCAUUCUGCCGUCCCUAGUCCAAGUGGUACUAGAAUUGAUGUUUCCUUUAGUGUCCUUUCUUCAUACUUUCAGGUUCUUCCCUUGUUUCAAUAAUGCUGUUUUCCUUCAUGUUUAACCUCUGUUGAACCACUUAAAACAACACAAUUUGCACACCAAUGUUUCUUUACAGAAAAGACUGUUUGCAAAAAUGCACAUGUUAUAAGGUUAAUGGAAGAAUUAAUUUGGGGAUAAGGGACUAGGAUUGGGCCAAUGAAGUUUGGUGUUAAAUUUUGAUUAUGAUUGCUUUUCAUUAUCAGGUACCUUAUAUUUGCUGAUGCUAUCUGGAACUAAAUUCAAAUCAGACAUUAUCCGAUUACUAACAGGACAUAUCAUGUCCCUCUGCAGAGUUUCUAAACUAACAUGUAUCGAAAUGUGGCCCCAAAAGGAAGGCUAGGAAGAUGGAGGAUUUUGUAGGAAUCGACCAGAAUCAGAUGGAAGAGAGAUAGUCCUGUUGACUUUAAUGGUUGUGAUAGGAACAUGCAUCAUUAUAUGAGAAGUUGCAUGAAUUUAUGUAUCCUGUUAUCGUUCCUUGACGAUUUCCCAAUGCAAUUUCACUGUCCACAAGACUAACCUCUCCAUGCAGUCAAAUGAAUUGUAAUUUCUCUAUUGGUACCAGUAGUACAUUUCAUACCAAACAUAUAGUAAAUAUAAAAUAUAAAUAGAUCAAGGAAAUCUGAAUUGUAGAUAGCACUGCAAGUAACACUCAAUAUUCUCUAUAUAUAAUAAAAUAAACAGUGUCACAAUACUCAUCACCCAGUGGCAAGGGAGAAAAACCUACAAUGAGUACUCAAAUCACCAUUCUCAAACAGAAACAUAGCAGUGACUGAUACAUAGAACCUAUAUGCUCACAGGGAAAGAAUAAGAUGACCAGUGCACAGCGGGCAGCAGCUCUUAUUUUACGUACAACUCAAAUCCCAAACUAACCAAAGUCGCUCAGUUGGGAUGGGUGGGAGAUGGUGGUUUGUGGGAUGGCUUCUGGGUAGGAGCUGGUGGCUUCUGUCCCUUUGGUGGUUUGCCUAAUGAGCUUGGUGGCUUGUGCUCCGGGAGUUGUUUCUCUCCCUCGAGUAGGUUUCGAGUCUUGUCAGAUGGCUUGUGUUCUGGUGGUGGCUUCUCUCCCUGGGGUGGUUUGCCGAAUGGGCUUGGUGGCUUGUGUUCGGGGAGUGGCUUCUCUCCCUGGAGAAGGUUACGAGUUUUGUCAUAUGGCUUUUGUUCUGGUGGUGGCUUCUCUCCCUGGGGUGGUUUGCCGAAUGGGCUUGGUGGCUUGUGUUCGGGGAGUGGCUUCUCUCCCUGGAGAAGGUUACGAGUUUUGUCAGAUGGCUUGUGUUCUGGUGGUGGCUUCUCUCCCUGGGGUGGUUUGCCGAAUGGGCUUGGUGGCUUGUGUUCGGGGAGUGGCUUCUCUCCCUGGAGAAGGUUACGAGUUUUGUCAGAUGGCUUUUGUUCUGGUGGCGGCUUCUCUCCCUGGGGUGGUUUGCCAAAUGGGCUUGGUGGCUUGUGUUCGGGAACUGGCUUCUCUCCCUUGGGAGGUUCAGUUGGUGGCUGCUGUUCCGUAGGUGGUUUCUUCACCGGCGGCUUGUGCUCCGGAAGCGGCUUCUCUACCUGGAGAAGCUUACGAGUUUUGUCCGAUGGCUUGUGUUGUGGUGGUGGCUUCUCUCCCUGGGGUGGUUUGCCAAAUGGAGUUGGUGGCUUGUGUUCGGGGAGUGGCUUCUCUCCAUUGGGAGGUUUAGUUGGUGAUUGGUGUUCCGUAGGUGGUUUCUGAAGUGGGGGAUGCUUGGGGUAGUCAGCAAGAGACGAGGUAGUGAGAACCACCAGUCCCAGCAGCAACACUAGCAAGCAUGUGGAAGACAUCUUUGAGUUCAGGCUGAGAUCUGUGCAAGGAUAACAGAAUUAGGUGGCCUUUUAUAGAGGCCUGGACCCAACACCCAUAUGACACGUGUCAUGCACUCAUGGUGACACAUAAUUCUAUGGGACCAUUUGGGUCCUACAGAAGUUGCAAAGUUGGACUACUGAGGUGUGAUCACAACUUUUGUCCUUAUUGCUUUCUCUGCGGCCAUUGCACGAUUUCCUUUAGCAUCAUUUUCUUGGCUAAAUAAGCGUAUUAUAUUUGUGGCAGACCGUCCACGUGUCAUAAACAGAUAUAUUAUAAUAAUGUAGUAUGCUUUUCUCCAAUGGAACAUGACACUCUUCUAAGUCUUGUUUUAAAUAUUGUGCAGGAUUACUUUAUACGUUGCAGUUCCAAGUCAAAAUUGGUGGGCAAACGUUGGCCUUUUUUCAUUUCACCUAAGAUUAAUGCUCACCUGGGAUAGGCACUACAUGACUUAUCUGCUCUUUUACUGUAAAGUUGCUUUGUGUAUGAGAUACACCUCCCCUGCACACCCUCAACAUUCGUUGCUCUGUUUUCCUUGUGUCCAGACGAGGAUAUUAAUUGGAGGCUGACAAAACGACUGCUAGCCCAGGAUUUACAAGGUCCUGGUUUGAGGCUUCGGUGAAAGUAUUUUUGAAAAGACACACAUAGAGAUAGUGCGUUUGGUGCAAUGCAGCACUGUGAGCCAUUCUGACGCGUUCUUAAUUUCAAAACUAAUGAAUGCUUCAAAAUUUUAAGAAGUGACAUUUCCAAAUAUUUGAGUUCGUUUAAUUGAACAUUGGAUAACUAGUGAUCAUAGAUUAUUAUCUGUGCUUGGCACUAUAAGAGGGUAUAUGCUUCUUUUUCUGGCCCCUCCUUCAAGGGAGGAGGGACAAUGUGAUCUGUAACGUUAGAAGCUAUUCCAUGUCAUCUUUGGGCUCAGUUCAAAACUAAAAGAUAAUGGGGGGGGGGGGGGGGGGCAUAUCAUUUUAUAUUUCUUCUAGAAGGUUUGUUCUGGAAAUAUUUCACAGGAGCAUAUCUUUUUCUUCUAUUACGUCAUCCGCAGCCUCCAAUAGGUCGGUUAACAAGCCACCGAGUUGAAAAGUUGGAAAAAUGGGAACACAGCCCGCCUCUUGUAUUCAGUAGUUAAAUAAAAGGUCACUAGAAGUGAGAUCCCUUUUGGCGUCUUGAUUUUCAAUCCAGCACCUCUGUGACCUGACAAACCAAAAAAACUAAAAAAUAAAAAACAGUACGUGGGUUGGUGUUAAGCAUCAAGACAUGUUAAUGAAAGAAGGUAGAGAAUAGGAUAUUGAAAUCCCAAUCCUGAUAACAUGAUUUUCUUUGCUAACAACCAUAUUAUAUUUUAUCAAGAAAGAGUAAUGCAUGUGGCGUCCAUCAAGACCCAUUAGAGUUCCGCUAAAGCUAUAGUUCUGUCAACGUUAUCAUUUACGUUUCCUCUAGAUAAUGGCAUUUUCCUCUAAAGCUCUUGCACCAUUAGGCUUCAAGUCAAAAUUUCACAUGUGAACUUUGGAAAUUUUCUCCAUUUGCCCCUAAGGAUACAGUUAGAAUUGACUUAAAAUCCUGAUUGAUAUGUACUAUUAACCAAAGAAUAUUGUAUAUAAUAAUUGAAAUAUUGUUGAUUCAUCGUGGAAAUACAUUUUGUAAGGAAAGUUGUUGAGAAUUUAGUAUGCUAUAUGGAGAAAAAAGUCAUGACUUAAGGUUGUGUAUGUAUAUUCUAUAUCAAAUAUUAGGUAGGAAUGUGGGAAAGAGCAGAGUGUAAUGAUAAGAAACAAAGAAAUAUAAGAUAUUCUUGAAAGUGGAAAAUAUAAAAUGGCUAACGAGUCAAAUUUAUGAUGCGUAAGGGGGAUCAUGUCACAUAAGAAAACCAUGGCAUACUAAAGACGUACGUGUGGUAUGGAGUAAUAAUUUUGUUAAAAUAAGUUUCUUGUUGGAGUACAUUAGGUGACUAUUCAUAACGUAUCAAAUUAAAGAGUCAAGUGCAUCAAUGAAGGCAUAUGUAGAAAAUUUGUUUGUGACAUGUACCAUAAAGAUAAGAUUGACUUGAUAGAAUUUAGUCUAAGUAGGAGUUGUUAAAGGUGUCUUAAAUUUCUAAUUGAUGUAUAUUUUUUUCUAAAAAAAUAUUAUAUAGAUAUUUUAAUAAAUGAUUAAUUCUUUGUAAAAAUACUUACAUAAUAAAAAACAUCAUUAAAAAUAUCUUUAUAAAUAUUUUAAGUUACAAGAAGGAAAAAAACCACUGUGAGAUAAUGAUGAACAUGCAACACUGUACCAAGUAAAUAAAAAUGUGAUAAAAAAAAAAGAGAAACACUCGAUAAAGGAAGGCUCGUAUAUAAAGAGUAAUAUUUUUAAUCAUAUGAUAGAAUGAUUUUCUCUCAUUCAUGAAUAUAGGCAAGAUUGGGGAACCAUUAUAAAAUUUUGUACACCUCGUGUAAAUUGAUGUUUGUCUUCAUAUUUUACACCAACAAAUGACAUUGAAGUUGUCAUUGAUAAAAGGGAAAAGGCAUGCCUCCACACCAUGUGCUUGAUUCGAAUGGUUCAAGUUUGAAGAAUUUUCUCCGGAAGAUCUAAAACAUUUUCGCCUUUAAAUUUCAUUUGAUUAUUAAUAUCCGAAAAAAUAGUUAAAUACUCUUUCUAUUUUUGAGUUGUUGAAUUUUUUGAAAGUUUUUAUAUUUGUUAUCAAGAAUUUCUAUUUUAUUAAGGGUGAAUAUUUAUAAAUAAGAUAUUAUAUAAUAUUUGGAUAAGAGAGAAUGGUGGAAUAUAAUAAAGUUUUAAUCCUUCCCAAUUUUGAACCUUUUUUUUUUUUUUUGAUAUAAUCGCCUUUCUCUUGCAAUCCUAUUAUCAGGUACCUUAUAUUUGCUGAUGCUAUCUGGAACUAAAUUCCAAUCAGGCAUUGUCCAAUUACUAAUAGGACAGAUCAUAUCUCUCUGUUUCUAAACUAACAUGUAUCGUAAUGUGACCUCAUAAGGAAGGCUAGGAAGAUGGAGGAUUUUGUGGGAAGCGACCAGAAUCAGAUGGAAGAGAGAUAGCCCUGUUGACCUAAUGGCUGUAAUAGGAGAAGCGUGUGGUUUUAUGGGACUUAACUGAUACUAAACCUGUAUGAUGCUUGGAGUGGUGUUUCUUUCAUUUUGUUAAGAAAAUAUGGCAGCAUACAUGCUUUCAACUGAGUGCAUCAGAGCAUCCAUAACAGAUGGUCUGCAACCCUAGGUGCAUGCCACUUUCUGACUGAUAAUGAAAUUGUCAGGUACCUGGCCUUGACUAAGCUCAACAGCAUCACAUAAAGAGAAGCUUUCAUACUUAGAUUACUGUUUAAAGUUUUUGCUUAUUUGAUUUCUUAAUGCCAUUAUGACAUUAUUGAUUCAAUUCUGCUUCCGAUUUUCGAAGUUCUGGGCAUCUACUGAUUGCAUCAUUAUAUGAGAAGUUGCAUGAGUUUAUGUAUCCUGUUAUUGUUCCUUUGCGAUUUCACUGCUCACGGGACUAACCUCUCCAUUCAGUCGAAAUGAAUUGUAAUUUCUUUACUGGUAGCAGUAGUACUUUUCAUAGCAAAGAUAAUAGAAAAUAUGAAAUAUAAAUAGAAGGAAAUCUGGAUUGUAGAUAGCACCAUAAGUAACACUCAAUAUUCACUACAUAAUAAAUAGACAGUGUUACAUAGGUAGAGAAACCUACAAUGAGUACUCAUCACCAUUCUCAAACAGAAACAUAGCAGCGACUUAUACAUAGAACCUAUAGGCUCGCAGGGAAAGAGUAACAUGAUAAGUUCACAGCGGGUAGCAGCUCUUAUUUUACGUAUUACUCAAAAUCUCAAACUAACCAAAGUCACUCAGUUGGGAUGGGUAGGAGAUGGUGGUUUGUGGGGUGGCUUCUGGGUAGGAGCUGGUGGCUUCUUUGUUGGAGUUGAAGGAGGCAUAUUCUUCUGAGGUGGCUUGUAUGACUCUUCGGCACUCUCUGCAGGAGGGUGCCCAGGGUUGUGACCAGAAGGAGGUGGCUUCUGUCCCUUUGGUGGUUUGCCUAAUGGGCUUGGUGGCUUGUGCUCCGGGAGUUGUUUCUCUCCCUCGAGUAGGUUUCGAGUUUUGUCAGAUGGCUUGUGUUCUGGUGGUGGCUUCUCUCCCUGGGGUGGUUUGCCGAAUGGGCUUGGUGGCUUGUGUUCGGGGAGUGGCUUCUCUCCCUGGAGAAGGUUACGAGUUUUGUCAGAUGGCUUUUGUUCUGGUGGCGGCUUCUCUCCCUGGGGUGGUUUGCCAAAUGGGCUUGGUGGCUUGUGUUCGGGAACUGGCUUCUCUCCCUUGGGAGGUUCAUUUGGUGGCUGGUGUUCCGUAGGUGGUUCCUUCACCGGCGGCUUGUGCUCCGGAAGCGGCUUCUCUACCUGGAGAAGCUUACGAGUUUUGUCAGAUGGCUUGUGUUGUGGUGGUGGCUUCUCUCCCGGGGGUGGUUUGCCAAAUGGACUUGGUGGCUUGUGUUCGGGGAGUGGCUUCUCUCCAUGGGGAGGUUUAGUUGGUGGUUGGUGUUGCGUAGGUGGUUUCUGAAGUGGGGGAUGCUUGGGGUAGUCAGCAAUAGACGAGGUAGUGAGAACCACCAGUCCCAACAGCAACACUAGCAAGGAUGUUGAAGACAUCUUUGAGUUCAGGCUGAGAUCUGUGCAAGGAUAAAAGAUUUAGGUGGCCUUUUAUAGAGGGCUGGACCCAACACCCAUAUGACACGUGUCAUGCACUCAUGGUGACACAUAAUUCUAUGGGACCAUUUGGGUCCUACAGAAGUUGCAAAGUUGGACUAUUGAGGUGUGAUCACAACUUUUGUCCUACUUGCUUUCUCUGCGGCCAUUGCACGAUUUCCUUUAGCAUCAUUUUCUUGUCUAAAUAAGCGUAUUAUAUUUGUGGCAGACCGUCCACGUGUCAUAAACAGAUAUAUUAUAAUAAUGUAGUAUGCUUUUCUUCAACGGAACUUGACACUCUUCUAAGUCUUGUUUUAAAUACUGUGCAGGAUUACGUCAUAAGUUGCUUGUUCCAAGUCAAAAUUGGUGGGCAAACGUUGGCCUUUUUUCAUUUUCCCUAAUAUUAAUGCUCACCUGGGAUAGGCACUACAUGAUUUAUCUGCUCUUUUACUGUGAAGUUGCUUUGUGCAUGAGUUACACCUCCCCUGCACACCCUCAACAUUUGUUGCUCUGUUUUUCUUGUGUCCAGACGAGGAUAUUAAUUGGAGGCUGACAAAACGACUGCUAGCCAAGGAUUUACAAGGUCCUGGUUUGAGGCUUUCACGAAAGUAUUUUUGAAAAGAUACACAUAGAGAUUGCGCGUUCGGUGCAAUGCAACAAUGUGAGCCAUUCUGAAGUCUUAAAUUUCAGAUUAAUGAAUGCUACAAAAUUCUAAGAAGGGCCGUUUCCAAAUAUUUGAGUUCAUUCAUCCGAACAUCGGGUAUAUGCUUCUUUCUCUAGCCCCUCCUUGAAGGGAGGAGGGACAAUGUGAUCUGUAUCGUUAGAAGCUAUUCCAUGUCGUCAUCUUUGGGCUCAGUUCAAUACUAAAAGAUAUGGGCGGGGCCCUUAUCAUUUUAUAUUUCUUCUAGAAGGUUUAUUCUGGAAAUCUUUCACAGAAACAUAUCUUUUUCUUCUCUACGUGAUCCGUGGUUUGAAAGUUGGAAAAAUGGGUCCGUUAACAAGCCACCGAGUUGAAAAGUUGGAAAAAUGGCAACACCGCCAACCUCUUGUAUUCGAUAGUUAAAUAAAAGGUCACUGGAAGUGAGAUCCCUUUUGGCCUCUUGAUUUUCAUUCCAGCAUCUCUAUGGCCUGAUAAAUUAAAAAACUAAAAAAAAAGACAGUACGUGGGUUGGUGUUAAGCAUCAAGAGUCAAGACAUGAUAAUGGAGAGAAAGGAUAUUCAAAUUCCAGUUCUGACAACAUGAUUUUCUUUGCUGAACUACCAUAUUAUAUUUGAUCAAGAAAGAGUAGUGCAUGUGGCCAGGAUCAAGACAUACAUUAAUUUCCACAUGAUGAAGACAGUUUCUGAGAGUUUCUUCUAAAGCUCUUGCGCGAGUAGGCUUCAAGUCAAAAUCUCCCAUGUAAACACUGGUUUUUCUUUCAUUGCCACUAAGGAUGCAGUUAAUAUUGACUUAAGAUCCUACGUGAUAUAUUUUUUUAAAAGAGCUAUAUUGUAGAUAAUAUUUGAAAUAAUGUUGAUUCGUUGUGGAAAUAUAUUUGUAAGGAAAGUUGUUGACAAUUUAAUAUAGUAUAAGAAGAAAAAAGUUAUCAACUAGCUAGAGAUGAGUAUGUAAAGUGAGGCUCACGAUUCAACGCGUAAAUAUAAGAUAUUUUAAGGCUCAAUAGUUAUGAUAUCUAUUUUAUUUUUUGUAUCUCAUAUAUUCAAAGAUAUAGUAAAAUGAUUUUACAUAUAUAUAUAUAUAUAUAUAUGAACAUAACUAUUUGUGCCAAUUGAUUUUUAUCUUUAUUUUGUAUAUUAGUAAUUAUAUUAAAGUUUUUACUAAUAUAAUAACUAAUAUAAAAGCUUUUUCUAAAAGAGUCAACAGAGCAAAACACUUAUUAUAAAAAAUAAUUUUGAUUGAAGGUGGAGUCAAUUAUUCUUUAUUUAACAUGUAAUGCAUACGGCGUGUACUUCAUAACUAAAGUAUAUAAGUGUAACAUCUCUUAUAUAUUCUCAUUCAAUCUCGAAAGUGGAAAUUUUAAAAAGAUUAAACGGUUCAAAUUUGUCGUGCAUAAAGGGGAUCAUGUCACAUAAGCAAACCAUGGCAUACCAAAGACAUAGGUAUGGACUAAGAAUUUUUUUCAAAUAAGUUUCUUAUUAGGGUACAUUAAUAGGUGACUUUUUAUGACAUAUCAAAGGAGUCAAGUGCACCAAUAAAAACAUAUAUAGAAAAUUCAUGCAUGACAUGUAUCACUAAGAGAAGAUUGACUUGAUAGAGUUUAAUCCAAAUAGGAGAUUGUUAAAAGGUGUCUCAAAUUCUUGAUUGAUAUAUAUUUUUUUUAUUAAAAAGGUUAUUAUAUAGAUAUUUCAAUAGACUAUUAAUUCUUUGUAAAAAUAGUUAUAUAAUGAGGAUGGUGAUUAAAAAUAUCUCUAUCAAUAUUUUGGAUUAUAAAAAGAAAAAAAAUGAGAUAAUGAUAAACAUAUAAAACUUGUACAAGUAGAUAAAGAUGUGAUGAAAGACACUUGAUGAAUGAAGGCUUUGUAUUUCAAGAUAUAAAUAUAUGGAGCAAAACUCUUAAUUAUAUGAUCAAAUGAUUCUCUCAUAUUCAUGAAUAUAAGCAGGAUUGGGGAACCAUGAUAGAAUCUUAUAUGCCUCUCCAUGUAGAGUGAUCGAUGUUUAUCUUCAUAUUUUACACCAGUGAAUGACAUUGAAACUCUUAUUGAUAAAAGGGAAAAGGCAUGGCCUCCACCCCAAGAAAAACAAGUAACCUCGGUUUAAAUCACUAGUCUACACCCCGAAGAGAGAACUAGCCAAACCUACUAAAAGAGAAACUUAACAAUUUAGAAAGAAACCGUCCAUGAUAAAGGGCCCCUAAAGGUCCAAUUCAGUGAGGUCGUGAACAAAAACACUUUCAUGUCAAAACAGAGAUAGGUACCACCAAAAUGUAAAGGGAAAGAUGUAAACCACGUCGAACUUUGGUAAUCAAUGGUAAAGAUAGCAUGAUAGCUAAAAGCACUAAAGCUGUGCUUGGUAUGCAAAAAUGAAAAGUGGAAAUCAGCGUCUUAUUCUUUUUCACCUUUAUUCACAUAUUAGGAUAACUAAUAUCUAAUGUUUUUUAUGUCUCAAAUUCUAUUCCAUGUUAUGGUAAACUUUCAUCUUGUUUAGAUCACUUUUGUCUGGUUUGGGCUCAAGACGAUAAGCCUAUAGAGACUUCAUAUUGGGUUGAAUCGAUGCCCUUGAUCUGAUCUGUUCGUUAGAAAAAUCUGAAUUAUUAUAAGCAUUUAGAUAAAAAAUAAAUAAAUGUGAAACACAAACUACUCCCUGCACAACCUUGACCCUAGUUACUCAGUUUCACUGCUCACAGGACUAACCUCUCCAUUCAGUCGAAAUGAAUUGUAACAAGAAGAUUUUUGACAGGAGGACGGUAGUUUAAAAUAAUAAUUUCUAAAGUACUUUUGUGAAAAAAAAUAAUUCCAAACGUGGAUUUUAUCAAGUAAAAAGAAAAAAAAAAGUUAUUUUCUUUUAAAAUCUGUUCUUCUAAAGAUGAUAUAUAUACCAAAAAAAAAAAUUGUUUUCUGAAGGUAAAAUUUUUAAAAUUCAUUUUUAAAAAAAUUUACACACUAAAAUUAUCUUUUCAAGAGAAGAUUUUUUUAAUUUUAAAUAAUUAUUAAUUUAUAAUUAAUUUGUUAUUAAUUAUUUAUUAAUUUUUUUAUUUGAAAAAUGCAUUUAUAAAAAACAAAUUUGUUAUUAAUUUAUUAAAUAAUUUUUACAAAAUAAAUAAUUUUUUUUUAUUUUAAUUUUAAAAUUAAUUUUAUUAUAUAAAUUUUAAAAUUAAAAAUAUUAAUAUUUAAUUUAAAAUUUAACUAUAAAAGGAAUAAAAUAUAGAAAAAUAAAUUAAUUUAUUAUUCAAUAAAUUAAUUUUCAAUAAAAUUUUCAGCAUUAAGAGAUAAAUUUUUAAGUAUUAAUCAAUUUAAAAAGAAAUAAUGAUCAUUUGUAUAUUAAGAUAUUUUAUUUAGUAAUUAUGAAUGAUAAACAACUAAAGUAAUUUGAAAAAAUAAUAAAAUAUUUAAAAAAUAAUAAUUUAAUACACGUAAAAUUAGAAAUGAUUAACUAUUUUUUAUUAAGAAAAAAUUGAGGAAAUAUUUUGUUAUUUAAAAUUUUUUAUUUGUUUUCAAUUUUUAAUGUUAUAGGUUUCAAGAAAAUUGAUCAAAUAAAAAUUAAGAAGUCAUUUUUUCAAAAACUAUAUAUCUAAAUAAAAGCCUUGAAAUUCAAAUACACAAUAUCAUAAAUAUAAACACCAAGUCAAUCCUUAAUUAUCAAAUGUUUUUAAUAUUAAAGAAUCAAAAUCACCUACUAUCAUGAUAAUAAGAAAACCAAUAAUAUUGUUCAUAUAAAUACUAAAAAGCUAACAAAUAUCCCAAACAAUUAAUAAAGUAUCAAACAUGAUAAAAAGUCAAUUAUUAUCAUGAAUGCAAAAAAUCAAUAAUUUUGUUUAUAUGAACCAUCAACAAAGAAAAAAAAAAUCAAUAUCUAAAUAUUAAACAUAAUUUAUAUUUUUAUAAAUAUUAUUGUUGAUAAAUAUCUUAACAAUUAUAAUUUUAGUAAAUAAAAUUAAUUAAUUUUAGUUUAAGAAUUAUUUUUUUAUACUUUCGUAUUCUUAUCAAAAAUCCCCAUUUUGCAUGUCUCCUUUGGCAUGACUUUCUUACCUAAACAAGCAUAUAUAUAUAUAUAUAUAUAUAAAAUAUUUGGUUAAGAAAGAGUACUAAAGUUUAUAUGGCACACAUCAAGAUAGAAACAGAAGUGGAAGAUAAUCCAAAUGUAUGAACAGAUAUAUUAUAUCCAUGUAGUGGUAGUGACUUCAUUAUUUACUUUUAUCUAAUGGAGCAUGACACACUUCUUCUGAAUAUUUUGCACGAUUAUGUUAUGUGUCAGCUUGUUCUAAGUCAAAACUAGUGAUAAAAAUCGGUUUUUUUUGCAUUUCCUUCAUGAAGAUGGCACCUGGAUGGGGCACUACAUGAGUGGCAUAGCACGAAGUGAUUUAUCUGCUCCCUUUACUAUAAAGUGCUUUGUGUAUAAGUUACACCUCCCCUGCACUGCCUCAACAUUUGUUGUUCUGUCUUCCGUCUGUCCAAACGAGGACAAACGUAUGUUGUAGGUUGACAAAACCACAGCUAGCCUAGGAUUUGCAAGGAUCUAGUUUGAUUCGUAUGCAAAAGGAUUGGUGAAAAGAUUCACAAAGAUAAUGCUUUUUGCAAUGCAAUCUUGUUCUAAUUCAACAGUGUGGACCAUUUUCAUGUAAUGCUUCAACUAGAUGUCAGUUUCAUGAAUUUUUGUUCAUCUAAUUGAUCACUGGAUAGGCCAUAACCCGAAGAAAUUCAAAAUUCCCUUCAGUACUGUAGCUAAGGAAAGAUCCCUAUCUACCACUGGGAUUUUAAGAGGGUAAAAAUGUAGGUGGGUGCCUAUAUCAUUUGCACUUCACUAUAGGCCUCUUUGGGAAGAUUUCUUCUGAAGACAUUUCAAAGAAACAUAUUUUUCUCUUCUCUCCGUAAACGGCAGCUGCAAGUCAGUCCAUUCACAGGCCACCGAGUUGAAAAGGCUGGAAAAUUGGCCAAAGCACCCGCCUCCUGGAUUCCAUGGGUAAGGAAAAGGUCACUGGAGGUGUGAUCCCUGUUGGCCUCUUGAUUUCCAUUCCGCCAUCUAUAUGACCUGAUAACCCAAAAACACAGAAGGAAAACGUCACCUGGGUUCAUAGUAAGCAUCAAGUCAUGAUAGAGACCAGACAACAUGACCAACAAAGAGUAGCGAAUGGGGCCAACAUCAAGCCCCAUUACGGUUAGAAGAUGGAAGAAGUAGAAGACAAUCCAAUUCUGAUAGAUUCGGGCAAAUGUAGUGCUGUUCAAACUUAAUCAUUUACUAUUUCUUCAUGAAUCACGGCAUUUUUCUUCUGAAAAUUUUCCAAGAUUAGGCCUCUGAAGAAAAAUUUCAUAUGUAAAUUGGUAUAUUAAGGAAAAGGCGUUACAAAGGUGAAAAAAAACCAAUCAAAUCUUAUAUAUGACAUCUCAAAAAUAUGAACUUGCUAUAAAUAUUUAAAAUCAAAAUCUUGCACAUCACCUCGUAGUACGAACUUGCUAUAAAACUUGAAAAUCAAGAAGAAAGGGGCAGUAUUGGACGAGACUACUUAGCACAUAUUAUUAUGAUGUUUUUUCAUUUUCUUAAUGUUGUUUUUAUGUCUUAAAUUCUAUUAUUCUAUGUUACGGUAAACAUUCAUCUUGUUUGUGUGGAAUAGGAUCACUUUUCUCUGGGUUGAGUCGAUGCCCUUAGUUAAUUUGUUCAUUUGAAUAAACUAAAUUAUUAUAAGUAUUUAGAUAAGAAAAACGUGAUACAUAAAUUACGCCUCUCGGCACAACUUCAACACUGGUUACUCUGUUUCAGUUUCCUCACACAAGAUUAUUGGUUCUAGGGUUUAUUUGGUUUUGGUUUGAUUCUAAUUGCUAAACUUUCUCAAGGAAGAUGUUAUAUAGGGAGUGAGAAACCUUCACUCUUGGCUACCUCCAAGAGAAGAGCAAGUGGUCUGAAUCAAAGAUAUACUGCUCACUUUUUCUUCUUCUAAGGACAGCUAUGACCUUGCUUUAAGGUUCGAAUAGCCUAAUGCAACCUCCCAUUUCUCAAGUCAGCUGAUGAUGUAAGUCACCUUGGCUUUCCACAUUCAUACGGUGAGGACGUUUGUGGGUGUAAUUCUCUUAACAGUUUUCAUUUUAUAUGGAAAAAUUCAUAAUUAAGGGUAAUUACUGAUUCCAUUUGACAGUGACCAAGUUUAAAAUAUUAAUUCAUAUAUUAAAUGCACAUUAAAAAAUCAUGGAAUAAAUAUAUUUACUAAUAUAUAGUUCUUUUGCCAUGUUCUGUCACAGAAGCAUCGAACUUUCCCUAGAAAUUUUUGCAUGGUAUUCUACUUAUGAUUUUGAAAACUCUAGGCACCUGAGGCCACUAAUUGCAUGGUUGGAUGAGGAGCUGCAUGAGAUUAUGUAUCGUGUUGUUCCUUAACUACAAAUAUCAGUUUUAAGUAGCAUCUCCAUGUGACAUUUUCCUGAUGCAAUUUCGCUGUCCACCAACAAAUUUCACCAUGCAGCAAGAUGAAUUGUAAUUUCUUUAUUGUUAUCAACAGCUUUAAUUAAUCUUGAUAUAUAUAUAUAACUUAGUAGAAGUAUAUUAAUCUAGAUUGUAGUUGCACUAAGAUAAUAGGCAAUAUUAUAACAGUGCCACAAUGCUCAUCGCCAAAUAGAAAGGUAGAAAAACUACAAUGAGUAACUCACAACAUUCUCAAACAGGACAUAGCGGCGACUGAUACAUAGAACACUAUUGGCACUCAGGAAAUGAUAAGAUCAGUGCCCAGCAGGCAGCACGUCUUAUUUUACAUACUACUUAAAACUAACCAAAGUCAUUCAGUUGGGAUGGGUGGGAGAUGGUGGUUUGUGCGGUGGCUUUUGGGUAGUUGGUGGCUUCUUUCCUGGAACUGAUGGUUUUUUUGUUGGAGUUGAAGGAGGCUUAAUCGUCUGAGGUGGCUUGUAUGAGUCUUCAGCACUCUCUGCGGGAGGGUGCCCAGGGUUGUGACCAUAAUGGGGUGGCUUCUCUCCCUUAGUUGGUUUGCCAAGUGGGCUGGCUGGCUUGUGCUCCGGGAGCGGCUUCUCUCCCUUAGGUGGUUUGCCAAAUGGGCUUGCUGGCUUGUGCUCUGGGAGCGGCUUCUCUCCCUCAAGAAGUUUACGGGUUUUGUCAGAUGGCUUGUGUUCUGGUGGUGGCUUCUCUCCUUGGGGUGGUUUGCCAAAUGGACUUGGUGGCUUGUGUUCGGGGAGUGGCUCCUCUCCCUUGGGAGGUUUAGUUGGUGGCUGGUGUUCCAUAGGUGGUUUCUCAACCGGGGGCUUGUUCUCCGUUGGUGGUUUAUGAACUGGGGGAUGCUUGGGGUAGUCAGCAAGAGACGGGGUGGUGAGAACCACCAGUCCCAGCAGCAACACUAGCAAGUAUGUGGAAGAGUACAUCUUUGAGUUCAGGCUGAGAUUUGUGCGAGACUUGAAGAAUUAGGUGGCCUUUUAUAGCUGGCUGCACCCAACACUCACAUGACACGUAUCAUGGUGACACAUGUGCUAUGGGUCCAUUUGGGUCCUACAGAAGCUGAAAACUUUUGACUAUUGAGGUGUGGUCACAACUUUUGUCCCUAUUGCUUUCUCCGCAACCGUUUUACAUGUUUCCUUUGGCAUAAUUUUCUAAGCUAAACAAGCAUAUAUCAUAUUUGGUUAAGAAAGAGUAAAGUGUAUAUGGCACACAUCAAGGAAGAGAAACAGAAAAAGUGGGAGACAAUCAAUUGUGAUAAACAGAUAUAUUAUAUUCAUGUAGUACUAGUGACUUUAUCAUUUACUUUUAUCCAAUAGAUCAUCACUCUUUCUUCUAAAUAUUUUGGAGGAUAAUGGUACAUGUUGCUUGUUUCCAAGUCAAAAUUGGUGGCAAAAAUCGGCAUGAUACGAAAGGAUUGGUGAAAAGAUUCACAUAGAUGGUGCUUUGUGCAAUGCAGUCUUGCUCUAAUUCAACAGAGUGGACCAUGGUGAUGUAUUUUAAAUUUUAAAUUUUAAAUUAAUGCAUGCUUCAAAGUUUUAACUAGAUGUCACUUCCAUGGAUUUUUGUUCAUUUAAUUGAGCACAGGAUAGGCUAUCAAACUUGAAGUAAUAUAAAAAUCCCUUCAUUACUGUAACUAAUGAAAGAUCAUUAUCUGCGCUUGGUAUUUUGCCAAGGUAUUUGCUGCUCUUUCUAGCCCUGUCUUACAGUUAAGGACAAUGUGAUCUAGUUAACCUUAGAAGCUAUUCCAUGUCAGAUACAAGAGAUCAAGCACAUUAUCUUUGGGCUCAGUUCAAAACUAUAAUAUAUGGGUGGGGUGGAGGCCCAUAUCAUUUGCAUAUCACCACUAUUGGUUUAGUUUGGAAGGUUUCUUCUGGAAGAUUGCUGCUUUCUGGAAUCAUUUCAAAGAAAUAUAUCUUUUUGUUCUCUUGGUGACGAGCAGCGGCAAUCAAGUCUGUUGACAAACAACCGAGUUGAAAAGUUUGAAAAUUGGUCACAGCCCACGUCCAUGGUUAAGGAAAAGGUCACUGGAAGUGAUCCCUUCUGGGCCUCUUGAUUUCCAUUCUGACAUCUAUAUGACCUGAUAAAUAGAAAGAAAAAAAAACAGAAGAAAAGCGGCACCCGGGUUCAUAGUAAGCAUCAAGACAGGAUACUGAAAGAAGGGAGAAAGGAGAUUGCAAGUCCAAUCCUGAUAAAAUGAUCAACAAAGAGUAUCAAAAUGGGGCCAACAUAAAGACCCAUUGAGGUUAGCAGAUGGCAUGGCAUUUUUCUCCUUAAGUUUUCCAUGAUUAGACUUGAAGUCAAAAUUUCACAUGUAAAUUUGUAUUUCUACAUUUCCCACUGACGACACCCAACUUCAACUUGAGUUAGAAUAACAUUGUGUGAACUUAUCUGGCCCUCAAAAUUUACUGUGAAGUGCUUUCUGCGUGUGAAGAUUCAGAAAAGCACCAAGGGAACAUGUAUGGUCUGCCUUUUUCUGAUGUUAUGUUUGUCUCUAAUUCUGUUCCAUGUCAUGGUAAAUGUUCACAUUGCUUGUAUGGAACACACCAGGAUCACUUUUUCGGGUUUAUUUUGAGGCUUCAUAUUGGGUUCAUAUUGGGUUCAAUGCUUUUAAUGUGUUCAUUAGACAAAUCUGAAUUAUCAUAUGCAUUUAGAUAAGAACAAUAAUGUGAAACCCUAGUUACACCUCCCCUGCAUAACCCCAACCCUGCUUACUCUAUUUCAGUUUACUCACACAAGUUUUACCGGUUCUUAUAAGUCAAGAAAAGGCAACUGAUGUUGGAUUGACUCUCUUCCAUGUAUAAAAAGCAACUUUUAUAUAUACAUAAAAUAACUUCUUCCCCUCACCAAUGUGGGAUAUCAUGGAUUUAUUCUGGAAACACAUCAAAGGAACAUCUUUUCUCUUGGGUGACCCUAAGUGGUGAGUCAGACCAUUUGCAUGCCAUUGAGUUGCACAGUUGGAUAAAUGCACCUACCUCCUGGGCUCCAGAGUUAAAAGGGUGGAUCCCUGGAUCGCAACCCUCUUGGCAUCUUGGUUUCCAUUCCAACAUCCACAUGACUUGACAAAACAAAAAACAGAAUAAAAUCAUCACUAUUUUCAUGCUAAGCACCAAUACAUGAUGGAAAUCAUUGCUUAAAGAUUUGGGGUCAUUUAGGUUUUGACUGCCUCCUAACACCUCACCUAAUCACAAGUUUUUAUGCUUACAAAUCAAAUAUCGUUCUUCAUUAUAUUAAAAUCAUUUUAAGAUUUCAGAUCCAUCUGCUAAUUAUGAUUAUGAUAACAUUAAUUCACCUGUGCUUCUCAUUUUCGACACACAAGGCAUCUAGGUUUGCAGGAUUUCCUUAUUAGAUGAGAUAAAUGAGUACGCAUGGUUAUGUAUGCAGCAUUCAUUAACCAUGGUAUGUGACAUUUAGAAUUAAGAUAGCAAGCAAACUUUCCCUGCAGCUUGAGUAAAUUGUGAUUUCUUAGCCUCUAUGAGUGGUUCCCAAAUCAAAUUAACAUAGUGAAAUAUACGUAGUCCAGUGAAAGGAAAUGUAAAUUAUAAACUAACAGCACUACACUACUGGUAACACUCGAUACUCUCUAUAUAAUGCAAUGAAAUAUACGUUAUACGUUGCUUGUUCCAAGUCAAAAUUUGUGGCCAAACGUUGGCCUUUUUUCAUUUUCCCUAAGAUUAAUGCUCACCUGGGAUAGGCACUACAUGAUUUAUCUGCUCUUUUACUGUAAAGUUGCUUUGUGUAUGAGUUACACCUCCCCUGCACACCCUCAACAUUUGUUGCUCUGUUUUCCUUGUGUCCAGACGAGGAUAUUAAGUGGGGGCUGACAAAACGACUGCUAGCCAAGGAUUUACAAGGUCCUGGUUUGACGCUUCCGCGAAAGUAUUUUUGAAAAUAUACACAUAGAGAUUGCGCGUUCGGUGCAAUGCAACAAUGUGAGCCAUUCUGAAGUUUUUAAUUUCAGAUUAAUGAAUGCUACAAAAUUCUAAGAAGGGCCGUUUCCAAAUAUUUGAGUUCAUUUAUCCGAACAUCGGAUAAGUAAUGAUCAUAGAUUAUUAUUAUUAUCUGACGUUCUUAUAAUGGUUGGCAUUAUAAGAGGGUAUAUGCUUCUUUCUCUAGCCCCUCCUUCAAGGGAGGGACAAUGUGAUCUGUAUCGUUAGAAGCUAUUCCAUGUCGUCAUCUUUUGGCUUAAGUCAAUACUAAAAUAUAUGGGCGGGGCCCCUGUCAUUUUAUAUUUCUUCUAGAAGGUUUGUUCUGGAAAUCUUUCACCGAAACAUAUCUUUUUCUUCUCUACGUGAUCCGUGGUUGGAAAGUUAGAAAAAUGGGUCCGUUCACAAGCCACCGAGUUGAAAAGUUGGAAAAAUGGCAACACCGCCAACCUCUUGUAUUCGAUAGUUAAAUAAAAGGUCACUGGAAGUGAGAUCCCUUUUGGCCUCUUGAUUUUCAUCCCAGCAUCUCUAUGUCCUGAUAAACUAAAAAACUAAAAAAAAAACAGUACGUGGGUUGGUGUUAAGCAUCAAGAGUCAAGACAUGAUAAUGGAGAGAAAGGAUAUUCAAAUUCCAGUUCUGACAACAUGAUUUUCUUUCCUGAACAACCAUGUUAUAUUUGAUCAAGAAAGAGUAGUGCAUGUGGCCAGGAUCAAGACAUACAUUAAUUUCCACAUGAUGAAGACAGUUUCUGAGAGUUUCUUCUAAAGCUCUUGCGCUAGUAGGCUUCAAGUCAAAAUUUCCCAUGUAAACACUGGAUUUUCUUUAAUUGCCACUAAGGAUACAGUUAAAAUUGACUUAAAAUCCUACGUGAUAUAUAUCUUUAACAAAAGUAUAUUGUAUAUAAUAUUUGAAAUAAUGUUGAUUCGUUGUGGAAAUAUGUUUGUAAGGAAAGUUGUUGACAAUUUAAUAUAGUAUAAGAAGAAAAAAGUUAUCAACUAGAGAUGAGUAUGUAAAGUGAGGCUCACGAUUCAACGCGUAAAUAUAAGAUAUUUUAAGGCUCAAUAGUUAUGAUAUCUAUUUUAUUUUUUGUAUCCCAUAUAUUCAAAGAUACAGUAAAAUGAUUUUAUAUAUAUGAACAUAGCCGAUAGUAUCAUGUUAAAACCUUAUAUGACUCUUUGUGCCAAUUGAUUUUUAUCUUUAUUUUGUGUAUUAGUAAUUAGUAUUAAAGUUUUUACUAACAUAAUAAUUGAUAUAAAAGCUUUUUCCAAAAGAGUCAAACAGAGCAAAACACUUAUUAUAAAAAGAAUUUUGAUUGAAGGUGGAGUCAAUUAUUCUUUAUUCAACAUGUGAUGCAUACAGCGGGUACUUCAUAACUAAAGUAUAUAAGUGCAACAUCUCUUAUACAUUCUCAUUCAAUCUCGAAAGUGGAAAAUUUUAAAAGAUUAAAUGGUUCAAAUUUUCCGUGCAUAAAGGGGAUCAUGUCACAUAACCAAACCAUGGCAUACCAAAGCCAUGAUAUGGACUAAGAAUUUUGUUAAAAUAAGUUUCUUAUUAGGGCACAUUAUGUGACUAUUUAUGACAUAUCAAAGGAGUCAAGUGCAUCAAUAAAGACAUAGAAAAUUCAUGCAUCACAUGUACCACUAAGAGAAAAUUGACUUGAUAGAGUUUAGUCCAAAUAGGAGAUUGUUAAAAGGUGCAUCAAAUUCUUGAUUGAUAUAUAUUUUUUUUAUUAGAAAGGUUAUUAUAUAGAUAUUUCAAUAGACUAUUAAUCCUUUGUAAAAAUAGUUAUAUAAUGAGGAUGGUGAUUAAAAAUAUCUCUAUCAAUAUUUUGGAUUAUAAAAAGAAAAAAAAUAUGAGAAAAUGAUAAACAUAUAAAACUUGUACAAGUAGAUAGAGAUGUGAUGAAAGACACUUGAUGAAUGGAGGCCUUGUAUUUCAAGAUGUAAAUAUAUGGAGCAAAACUCUUAAUUAUAUGAUCAAAUGAUUCUCUCAUAUUCAUGAACAUAAGCAGGAUUGGGGAACCAUGAUAGAAUCUUAUAUGCCUCUCCAUGUAGAUUGAUCGAUGUUUAUCUUCAUAUUUUACACCAAUGAAUGACAUUGAAACUCUGAUUGAUAAAAGGGAAAAAGCAUGGCCUCCACCACAAGAAAAACAAGUAACCUCGGUCUAAAUCACUAGUCUACACCCCGAAGAGAGAACUAGCCAAACCUACUAAAAGAGAAACUUACCAAUUUAGAAAGAAAUCUUCCAUGAUAAAGGGCCCCUAAAAGUCCAAUUCAGUCAGGUUGUGAACAAAAACACCUUCAUGUCAAAACAGGAAUAGGUACCACCAAAAUGUAAAGGGAAAGAUGUAAACCAAGUCGAACUUUGGUAAACAAUGGUAAAGAUAGCAUGAUAGCUAAAAGCACUAAAGCUGUGCUUGGUAUGCAAAAAUGAAAAGUGGAAAUCAGCGUCUUAUUCUUUUUCUCCUUUAUUCACAUAUUAGGAUAACUAAUAUCUAAUGUUUUUUUUAUGUCUCAAAUUCUAUUCCAUGUUAUGGUAAACUUUCAUCUUGUUUAAGUGGAAGAGUAGGAUCACUUUUGUCUGGUUUGGGCUCAAGACGAUAAGCCUAUAGAGACUUCAUAUUGGGUUGAAUUGAUGCCCUUGAUCCGAUCAGUUCGUUAGAAAAAUCUGAAUUAUUAUAAGCAUUUAGAUAAAAUAAAUAAAUAAAUGUGAAACAGAGACUAUUCUCUGCACAACCUUGACCCUAGUUACUCAGUUUCACUGCUCACGGGACUAACCUCUCCAUUCAGUCGAAAUGAAUUGUAAUUUCUUUACUGGUAGCAGUAGUACUUUUCAUAGCAAAGAUAAUAGUAAAUAUGAAAUAUAAAUAUAUAGAAGGAAAUCUGGAUUGUAGAUAGCACCAUAAGUAACACUCAAUAUUUACUACAUAAUAAAAGAGAUAGUGUUACAAAGGUAGAGAAACCUACAAUGAGUACUCAUCACCAUUCUCAAACAGAAACAUAGCAGUGACUUAUACAUAGAACCUAUAGGCUCGCAGGGAAAGAGUAACAUGAUAAGUGCACAGCGGGUAGCAGCUCUUAUUUUACGUAUUACUCAAAAUCUCAAACUAACCAAAGUCACUCAGUUGGGAUGGGUAGGAGAUGGUGGUUUGUGGGGUGGCUUCUGGGUAGGAGCUGGUGGCUUCUUUGUUGGAGUUGAAGGAGGCGUAAUCUUCUGAGGUGGCUUGUAUGAGUCUUUGGCACUCUCUGCAGGAGGGUGCCCAGGGUUGUGACCGGAAGGAGGUGGCUUCUGUCCCUUUGGUGGUUUGCCUAAUGGGCUUGGUGGCUUGUGCUCCGGGAGUUGUUUCUCUCCCUCGAGUAGGUUUCGAGUUUUGUCAGAUGGCUUGUGUUCUGGUGGUGGCUUCUCUCCCUGGGGUGGUUUGCCGAAUGGGCUUGGUGGCUUGUGUUCGGGGAGUGGCUUCUCUCCCUUGGCAGGUUCAGUUGGUGGCUGGUGCUCCGUAGGUGGUUUCUUCACCGCCGGCUUCUCUCCCUGGAGAAGGUUACGAGUUUUGUCAGAUGGCUUCUGUUCUGGUGGCGGCUUCUCUCCCUGGGGUGGUUUGCCAAAUGGGCUUGGUGGCUUGUGUUCGGGAACUGGCUUCUCUCCCUUGGCAGGUUCAGUUAGUGGCUGGUGUUCCGUAGGUGGUUUCUUCACCGGCGGCUUGUGCUCCGGAAGCGGCUUCUCUACCUGGAGAAGCUUACGAGUUUUGUCAGAUGGCUUGUGUUGUGGUGGUGGCUUCUCUCCCUGGGGUGGUUUGCCAAAUGGACUUGGUGGCUUGUGUUCGGGGAGUGGCUUCUCUCCAUUGGGAGGUUUAGUUGGUGGUUGGUGUUCCGUAGGUGGUUUCUGAAGUGGGGGAUGCUUGGGGUAGUCAGCAAGAGACGAGGUAGUGAGAACCACCAGUCCCAGCAGCAAUACUAGCAAGGAUGUGGAAGACAUCUUUGAGUUCAGGCUGAGAUUUGUGCAAGGCUAGAAGAAUUAGGUGGCCUUUUAUAGCGGGCUGGACCCAACAACCAAAUGACACGUAUCAUGAUACACAUAUGUGUUAUAAGAUCCUUGUGGGUCCUACAGAAGUUGAAAACUUUGACAAUUGAGGUGUGAUUACAACUUUUGUCCCUAUUGCUUUCUCGUCAGCCGUUUUGCAAGAUUUUUGACAGGAGGACGGUAGUUUAAAAUAAUAAUUUCUAAAGUACUUUUGUGAAAAAAAAUAAUUCCAAACGUGGAUUUUAUCAAGUAAAAAAAACAAAAAAAAGUUAUUUUCUUUUAAAAUCUUUUCUUCAUGAUUCAUAUACCAAAAAAAGAAUUGUUUUCUGUAGGUAAAAUUUUUAAAAUUCAUUUUUAAAAAAAAAAAAUUACACACUAAAAUUAUCUCUUCAAGAAAAUAUUUUUUAAAUUUUAAAUAAUUAUUAAUUUAUAAUUAAUUUUUUAUUAAUUAUUUAUUAAAUUUAUAUGUGAAAAAUGCAUUUAUAAAAAACAAAUUUUUUAUUAAUUUAUUAAAUAAUUAUUUACAAAAUAAAUAAUUUUGCUUUAUUUUAAUUUUAAAAUUAAUUUUAUUAUAUAAAUUUUAAAAUUAAAAAUAUUAAUAUUUAAUUUAAAAUUUAACUAUAAAAGGAAUAAAAUAUAGAAAAAUAAAUUAAUUUAUUAUUCAAUAAAUUAAUUUUCAAUAAAAUUUUCAGCAUUAAGAGAUAAAUUUUUAAGUAUUAAUCAAUUUAAAAAAUAAUAAUAAUCAUUUGUAUACUAAGAUAUUUUAUUUAGUAAUUAUGAAUGAUAAACAACUAAAGUAAUUUGAAAAAAUAAUAAAAUAUUUAAAAAUAAUAAUUUAAUACACUUAAAAUUAGAAAUGAUUAACUAUUUUUUAUUAAGAAAAAAUUGAAGAAAUAUUUUGUUAUUUAAAAUUUUUUAUUUGUUUUCAAUUUUAAAUGUUAUAGGUUUCAAGAAAAUUGAUCAAAUAAAAAUUAAGAAGUCAUUUUUUCAAAAACUAUAUAUCUAAAUAAAAGCCUUGAAAUUCAAAUACACAAUAUCAUAAAUAUAAACACCAAGUCAAUCCUUAAUUAUCAAAUGUUUUUAAUAUUAAAGAAUCAAAAUCACCUACUAUCAUGAUAAUAAGAAAACCAAUAAUAUUGUUCAUAUAAAUACUAAAAAGCUAACAAAUAUCCCAAACAAUUAAUAAAGUAUCAAACAUGAUAAAAAGUCAAUUAUUAUCAUGAAUGCAAAAAAUCAAUAAUUUUGUUUAUAUGAACCAUCAACAAAGAAAAAAAAAAUCAAUAUCUAAAUAUUAAACAUAAUUUAUAUUUUUAUAAAUAUUAUUGUUGAUAAAUAUCUUAAUAAUUAUAAUUUUUUAUAUAUUAAAUUUAGUAAAUAAAAUUAAUUAAUUUUAUAAUAUAAGAUAUAUAUAAUAAUUAAGAGACUAUUUGUCCCAAACAAUUUAUUUAUUUUUUUUUUAGGAAAUUGUCUCUUCAAGAGACGACUUCUCCCAACAUUUUUAAAAAAAAAAAAAAAAACAUCUAUUCAAAAGACGAUUUCUCCUCAUUUUUUAAAAAUGAAUUUUAGAAAUCAUAUUUUCAAAAAUGAAUUUUAGAAAUCAUAUUUUCAAAAGACGAUUUUUUUUUAUAUAAAUUAUUUUUUAAAAUGACGAUUUUAAAAGGAAAUAACGAUCUCUCUCCUACUUGGCAAAAACUAUGGUAAAUUUGGAAUUAUUUCUUCCACAACCAUAGUUUAAGAAUUAUUUUUUUAUACUUUCGUAGACUUAUCAAAAAUCCCUAUUUUGCAUGUCUCAUUUGGCAUGACUUUCUUACCUAAACAAGCAUAUAUAUAUAUAUAUAUAUAUAUAUCACUUUUGUCUGGGUUGAGUCAAUGCCCUUAACUAAUUUGUUCAUUUGAAUAGUCUAAAUUAUUAUAAGCUUUUAGUUAAGAAAAAUGUGAAACAUAAAUUACACCUCUCGGCACAACUUCGACACUGGUUACUCUGUUUCAGUUUAUUCACACAAGAUUAUUGGUUCUAGGGUUUAUUUGGUUUUGGUUUGAUUCUAAUUGCUAAACUUUCUCAAGGAAGAUGUUAUAUAGGGAGUGAGAAACCUUCACUCCUGGCUACCUCCAAGAGAAGAGCAAGUGGUCUGAAUCAAAGAUAUACUGCUCACUUUUUCUUCUUCUAAGGACAGCUAUGACCUUGCUUUAAAAUGUUCGAAUAGCCUAAUGCAACCUCCCAUUUCUCAAGUCAGCUGAUGAUGUAAGUCACCUUGGCUUUCCACAUUCAUACGGUGAGGACGUUUGUGGGUGUAAUUCUCUUAACAGUUUUCAUUUUAUAUGGAAAAAUUCAUAAUUAAGGGUAAUUACUGAUUCCAUUUGACAGUGACCAAGUUUAAAAUAUUAACUCAUGUAUUAAAUGCACAUUAAAAAAUCAUGGAAUAAAUAUAUUUACUAAUAUAUAGUUCUUUUGUCAUGUUCUGUCACAGAAGCAUCGAACUUUCCCUAGAAAUUUUUGCAUGGUAUUCUGCUUAUGAUUUUGAAAACUCUAGGCACCUAAGGCCACUGAUUGCAUGGUUGGAUGAGGAGCUGCAUGAGAUUAUGUAUCCUGUUGCUCCUUAACUACAAAUAUCAGUUUUAAGUAGCAUCUCCAUGUGACAUUUUCCUGAUGCAAUUUCGCUGUCCACCAACAAAUGUCUCCAUGCAGCUAGAUGAAUUGUAAUUUCUUUGUUGUUAUCAACAGCUUUAAUUAAUCUUGAUAUAUAUAUAACUUAGUAGAAGUAAUUAAUCUAGAUUGUAGUUGCACUAAGAUAAUAGGCAAUAUUAUAACAGUGCCACAAUGCUCAUCGCCAAAUAGAAAGGUAGAAAAACUACAAUGAGUAACUCACACAACAUUCUCAAACAGGACAUAGCGGCGACUGAUACAUAGAACACUAUUGGCACUCAGGAAAUGAUAAGAUCAGUGCCCAGCAGGCAGCACGUCUUAUUUUACAUACUACUUAAAACUAACCAAAGUCAUUCAGUUGGGAUGGGUGGGAGAUGGUGGUUUGUGCGGUGGCUUCUUUCCUGGAACUGGUGGUUUUUUUGUUGGAGUUGAAGGAGGCUUAAUCGUCUGAGGUGGCUUGUAUGAGUCUUCAGCACUCUCUGCAAGAGGGUGCCCAGGGUUGUGACCAUAAUGAGGUGGCUUCUCUCCCUUAGGUGGUUUGCCAAGUGGGCUGGCUGGCUUGUGCUCCGGGAGCGGCUUCUCUCCCUUAGGUGGUUUGCCAAAUGGGCUUGCUGGCUUGUGCUCUGGGAGCGGCUUCUCUCCCCCAAGAAGUUUGCGGGUUUUGUCAGAUGGCUUGUGUUCUGGUGGUGGCUUCUCUCCUUGGG
rnacentral:lncRNA from 1 species